rnacentral:lncRNA from 1 species
UUUUUUUACUGAUCACCAUGAAUAAUAUUUUGGACGACUUUGCUCGCUUUUGAUUCACGGGAUAUGUUAAACAAUUCAAUCCCAUAAUCAAAGCAAAUUUGUUUAAGUCGAUGUGAUCAAGCUAACUUAUCGUUUACAUAGAAUCUAAUCUUAUGAAAUAUUUUACUUUUCUUGACACGUAGAAGCACAUACAUAUAAUGAACUGCCAAUCCAUUGAAUUUACAAUAUUUUGAUAAAUGUCUCACGUGUCCAAAACAGAUUUGCUUAAAAUCAACAUAGUGUUUUUUCUCAACUAGAGUUUCUCUAUAUUCCCAAUAAAUCUUCAUCCUUGAUUUUACAUGAAUCUUUUUUGAAAAAAAUAAUGGUUCAUACAUGUAGCUUAGGCCAUACAACACAAGGAAGCUGUUUCUUACACAAAUUGACAAGGAUAGGGGAUUAUCAUCUCCAUAUCCACCAUCUCUUGUGUUCACAUCUUCACCAUCAUCAUUAUUUUUUCUUCAUUUUUCCUUUCGCUAGAUUCAACAUGCUCACUCUUCCAGGCACUAUUGUCAUAUUUCUUUCAGUGUCAGUCAUGUUUUUCAUUUUCAACUCCGACUUGACAAUUAUUUUUUUAAAAUUUGAACUUUUUUUAGCUUUACGUUUCCUAUUGUUACAAAUAGUAGAAGCAUAUCCUUUUAAUGAUUUUUCUAUCUUUAUUUCAUACUUCACAAUUUGCAAGCAAAAAUAUUUUAUAGUGAUCAAUUUAUCGAUUACUGGUUUAUUAACAGACUCAGACAAGUGCUGUAAUAAAACAUGCAAAACAAACAACAGUGAUUUUAGAAAGGGAGAAUACAAAAGAUAGUGACCAAAACAUCAUAAAAGUCGAUUAAAAUACAAGAAAAAACAAUCAAAAUUAACUGAAAAUAUUACUCUAUAUAUAAGCCAUUAACAAUAGAACGAGCACAACAAGAGAAAGCUAACUAUGUGCUAAAAGGAGUGUACGAAGUUUUCUAGGAAUUACUACAACAGUGGUAGUUCAAAUGACUAUAAAAGGACAUGUGGAUAUUACAAUUACAUGCAGCUAACCACGUCUCACAUUGUUUUUUUUUCAUAUACAUUUUAUUCUCUGGUUGGAUUAUUAUUUAAAAAAUUUUGUUCACUUCCCUUUUCUUUAGCAUUUCAAUUUUGAAAUUGGAUCUCUGUUUGACGAGUUUCAAAACCUCUCUCUUUGCUUAAACUAAGGCAUUCCUGGACAAUAUUGAGUUUUAUUUUUCUUUAAUUUUUCGUUGCAGGCUUCUAGUUACUAACCAAAGUGUGAAUUUUUUAGUGUUAUUUAAAUUUUCUUUUGGCCUCUGCUUGAUCUAUUCCCUAAUUCUACAUAUGCAUUAAUUCUCUUAUAGCUAAUACUUGGUUCUUCUUCUUCUUUCUUUUUACAGUGUUUGGAUUGACUUUUAAGUAUUUUUAAGACUAAAUAAUGUUUAAGUAUUUUUGGAGUGCUUCAGUAGAUUAAAAAAGCGUGUACAAACACUUCAAUUUUAAGUUAAAUAAUAAAAAUAAGUCAUAUGCCUUGAGAGUUUUCCUAAUAUUUCUUAAGGAUGAUCUUUGGCUUAUAAGUAAAACAAAAAAAGAACUCAAAAAAUAUCCAGUCAUUGCGCAAUGUAAAAUGUAAUUCAAGAUGUGGAAUCAAGAACACGGAUUAAAAAUAUAUCAGAUUUUGACCAAUUUAAUCAACUAGAAUAGAAAUUUUGCAAUAAUCCAAAAUUCACUACACCAAAAUGCAACCAAAACACAUAGUAAAAUGGAGCAAAACCUGUUCGCAAAAGAAGAAAAAAUUUAUUUGAGCAUAAAAGGAUGAAGAUUUCGACUCGGGGAAGAAGAUUGAAGAAGAAAAACAUUUUUACUCCUUGAGCUCUUCUAUGUGGUUCAUAAAGUAUGUUGGGUCAAAUGCGAAGUGAAUAUUUUGUUAUAUGGAAUAGUUCUAUGAAUACAUGUAUUGUGUGGCCUUAAGGUGGCCUUAAGGUGAUGCUUGAGUGUGGAUAAUGUAAGGGGACAUUGUCUAUACAUUGCACCAAGUAUCACUAGAGGUUAGUUGAAAUGUUAAGGAAUUAAGAAGGAAAAGAAGUUACCGGGAAGGGAAAGGUACUUAAUGUAAAGGGAAGGGUAAAGUGGCUCCAAAAGUGUCUUAAAUGCAACGUGUGAUUUUAUGUGAUAUUGUGACUAUUUUAUAUGCCUAAAAUGAAGUAUGUGAAUUAUAUGAUGCUUAUUGUAUCAAGUUUUAUGAAGUUUUCACAAAAAAGACAUAAUGCAUGUUUUAAAGUAAAAUGUCCUUUUUUAAUGCAUGUUUUUGCAUGGGUGCCAUUUUUAGUGCAUUUUUGUACUAACAUCAUUCUUCUUUACCUUUUUUACACAAAGUGUAGGUAUGAAUGUUUAAAGGAUGUCUCUAUGAUGAAAAGCUUGAUAUGUGAUUCCCAAUCUCAAGAAAAGAAAUCCUUAAGUCUAAGGAUUUCCUAAGUCAUGUCUUACUGUAUAGACUUGUAAUAGUAUACUUAUCAUUUAUGUUACAAGGGUCGUGUACCUAAUGUACUCUAAUGAUGUUGAGUCUAAGAAGGAAAAGAGACUUAGAGUCUUAAACUAUGUAUUAUGGUAUAUAUAUAUAUAUAUAAUGGAAGUGAUGUUCUAGCAUAUGAUGUGCUAUGAAAGUUUUAAAUUUUUCGCUAAAUUUACCUAUGAAAGUUCGAUGAAUGAUAACUAUGGGCUUGUAUAAGACCUCCAAGAGGUCAAGUAUGCCAUGUUACUUCUGGUGGGCGCUCCCCGAUCGUUCCAUAUACAACACAAAUGGAGAUAUUAAACAAUUAUCAAAAAGAGAGGAACUGAACAAAUAUGGAAAUGAGUUGGACAUAUUUUCUUUGUGUAGAAUCCACAAGCUAAAAAAGAAAAGAAGAACAAAUAAUAAAGAAAAAAAUGAAAGAAAUAUGCAGCAAAUAUGAAAAAUAAAAGUAGAAAAAUGUAAUGUCAUGAUAGUUACUAAAAUGGAAAACAAAGCACAAGAAAAGUUGGAUGUAUAACUUGGUCAAAUGUUGGUACACAUUUGAGCUACCUUUAAAUUUUGUCAAAAGUAUCAACUACCAAGUGGAAAAAUUAAGAGAAAAUGAUGAUUUCCAUCUUCAGAGAAUAGAUAGAAGUGAAAUGAGGAAUUUGUUGCCAAAGCAGAAGAGAGAGGAGUAAAAACAAAACAAUGCAUAUAUUUCUUGAAGUUCUUCUUAUACUACUUUUUAUAGCAAUUUGAUGUUGAAAUUAUUUUAGUUUAUCGCUUUUAAUUAAAUUAUUGAAUUAUUUUUCUUGAAUAUUUCUUAUAUUUGAUUAUUUAAUGGAGAAGAUAAUUUUCAUUAGUAGUACCAUUUCUUUUAUGAAUUAACUAGGAAAAAUGUCUACGCUUCGCGCGGAUUAGUUUCUUUAAUUAGAUUACUCAUGAUCAUAGGUUAAUAUUCUUAUUUUCGAGUGAGUAUACUGAUUUGUAAAUAACAUAGUAUUCCUUUCUCUCCAUUUAUCUUUUCAUAUAGAUGUUUAAACAUUUUAUUCAUCAUUUGUGACUUAUUUCCUUUCAUGCUAAGUAUGCAUAAUCCAAAGUGUUAUGCAUUUUUUUUUAUUGUUUUUGUUCUUUCGUUUCUAAAGUUAAUUGAAAUUCUAAAACACAUCUUCUUUUGUUUAACAAAAAUAAAUAUAUUUAAUUUGAUAUUUUCUAAAUGAGAAGGAAAAUGAAAAGCCAGAGGAAAGUCUCAAUGACACACCACCUCAAUCCCGUGUUGAAAUGCUAACUUCUGAGCUUUGCCAUCUUUGGACAGCGACCUUUAUCAAUUUGAACAAUAUAUAAUUAUAUUUGAUGUUUCUUUAUCUAUUUCAUUAAAAACUAUCUGAAAGUUGUUAUAUUAUGACUCGAGAGUUGAUGGUCCAAAACACAUAUGAAUUAAUGAUUUUUUCUCUAUCUCAACUAUCACCAUUUAUACAUUAAAUCAACUCUAUGAGAUUUUUUUUCACCCAGUGUCUGGAGUCCAUAUUAGAGCUCCAACUAAAUCCGACGAGUGUACAAAUUUAUUUAGAAGAGAAGAAUUAAAGAAAAUUAUUAUAGGUAGACCAUUUCUUGCAAGAGGAAGAGAAAUUAUUGAUGUCCAUCAAGGACAAAUGAUAUUGCGAGUUGAUGAGGAAAGAUUAAUCUUUCACAUGCAGAAACUAUUGAAAUUUCCCGAGGAUGAAUCAUUAACUUCUUGUUUUCAUAUUGACUUGAAAGAUGAUCUUGCAGAUGAAUACAUGGAUGAUCAUGGAAAGAUGUUUGGCCAAGUAAGGUACCACAAGUGAUGAUAACUUCACAAUGAGAAAAAAGCUAAAACACUAGAAAAAGAUAAAGAAAAUGAGGAAGUCUCACCAGAAGAAGUUCAACCAAAAAUUGAACUCAAAACAAUUCCAUCUCAUUCGAAGUUUUUUUUUCUUGAAUCUGAAUUAUUUCCAGUCAUAAUUGUUCGGAAAAAUAUUAUUGAUAUUAGAUUGGAAUUAUAAAGUAAUAAAUAACUUAUCACAAACAUUGUAUCGUAGCAAGCCACUACCUUUAAAGUGAUUUCGGCUUGACUCCGGUGCAAAUCGUUCUAGUCGAUUGCUCCACAAGGUUCCACGAUUACUUUAAAACACGUGCACUUUGGCUGAAAGUUUGGAUUUGCACAAAAAUAAUUGCCCAGAAAUUCACAUUAGGAAGAAUGAUUAUUCAAGCCAAUAAAAGAAAUUGUUGAGAGAGAUAUUAAAUGAAAGAAUGAACUUGAUUUUUCUUCUCUGUUUUCGCUCGGAAAUGAUACUCCUUAAUUAGGAAAAUCAUUUACGUUUCAUAUAUCAAUAGAAUUUAAGAAACUAGAUAUAAUCAAUGUAAUGAGACAUAACUCUUACUUAAAUGACAAAUUUCUCAUAAUACAAAAGUAACUUCGAGUUUUUUGAAUAUUUUGUUACAAAAUUAACAAACUGACGCUUGAUGUAAAUGUGAACCACUAAUGGGGAAGUAACUUUCAUAUUUCACAUAUAUUAACGACUUAGCAAUGUUCACAUAUAUUAAUUACAGAGAUUUAAAAGAUUUAACUUAUCCUUUGCAUUAAAAGAAAAGAAAUGUUAUCCACAAUCCCCCACUGAUACAAAUAUAAAGAAUAAGAAUAAUUUCUGGGUAAAAGAAAGAGACAUGUACUGAAGUGUCAGUAUAUUUCAAAUUGAUUGACACAUAGUGAAAUGAGGUACCAACAUAUAUCCACAAAGUGAAGUACUCUUGAACUAAAUGGACAUAAGUUGAGACCCCCAUAACACAUACCAUAUCUUUGAUUUUGUAUGAAAACUCCACAAUACAAAAAAGUGCUUUUAUGGUCAUGCACACACACCUUGGGUCUUAUAAGUGCUCUACAAAGACGACCCAAUUCUUUCAUAAAAGGUGACCACAUCUUUACACUCAUGUGGGUGAUUCCAUCAAUUCUAUCUCGAAUAGACCACCUUAGAGCUAUAGAAUAAUUAAGAGAGAAAUAAACUUAACCUUAUAAAACACUGCCUCAUGUCAUAGGGAUAGAAAAUGUGGUGUACAUUGAGGCCUAACUAGUCCACCACACUACCUUAAUAAAUAGGCUUCAUCCCAAUCCCCCUCAACAUUUCAAGGACUAUUUUCCUUGUCAAGCCCUUGGUCAUAGGAUCCGCCAAAUUUCUUUCAAACUUCACAUAUUCCAAGCAAAUAACACCUUGUUUCAAUAAUUGUUUAACCGCACUAUGUAUGAUGAGAAUGUCUCUUUUUUCCAUUCUACACACUAGUUUUGACAAUUCCAAUUGUUGCAUUUGAGUCACAAUAAAGAGAUACUGGUGAAAAUUGUCUUCCCCACAAUGACAAAUCCCCCAGAAAUUUUUUUCAGCCACUCAACUUCUUGCCCUGCCAACCUGAGAGCAAUAAAUUUUGAUUCCAUGGUAGAAUGUGUUAUAUAAUUCUGUUUGGAAGACUUCAAUGAAAUAGCACCUUCACCCAAAGUAAACACAUAGAUAUUGAUGGAGCUAACUACAUUAUUGUCAGUUAUCCAGUUUGCAUCACAAAAACCUUCUAAAACAACAGGAAAUUUGUUAAAAUGCAAACACUACUUCAUAGUACCUCUCAAAUACCUUAGCAACCGAUGAAGAGCAUUCCAGUGUUCACUACUGAGAUUAUGAGUAUAUCUACUCAAUCUACUAACAGUAUAAACUAUAUCAGGCCGAGUUACGUUCAUGAGAAACAUUACACUCCCAAUUAUUUUAGCAUAUUCAAUUUGAGAAACACUAGUUUCUUUAUUUUUCUUCAAGUGUAUGCUAGGAUCAUAAGGAGUUCUCACUAGAACUACAUCAAAACAAAAAAAAAAUUUCAACAAAUUUUUAAUGUAAUGAGAUUAACUCAAAGAGAAAUCAGUAGGAGUUCUUUCGAUUUUAACUCCACAAAUCGCAUCUGCUUACCAAGGUCUUUUAUUUCAAAUUUAGAAUACAAAAAGUUUGUGGUCUCAUUAAUAACAUCCACAUUAGGACCAAAGAUUAACAUGUCAUCUACAUAUAAACAUAUAAUGAAACAAUUAUGUGUUGGAAAGAAAAAGGAAAUCUAAGGGAGAAAGUGAACAAAGAAUAGAGCAAAAGAAAAGAGAAGCUACUGCCAACUUCUUUUGUUUCUUAUGUUCUUAUUAUGAAACUAACGGAACCUGCCUAUUAAAUAAGCUUGCAAUGAAACUAAAAUACUGAAAUUUAGGUACCCACUAAUUACUAGUUAGCUAGUAAUCUGCCACUAUAUCUAACCUUGCUGAAAUAAAGGGAACUAACUAACAACCUCCUAAAGACUUGGUCAAGUAUCUUUGAAUCACUUCUCAACACUAUCCCUUGAUUCAAACCUGCAAACUCCAAGUUGACCUAUGAAGAACUCGUGCUUUGCUUGCGAAAGUGACUUCGUGAAAAUGUCUGCUAUUUGGUCAUUUGUAUCACAAGACUUCAAAGUAAUUUCUCCAGUAGAAACAAGACCUCGAAUAUAGUGAUAGCGAAUAUCAAUGUGCUUUGUUCUACUGUGAAAUGCUGGCUUCUUCUUCAUCGCAAUUGCAGAUAUAUUGUCACAAAAAAUCUUAGUCGCACCAACUGUUUUGUGAUUAAAGCCUACAACAAGUCUCCUUAACCAAACUGCUUGACAAGAUGCAGAGGUUGCUGCAAUAUAUUCAGCCUCUGAAGUUGAUAGCGCCACUACUUCCUGAAUCUUUGAACUCCAUGAAAUUGCUCCAGAUCCAAGAUUAAACAAGAAACCAAAUGUGCUCUUUCUGUCAUGAAUGUUGCCUUUGUAGUCACUAUCAGUAAAGACAAUUAGUGUGAAAUAUGUCACCUUAGAAAACCAAAUUCCAUGCUCUGUUGUCCCAGCGAUAUAUCUCAGCACUCUUUUUGCAGCUCCAAGGUGAAGCUUGCUUGGAUUGUGCAUAAAUCUCUAUAUGACUCCAAUAGAGAAAGCAAUGUCUGGUCUUGUAUGAGACAAGUAGUUCAAACCACCAACCAGACUUCUAAAAUAAGUCGCAUUUUCCAUUUCAGAACCAUCAUCACGACACAACUUCUCAUUAAUAUUCAUUGCCGUAGAAGCAACUUUACAAUUUACCAUAGUAAACUUUUUCAAAAGAUCUGUUGCAUAUUUUCUUUGUGAAAGAAAUAUGCCAUCAAUUCCCUGUUUCACCCCAAGACCAAGAAAAUAAUGCAGCAGACCUAAAUUAGACAUCUCAAAAUUCUUCAUCAUGCAUUCCUUAAAUUCAGUGACGAUAGACUCACUCAAACCCAUAUAUAUAUCAUAUCGUCAACAUAAAAACAUACCACCAAAAAAUUAUUUUUACCUUCUUAUUUUACAUAAAGAGUAGGCUCAUUGUUACUUCUUUCAAAACCAUUCUCCUGGAAAUACAAAUCAAUUUUGAAGUACCAUGCCCGCGGCGCUUGCUUUAAGCCAUACAGUGCCUUUUUUAACCUGUAAACCUUAUCUUCUUUUCCAUUAACUACAAAACCUUCAGGCUGUGAGACAUAAACUUCCUUUUCCAAAUCACCAUUAAGGCAAAUUUAACAUCAAAUUUAUACACUGGCCAAUUUAAAUUAGCAGCCAAGGCUAAGAAAGUUCUCACAGUUUUAAAGCGGGCAACAUGAGAAAAAGUCUCGUCGAAGUCCAUACCUUGUUGUUGGGAAUAACCCUUUGCGACGAGCCUUGCCUUGUGUUUUUUGAUGCUGCCAUCUGCAUGAUACUUGGUUCUAAACACCCAUUUGAGCCCAAUAGCUUUCUUCCCUUCUGGAAAAUUUACCAAGUCCCAUGUCUGAUUCUUUUGAAUAGCCAACAACUCCUCUUCCAUAGCUUUGCACCAUUUAUCCUCUGUUUCAGCAUCUUCAAAGAAAAUAGGAUCUAAUACAAGUAAAGCAAAAACACAAGAUAUAUUGUCAGCAUAUCUGGGAUUUGGUUUCCUAUCCCUUGUGGAUCUUCUUAAUAGAGUUGGCUCAGCUGAAGGUUCUUCCAACGUUGGAGAUGUUGCUGGUGCAUUUGAUGAGGUAGUCGAUGGACUUGCCAAAAACUGAUCUGCUGCAUACUCUUGAUUAACAAUAACAACAAUUGAAUAUUUGAACUUUCAUUUGCUGAAUUAAAGUUCCAGCUUGCAUAUUCAUUAAACACAACAUUUCUAUUGACCAUAAUUUUGCCACUCACUAGAUUGUAUAGCUUAUAGGCUUUGGAUUGUGAGCUAUAUCCAACAAAGAUACAUUUUUCAUUAAGCUUACGUCGAGCCUGCGAAUUCACCAAAGCAUAAGCUAUACAUCCAAAGACAGGUAAGUGGCUUACCUUUGGCUUGUUAACUCUCCAAGAUUCAUAUGGUGUUCGAUUGAACACUGCUUGUUGGGUGAAAUAUUCAGCAAAUAGACACAGUGGCAACAACUUCAGCCCAAAAAUACUUCAGUACACCUCUACCUUCCUCAUGCUUCUGCCCAUCUUGACAACUGUGCGGUUCUUUCGUUCAACUACACCGUUCUACUCCGGUGUAUAAGGUGCUGUAAGCUCUCUGUGUAUUCCAUUUUCCUCACAAAAGGAACAGAAUUCAUUUGACAUAAACUCACCACCUCUAUCUGUCCGAAGAGUGUUGAGUUUACAUCCACUUUGCCUCUCAACGAACGAUUUAAAUUUCUUAAAAUUGUUAAAUGUUUCAGAUUUAAAUUUCAAGAAAUAUAUCCAACUCAUACGAGUAUAAUCAUCAGUAAAAAACAGAAAGUAUCAACUUCCUCCUAAGGACUCAACACCCAUAGACCGCACAAAUCAGCAUGUACUAACUCAAGACAAACAAAAGCUCUCCAAGACUUGCCUACAGGAAAAACCUUUCUACUUUGUUUUCCUUAAACACAACUUUCACAACAAUCAAGAUUCUCAACUUUUGGCAACCCAAAAACCAUUUCCUUUUGGCUCAAUAACUUCAACCCAUUAACAUUUAAAUGACCAUAACACAAAUGUCGCAGUCUAGUUUCAUCAUCUCCACUAGCUAUCAUAACACACUUUUCAACCAUUGAAACUUCUAAAGGAAACAUUUUGUUGUUAGUCAUUGGAAAUUUAGCAAUGGUUUUUCUAGAUUUCUUAUUUUUAAUAGUGCAAACACCAUCAUCAAAAGAAAUUGAGUACCUUCUAAUCAUUAGUUGUCCAAUGCUAAGAAAAUUAUGAGAUAGGCAGGAACAAACAUCACAUCGUCUAAAAUUUUAGCAUUACCUUGGCUGGUCAUAAUGCUAACAGUGCCUUCGCCUUCAACUUGAAUCUUCUUGUUAUGUCCAAGCCUCACGUCUGAUUUUUUUGACUCAUCAAGAUCCUUGAAUAGUGAUUUUGUUCCAGACAUAUGAUUGGAACAUCCACUGUCCAAAAACCAAACAUCUUUAGGAGUCUUUUUCACAAGAAAGGACCAUGAAUAACUUACAUUCAUCAUCAUUUUUCUCUGUAAAGCUUGCUUGGUUAUUCUCAUCCUUCUAUUAUUUCAAACAAUAAGCUUCUUUAUGACCUGGUUUUCUACAGUAGUGGCACUAAAACAUCCUUUACUUCUCUUUAUUUGGUCCUCCUCUAUCUCGAUUUCUUCAUUGGCCUCUUCCAUGACCUCUUCCUCGAAAGCCACCUCUGCCGCGGCCAUGAUUUGUAAAGUUUUCUAGCUUAUCUUUCUGAUGAGUGGACUCCCCCUUCACCUGAAGUGCCUUUUCUUCAUUUUUUUCAUGUGACCUUAGGAUCCUCUCUUCAUGAGCUUGCUAAGAACUCAUUAGUUCAUCAAAAGUAUAAUCAGAUAAGUCAUGAGAUUCCUCAAUCGCAACAACAAUAUGUUCAAAUUUUGGAGUAAAACUCUUUAAAACUUUUGCUAUAAAAGUUUCUUCAAAUAUAUCUUCACCAUAAGACUUCAUUUGAUUAACAAGAGAAGAAACUCUAGACAAAUAAGUUUGAACAGAUUCAUUACUUUUCAUAGAAAGAGUUUCAAAGUCGCGACGGUAAGUCUGCAAUUUUACCGUAAUCACCUUAGCUGAACCUUGAAAUUCUUUCUUCAAAAUCUUCCAUGCCUAAGAAGAUGUAGUUGCUGCUGCAAUUCUUGAAAAAACUGUAUCAUGAACUGCUUGUUGAAUCAGGGACAAAGCUUUGGCGUCUUUCUUUUUGAUCUCUUUCAAUUUCUCUGCCUCUUCUUCAGAGCCUGCUAGAUCCACAAAGCCUUCUUCCACCAGCUCCCAAACUCCUUGUGAUUUGAAAAGAGUUUUCAUUUUGAUACUCAAAAACUUAUACGUUUCACCACUAAAAAUUGGCAUGAGAGGCUGCGAAGAUGAUGAAAUACCAUUCACUGCCAUUUUUUCUUUUGCUCUCACACUUCCUCUUUUGUAUUACUCAAAUACUCAGUUGAUAUAAGCCUCACGACUCACUCAAUUUCCUGAAAGGAACCUUGCUCUGAUACAAGAUUUGUUGGAAAGAAAAAGGAAAUCAAAGGGAGAAAGUGAACAGAGAAUAGAGCAAAAGAAAAGAGAAGCUACUACCAACUUCUUUUGUUUCUUGUUUUCUUAUUAUGAAACUAACGCGACCUGCCUAUUAAAUAGGCUUAAAAUGAAACUGAAAUACUGAAAUUUAGGUAUAAUUACUAGUUAGCUACUAAUCUUCCACUAUAUCUAACCUUGCUGAAAUAAAGGGAACUAACUAACAACCUCCUAAAGACUUGGUCAAGUAUCUUUGAAUCAGUUCUCAACAUUAUGAACCUAUAAUCUUAGAAUAAACACAUGCAUCAGAUUAAAUUACAAGAAAGUCAUUAUCUAGUAAUGUGAUAUUUAAUAUUUCAUACCAUUGAGGUGAUUGUUUAGUCAAUACAAGGACUUUCUCAGUUUGCAUACUUUAUCCUCUUAUCAUGGAACCACAAAACCCUAACGUUGAGUCAUAUAUAUCUCUCCCUCUAAAUCACCAUUUAGAAAUGUUGUUUUAACAUCCAUUUGAUGUACCACUAGAUCAUGAAUAGCGGCUAAAGCAAUAAGAGUGAUAAUGGUUGCUAUUUUAGUCAUAGAAGAAUAAGUAUCAAAGUACUCAACACAUUUCUUUUGGUUAAAACUCCUAAUAACAAGUCUAGCCUUAUAUUUAUCAAGUGUAUCAUCAGGUCUCAAUUUCUUCUUGAAUAUCCACUUGAUACUGAUGGGAUUACAACCUUUAGGCAAAUCAUACAAGUCCCAAGUAUGAUUAGAAACUAUAGAGUCUUGUUUUCUUUAAAUAGACUCUUCCCAAAAUGUAACAUAUAUUGAUAUCAUUGUUUCAUCAUAAGUUUUAGGGUCUUUUUCUAUUAAAUAGAUAGACAUGAAAUCAUUAUUUAAAACAUUAAUAUUCGGUUAAGAAAGUAGUGAUAAAAUUAGGACCAAAAUUAGUCUCAACUCUACGUCUAUUACUUCUUUUGAGUUCAUUUUCUUGCUCAUUAGAAAUAACAUGAGAAUUAACUGGCAUAGAUGUAUAAGUAUUAUUUUGCAUAUCACUUGACACGUUAAUUUUUUAAAGAAAAUAUGCUAAAUUUUUUUUGCAUCUCUAGAUUCACAAAUAAAAGGAUCACUUAGAGACCACAAUCUAUAUGCAACACCAUUUUGAAUAAAAAUAGUAUCAGAGGUCUUAGAACCAAUAUUUACUCGCUCAAAAUCACAUAGACCAAACACCCCCACACUUUCAGGAAUUUCAAGUUAGGAGCAAACCCUUUCCACAACUCAUAUGAGGUCUUGUAUAACUUCUUAUGAGGGACUCUCUUAAGAAUAUAGCACGCAGAUAAGACUGCUUCUCCCUACAUAUUGUAAGAUAGACUAGAGUUUUAAAAGGUAGAAUUCAUCAAUUUCUUGAAGGGUUCUAUUUUUUCGUUCGUCUACACCAUUUUGUUGGGGAGUAUAAGAAGCACUAACAUCAGGUAUAAUACCAUCCUUCUCACAAAAAUCUUUUAGAGUUUUAGUACUAUAUUCACCGCCCCUAUCAGAUCUAAUCUGUUGAUUUUCCUGUCUAAUUGGUUUUCAACUUCUGCUUUGAAUUUCAAAAAUAUGCUUUCAACUUCAUCUUUAAACUUAAGAAGAUAUACCGUAAUGUAUUUAGAAAAGUCAUCAACAAAAGUAAUGUAAUACUUUUUUCCACCUUUGCUAAAAGCGAUCUUCAAAUCUACUAAAUUUGAAUAUAUUGGUUGAUGUAAUUCAAUCUUUCUACUAAUAACAUAUUUGAAAGGUUUCUUGGCAUGUUUUGCUUCUACUUACACAGGACAUUCUGAAAAAUCAUAUGUAUUUAUCAUUGGAAUUAAUUCCAUAUUUGUAAGUUUUUUAAUAGAAGCAAUGAUUAUAUGACCUAGUUUGCCAUGUCACAAAUUAAUAGACUCAUUAAUAUAAGCAAAAAUUUGAAAUACUUGCAUUAUUGACAAUCUCUUGAACAAUGUUCAAUACAUAUAAUCUUCUACUAAGAUAUACCUUUUCAAAAAAGUCUCCUCCACAAUAAAUAAUUAUUUUAUCAGCUUCAAAAACAGGUUUAAGGCCUACUCUAUUGAGAAGUGCUCUGGAAACUAAGUUUCUACAUAGAUAAUAUCUUUCCAAAAGUUAAUGUAAGUAAAAAUUUUCGUUUAACCAUUACUACAGCUGUAGUUGAGUUACCCAUAUAUAUACAGUCUCCAUCAGUGGAAUCCUCAAAGUCAUGGAAUAACUUUUUUUUGGCAGAAAUGCCUUGAGGCACCUAUGUCUAGAACCCUGUUAAUUUGGUUAGCCAUUAGAUUUGCCUCAAUGACUACAACUUCAAUCACUUUAUUACCCUCAUAAAGAUUAUCUUAGACAUCACUUUUUCCUUCAUGAUUUGAGUCCUGCCCUUUUCUUUGAUAGCUCCUGGAAACCAUGUGACCAACUUCUCCAAAAACAAAACAAGAACUUUUAAAUUUUUGAAUAUGGCUCACUGGCUUGUUGAAUUGUUUUUCUUCUUCAUAUGUUCCUUUUUUUAAACUUUCUUCUGUUUGCCUUUGAACAUGUCUUCCACAAAAGCACUAGAAGAUUUAAUAAGAUUAGCUUUAGAAGAGAUUAAGAGAGUUCUUCCAUCUUAUUUUUGAGAGUGAAUCCUCAUAUGACUAAUAAUUUAUUGGAGAGUUAAAUUAUUUUCUUUUGUUUUAAUUGAUUUCUAUAAUCACUUCAAGAUGGUGGGAACUUUUCAAGCAGAACAUUAGCCCAAAAUAUCUCACACAUCAUCAUGUCCUCAUUGAGAACAUCAGCAAUCAAGUUUUCAUAUUCAUGAACUUGUUCCAUUAUUGACUUAUUAUCAACCAUUUUGAAUUUAAUCCACUGUCCGACAACAUAUUUUUUCUUUCUUGCAUCAUUAAUACCACAUUUCUUUUCCAAACUAUUCCAUAUUUCUUUGGCAGAUUUACAGGUUAAAAAUAAAACAAAUAAAGGAUAAGUCAUAUGAUUUAGCAAAUUUCCUCUAGUAAUUUUGUUAUCCUUUUCAAACUUCUUUUUAAUAACAUCAUCAACAACCAUAUUAUUGCUAGAAUCUGUAGUGAUGUUAAAACCAUACAUAGAAGGUUCUUUAAAUAAGACAUAGUCAUCUUCUAACUGUUCAAAGAAAAUUAAAAGUUUUUGUGACCAUCCUCUACAAAUAUUUCCAUUGAAAGACUCAUGUUUUGACAAAUCAUUAAAAGUUUCCUUCAAGAAAUAGUUAUUUAUCAAUAUUGUAUGUUAGAAAUUGCUUUCAAAUUGUUGAAAAAAAUACUACAAAAUUUAUAUUAUAUUGAAAUUAUAAAGUAAGAAAUAACUUAUCACAAACACUGUGUUGUGGCAAGACACUGCCUUGAAAGUAAUUUCGGCUCAACUCCGCUUGCAAUUGUUGUAGCCGGUCGCUUCUGAAGAUUCCACAGUUACUGUCAAACACAUUCACUCGUGUCUGAAAGUUUGGAGUGCACAGAAACAAUUUCCCAGAUAUCCAAAAUAGGAAGAAGGAUUAUUCAAGCCAAUAAAAGAAAUUAUUGAGGGAGAUAGUAAAUGAAGAAAGGACUUGAUUUUUCUUCUCUGUGUUUAGCUCCCAAAUGAUACUCCUUAAAUGGAAAAAUUGUUUAUGUUUCAUCCAUCAAAAGAAUGUAAGAAACUAACGUAUAAUAAAUGUGAUGAUACAUAACUCUUACUUGAAUGACAAAUUUGUCAUGAUAGAAAAGUAACUUCAAGUCUUCUCAAUAUUUUCUUACAAAGUUAAGAACCAACACUUUAGAUAAACCGAACCAUUAAUGAGGGUAAGACUGGGCAACGAAACCGGAAGUACCGGUACCAUUCCGGUUCGUCCCGUUUUUGUUGCCUAUGGGCCGGGCCGGGAUAGUCUAAACCAGUACACAGAACGGGACGAAACCGUCAUUUCGUACCGGAGUACCGGUAUCGGUUCAUUCCGGUUCCGGUCUGGUUUAUUUAAUAUUAAUAUUAUUUUUUUAUAUUUUAUAUAAUUUAUAUUUAUAUAUUUUAUAAAUUAUAUUUUAUAAUUCAAAAUUUAAAUUAACCGCCCCUGCCCCGCCCUGCCCGCCCUUGCUCCGCCCUGCCCGCCCCUACAGUAUGCAGUAUGCACUCUGCACUCUGCAUAAAGCUGCAGUGCACUGCAGCUGCAGCCUGGAGCCAGCCCCCCACCCCCUACCCUUUUCCCGAGACCCGGACCAACGACUUUAAACGUAAAAAUUUUAAAUGGCUAGUUUUUUUGUUUUAUAAAUUAGAGUUGAUUUGUAAAAAAUUUCUAUACAAAUUACAACUUACAAAUAUAAGUCUGAGUAUUUGAGAGAAUAUAUAUUUCAAGAUUAUAUUCAUAUUUAUAACUUAUAAGAUUUACCAAUUACGGAUUACAAAUUCUAAAAUUUCAAAUUUUCAAUAUUCAAUUCAGUUCUAAAUUCUUUAUAUCAUUUGGUCACUUGGUGUAUUUCGGAGGAGGAAUCUUCUUCAAAUUUCAAGUUUCGACAUUAGUAUUUUAAUUUUCGUUAUAAUCGUUUGUUCUUACACAAACGUUUGGUAACUUCGUUCCACUCUCUAAUCUUAUAUUUAUUUUUUGUAUUUAUUAUUUAACUUGUAAGUUGUUCUUGUUAUAUUAUUGUUCUUGUUAAGUUUCAUAUUUUGUAAUUUAUAAUUUUAUAUCAUGGAGUCUUCUAAAAAAAGUGGAAGUAAAAAAGGUCUAGUAGAAUCAGUAAAAAAAUUAGUUAAAAAAACUAAUAAAGGUUCUAGUUCUUCUAAACCUAAAAUUCCUCUUGUUAGAAUAAAUACAGAUGAAUUUACGCAUGUGAAUGAAACUAGUUUUUCCCAUCCCAGUCCUAUAAAUAUUAAUUCAGAUACUCCUAUGAUUCCCCAUGAACUCUAUGAAAGACAUUAUGGUAUUAAUCAAGAAAAUGAAGAAGUGGAAAUAGAUGAAUAAUUAAAUUUAGAUGAAGAAGUAGAUUUAGAUGAUACACCGACUAGCCCCGCCUCCGACCUCAAUACAGUCAAUAGUAUAGGUAUUGAAGCUCCACCUCCGGUUGGAACUACUCGUCCCCCUAUUAUUCCAACUAGAGGUAAGACUAAGGUACAACAUUCUUUAAAAUCACAUGUGUGGAAAUUUUGUUAUUUGAAUGAAGAAAAAACUUUUAGUAUAUGUAAUAUUUGUAAACAACAUUUUAAAUAUACAUCUGGUGGAUAGGAGGUUCAACAGGGGGAUUAAAAAACAUUUGAUUAACAAGCAUAGUAAAGAGUGGUUUGCAUAUAUGUCUUCUCUUGAAGUUGUUGAAAAUUGUAAUGUUGAAGAAUCGGUUAGAGGAUCAAAUAUGAUUCAAAGUGAAUUAAAUACUUCGAACCCAAGUGGUCCUCUUACACAUCGAACCUAUAACAAGGAUCGUGAUCGUGAAAACUUUGCUAAAAUGGUUGUUGUUUGUGGUUUACCUUUUAGUUUUGGAGAACAUCCGGGUUUUAUUGCUUAUAUUCAUGAAACAUAUAAUCCUAUUUUUAAAGGUUUAUCAAGAAGCAUGGUAAAAAGAAAUAUUUUCGAAUUUCAAGAAAAACAUUGUCAAUAUUUACGUGCCUAUUUUGAACUAAUGGAUUGUAGAGUUGCUUUUACUAAUGAUAUGGGUUGUAGUUCUAAUGUUUUGAUUAUUUAACUGUUACUGCACAUUGGAUCGAUUAUAAUUGGAAUUUACAAAAAAUAAUUAUUGGUUAUAAAAUUUGUCAAAAGAAAAAAACCGGAAUUGAUAUUGCUACUACUGUGUUGGAAAUUCUAGAUUUUUUUGGUCUUUGCGAUAAAGUCGUUAGUAUUACUUUAGAUAAUGCCUCUGCUAAUUUAAAUGCUAUUAAUAUGCUAAAACCUAGACUUUGUCCUAUUAGUAAAUAUACUUUUCAUGUUAGAUGUGCCGCACAUAUAUUAAAUUUGGUUGUUAGUGACGGUGUGAAAUUAUUUGGAAAUAGUUGUGAUAAAAUUGAUAAUGCUUGUUUUUACAAUUUUCAUAUGAAUAUUAGUAGUAGAAUUAAUCAAUUUAAAGAACUUUGUAAUGCAUUUAAACUUCCAUUAGAAAAGUUCCGAAGCAUGAAAAACUAGAUGGAAUUCCUUUUAUGAUAUGCUUGAAGUUGCUUAUGCAUAUAGGCAACCUAUUACUACGCUAUUUAAUAAUCAUAAUGCUUAUCUUGAAUUAAAAAUUAAUGAUAGUGAUUGGGAUGAAGUAAAUGAACUUAGAAUAUUUUUGAAAUCAUUUUAUGAUGGUACUAAAAUUUUUUCUGGAAUAUAUCAUCCUACUAUUUCUGAAAUUUUAAUACACAUAUGUGAGAUUUCAUCUAUUUUUUCUGAAUAUAAAACAAAUUCUUUAUUCACCUCUGCUAUUGAAGUUAUGAUUACAAAAUUUUAAAAAUAUUAUUUUCCUAUUCCUCAAAUUUACUUAACUGCACUUCUUUUCAACCCCAAAUAUAAAGAAUAUGGCACAAAAGCUUUAGUUGAAUGCAUUUAUCAGAAUUUAGAUAUUCAACCUGAAGAAGAACCUGAUUUGGUAACAUGUCAAAAUAGUAUAAAAUACUUUGCAAAAUAAAUGUAUGAUAAAUAUUCAUUCUUAGAUAAUGUUGAAAAUCCUCAAACGUCUAUGAAUCAAGUAGGUGCUCAUGGACGAGUUAAACAUAAACUUGGUCUUGACUCUUCUAAUAAAUGUGAAUUUGUUGAAUAUCUUGAAAAGGGUACAGAUGAUAUUACAAACGAUAAUAGUAUACCGGAACUAUUGAACUGGUGGAGGAAUCGUGGAGCUCAAUUUCUAAAACUUAGUAGGAUGGUGAAGGAUGUGCUUGCAAUUCAAGGAUCAUCAGUAGCUUCGGAGGCAGCUUUCAGCACGACAAGAUUUCAAAUUGGAGACCACAGAUAUUCGUUAGCAGAAGACAGCCUUGAGAUAUCAGUGUUAUUUAGAGACUGGAUAAAUGCUGAGCGUAGAAAUCAAGGACUUCCAAAGUUAGAUAGUCAAUUUGAACUUUUCAUAGAUUCAGCUAUUGGAUGUGGUAGUGAUGAUGGCAUCGAAAUUCAAGAUCGUCAACGAGCUUUACCAAGACCAGAAGUUGAUCACAAUCAAUCCAUAGCCGAGUUAGAAAGAGGAUUUACGGGACUAUACAACUAUAAGUAUUACAUUCGAGACAUAGUUGAAACAGAACCCUUCCUAGAAGGUGGCUGCGUAAGAUAUGUACUCUACUAAUAGUUGUAAAUUGAAAUUGUAAUUUGUUACAAAUUUAAAUAAAUCAAAAUUGAUAUUUUUUAAUUUUUGUAAUUGUUUUAUCCUUAUUUUAAUUUAAUUUUUUUAAAAUUACAAAUUUUAUUUAAUUAAUAUUUACAAGAUACAAGUUAUAAAUAUAACUUAUAAAAUAAAUAUUAAUGAAUAUAAGUAAUAACUUAUAAAGUAUAAACUUCAAAAGAUUUAAAUUUUGAAAACUUUAUUAGAUUACUUGCAAACUUAACAAUAACAAAAAAAUUAAUAAAAUAUCUUUAAAAUAAACUUAAGUAAAAAAUUAUAGUAUAAAUUUAAAAACUAUUAAUUUAUACUUAAAAAAUAAAAAAAUAAUUAUAUUUUCGUAAUUUCAAAAAAUAUUGUCCCGUUAAUCCUGUCCUGUUCCAUCCUGAUCCGUUCCGGUUCAUUCCGGUUCCAUCCCGGUACAUAGUGGAAUGGGACGGAAGCGAUGAACCAUCCCGAUAAUUCCGGUCCAGUUCAUCCCGAUACCGGUCAACAUUCCGGUUAACGGAUUCCGAUCCGGUCCGAUACCGGUUCAUUCCGGUCCGGUGACCCGGUUCCGGUCCGUUGACCCGGUUCCGGUCCGUUGACCCGGUUCCGGUCCGUUGACCAGUCUUAAAUGAGGGAGUAACUUUUCUAUUUCACAUAGACUAAUGACUUAGCAAUAUUCAAAUAGAUUAAUUACGGGGAUUUAAAAGAUUUAACUUAUACUUUGCGUCAAAAGAAAAUGGAAUAUUAUCCACAAUCAUGUCCUCUUCUUUGACUACAGAACAAGAGAGCAAAUUGAUUAGAGUAUUGAAAGAGACUUAAAGAUCCAUUGGAUAGACUAUAAAUGACAUCGAUGGAAUAAGUUUAAAUAUUUCCAUACGUAGGAUCCUCUUGAAGAGAAUUAUAAAACAAUAUUCCAACCCCAAAGGAGAUUAAAUCCAAAAAUACAAGAAGUUGUCAAGAAUGAAAUGGUAAAACUUCUAGCAGCAGGUAUUAUUUAUUCAAUUACAGAUAGUCCUUGGUAAGUCCUAUAAAAGGUAGUACCAAUGAAAGGAGAAUGACUGUAACAAAGAAUAAAAAUAAUGAACUCAUUCCUACAAGAAAUCGUUGGAUGGAAAGUUUGUAAUGAUUGUAGUCAACUUAAUAAGGCCACAAGAAAAGAUCAUUUUCGUCUUCCUUUUAUUGAUCAAAUGCUUGAGAAAAUUGAUUUCUAUUGUUUUUUGAUGGGUAUUUUGGAUACAAUCAGAUAUCAAUUGCCCGAAGAUCAGGAUAAAACUAUAUUUACAUUCCUCCAAAGUAUGCAUGCUUAUCGAAAAAUUUCAUUUGGACUAUGCAACACUCCUGCUACACUCCAAUGCUGCAUGUCGACAAUUUUUGCAGACAUGAUCCUUGAAAUAUUGAUGGACAAUUUCACACUUUUUGGUAAGACAUUUGACGAUUGUCUCUUUCAUUUAACUUUAAUACUAAAAAGAUGUGAAGACACAAACUUGAAUCUUACUUGGAAAAAUUUUCAUUUCUUGGUAAAAGAGGGAAUUGUAUUAGGACAUAAAAUUACUAUUAAAGGAAUAGAAGUUGAUAAAGCAUAAAUUGAUCUAAUUGCAGGAUUGCCUCCUCCAAAUAUUGCAAAAGACAUUAGAAGUUUCUUAGGACAUACUAGUUUUUGAGGAAGGUUUAUAAUAGAUUUUUCUAAAAUUUCAAAACCACUUACUAACAUAGUAAUCAAAGAUGUGAAGUUUGAUAUUUUAGAUAAGCCAGAAAACCAUUUGAAAUACUGAUGGAACAAUUGUAUAAACCGCCUAUAGUUGUUUCUCUUGAUUGGAGCCAACCAUUUGAAAUAAUGUGUGAUUCAAGUGAUACAACAAUUGGAAUAGUUUUGGACAAAAAAGAGAUAAAAAUUUUAGACCCAUUUACUAUGCUAGUAGAACACUUAAUGAAGCGCAAAAGAAUUAAUUCACAACAAAAAAGAACUACUAGCAGUAGUAUUUGCAUUUAACAAAUUGCAUUCUUAUUUAAUUGGAAAUAAAGUUACUGUAUUCCAUAAUUAUGCAGCUUUAAAGUAAAUCUUAACAAAAAAAAGAUGCUAUACCUAGAUUUUUAAGAUGGAUACUCCUUCUACAAGAAUUUGAUCUUGAAAUAGAUUGAAAGGGAUCCCAAUAUCAGGUAGUUGAUAAUUUUUCAUUCUUGGAAAAUCCUCCUAUAGAGACAACAUAUUAAAGAGGAAUUUCCUGAUCAACAUAUUUAUGCAAUCACUUUAAAUGUAAAUCAACCUCCAUGAUUUGCUAACAUUGCCGAUUGUUUGGCUGGUGGAUGGAUUCCAAAAUAUUUUACUUAUGAACAAGGAAAAAGCGUAAGAAAAAUGCAUCACAUUACUAUUGUAAUUACUUAUAAUAUUUUGUGUAGAUAAUAUAAUUAGGAUAUGUGUACCAUAGAUAGAAAUGAAUAACAUCUUAAGUCAUUGUUAUGAAGAAACUAUUGGAGGGGACUAUGGAGGAAUAAAAACAGCUCCAAAAGCACUUGAAGUAGGUUUUUUUCUGGCCCACUCUAUUUAAAGAUGCAAGAAAUUAUGUUUCUUCUUGCGAUAAAUGCCAAAGAAGUGGUACCAUUUGAAAAAGACAUGAAAUGUCUCUUAACUCUAUUCAAGUAUGCGAAAUAUUUGAUGUUUGGGGCAUUUAUUUCGUGGGUGGAUCUCCUCCAUCAAAUGACUGCGAAUAAAUUUUAGUGGUUGUUGACUAUGUGUCAAGAUGGGUAGAAGCAGUAGCUACUAGAAAAAAUGAUAACCGUGCUUUUUGUGAUCUCCAUAAGAAGAAUAUAUUUUCUAGAUUCGGAACUCCACGAGAUAUCAUAAGUGAUCAGGGAAAUCAUUUUGUAAGCAGACAAUUCACUAGUUUGUUGUCAAGAUAUGGAAUAACUGAUAAAAUAGGAACUUCAUAUCCUGCUCAAACAAAUCGGCAAGUAGAAGUAUCCAAUAGGGAGUUUAAAAGAAUUUUAGAGAAAGCUGUUGGAUCUUCUCGAAAAGAUUAGUAUAUAAAAUUAGAGGAUGCCUUAUGGGCAAAAAGAAGAGCUUUCAGAAUACCUAUUGGUACAUCUCCUUAUAGAUUAGUCAUUGGAAAAUCUUGUCAUUUACCUGUUGAAUUGGAACAUAAAUCUUAUUGGGCUAUAAAAAUGAUUAAUCUUGAUCUGUUAGAUAAGGUGAAAUUAUUUAUUGCAACUUGACGAAGUAGUUGAGUUCAGACUUGAUGCAUAUGAAAAUGCUAAGAUUUACAAAGAAAAGAAAAAAGAAUGGCAUGAUAAUCUCAUUCACCAUGAGGAUUUUAAAAUUGGAUAUCAUGUUCUUUUUUACAAUAGUUGAUUGAGACUGUUUUCGGUAAAAUUCAAGUCACGUUUGAUAGGACUGUACAUUGUAACAAAAGUUACCCCUUAUGGUUCCAUGGAAAUACAACAUAUUAAUGGGGGAGAAAAUUUAAAGUAAAUGGUCAUCGGUUGAAACGUUAUGUCACAAGAAUUUUUACAACCAAAUGUCAACAAUUCUUUUUGCUUUGCGUAAUAUUGAAAAGUCGAGCUGGCAGCAAUAAAUUCAGAACAGCUGGCGGCAUUUAAUUUUUCUUUACAACAGGUGAGUCAUAAGAAGCGAGAAAAAAACGUUUAUUAAAAAUUGGGGAUGCAGUACACAACAAAAAAACAAAAAAAAUUGUGGGAAUUAGAGAUAAACAAAGAUGAUACAAUCACAAGAAAAGCAGAGAGAAACUUGAGUCUUUCUUCUAUCUCAGAAAACUAGCUUACAAGAUUAUAAAUAGCAGUUGAAAAGAGAGAAAAUAGGGCACUAUCCCAUGACCUGCUAAUUAAUAACUACAACUAAUUUAGAAGUCCUAAUGCUAAUAAAUUGGAUACGUAAAAGGCUCCUAAAAAUACUGACAGUAACUUACUGACUUUUGAAUCAGUGAAAUAACACUUCCCCUUGAUUCAAAAUCACACACUCCCAACUGCAACGUAAAAAAAUUCAUGCUUAGCCUGAGGAAGAGACUUCUUAAAUAUAUCUGCUACUUGCUCGUUUGCGCUGCAGAAUUUCAACACUAUUCUUCCUUCAGCUAAUGUCCAGAUGAAGUGAUAUUGCAAAUAAAUGUGCUUGGUUCUCCCAUGAAAGGAGUAUUCUUAGCCAUAGAAACUGCUGAUUUGCUAUUAGAAAAAAUAAUCUCAGUAGACUCCUUUUGCUCGUAAUUAAAAUAUGCAAGUAGUUAAUGGAGUCAUAAAGCUUGUCGUGCUACUAAACUUGCUGUUGUAUACUCCUUCUCAGAUGUUGACAGAGCUACUUUCUUCUGCUUCUUUGAACUCCAUGUCACUGCUCCAGAACCAAAGCUGAAACAACUACCAGAAGUGCAUUUUCGAUCAUCCAAACAGCUUGCUUAGUCACUAUCUAUAUAGAAACAAAUAUAAAAUUUGAUACUUUAGAAUACCAAAUACCAAAGUAUGUUGUUCCAGCAUCAUAGCAAACAAUUAUUUUUGCAGCACCUAAAUAUUGCUUUGUCGGAUUUCGCAAAAAUCUAGACACAACACUAAUAAAAAAAGCAAUGUCAGGUCUAGUGUGCGUUAGAUGAUUUAAACCACCAACUAGACUUCUGAACAAUCUCUGAUUUGCUUUCUCAGUUCCAUCUACAUGCUGCAACUUCUUAUUAGGUGUAGCUGCUGCUUCACAAUUAUCAUAUGAGAUUUUUCCAAAAGAUCCUCUGCAUAUUUGUUUUGAGAAAUAAAAAUUCCCUCUUUAUCUUGGAUUACUUCAAGCCCUCAAAAAGUAUUUCAUUAAACCCAAAUCAGUCAACGCAAAGUUUCUCAUCAUACUUGAUUUGAAAUCAUCAACUUGAGACAUUGAUGAACCAAAAUAAAUCAUAUCAUCAACAUAGAGACAAAAUUCAAAAAUUCUCCGUUACCUUGGUUUUUUUUAAAGUACAAUGUGGGUUCAUUUUCACUUCUCAUGAAUCCUCUAUCUUGAAAGAAUGAAUCAAUUUUGUUGUCUCAUGCACGCGUAGCUUGAUUUAGUCCGCAAGAGCUUUUAUUAUCUUGUAGACUUUGUUCUCAUUGCCAUUAAUAACAAAGACCUGAGGUUGUGAAAUAUAAACCUCUUCUUCUAGAUCACCAUUCAAAAGGGCAUACUUCAUAUCAAAUUGAUACACGCGAAACACAAUUGCGCAGCCAAACCCACAACUACUCUCACUGUUUCAUAUCGUGCAACAAGGGAAAAGUUUCUUCAAAAUCUAUAUCUUGUUGCUGGGAAUAUCCUUUUGCCAUGAGACUAGCUUUAUUCUCUUUAAUUCUCCCAUCUACAUUGCCCUUUUUUUUUAAAACCCACUUGAUCCAUAUGACGUUACUUUCUUCAGGUGAAUCAACUAACUCCAAUGUAAAAAUUCUUUUAAUUGCUUACAUCUCUUCUACCAUAGCAUUCUUCCAUUCAUUGUUCUGCCGGUUCUUCAAAACAACCAGGAUCUGAAACACGGAAUGCAAAUUUACAAGAAGUAUUUACAUUGUUGGAAUAUUUGGGAUUUGGUUUCCUUUAUCUUAUUGAUAUUCUAAGUAAAAUUGUCUCAUCAAAACAAUCGUCAAGUGUUGCAGAUGUUGUCGGUACACUGGGCAAGUUUUCAGGAGUAGGAUUUGCUGCUAUAGAUUGUAUCAUUAGAUAACAAUUUUAGAUUUGCAAAUUACAAGAAUUAAGUUCCAAGAGAAAUCCUCCGUUAACUUAUAGGAUUAUAUAGACGAUAUACUUUUGAUUGAAGACUAUAGCCAACAAAAACACAUUUUUCAGAUCUUUCAUCAAGCUUCGACUGAAAAUUAACCAUAGUAUAUGCUAUACAACCAAAGCAUUCUUAAGUGGCUUACUCGUGGUUUCUUACCAUUCCAAGAUUCAAGAGGUGUCGUGUUCCAAACAAAUUUUAUUGAAAGGAUAUUCAAAAGAUUAACAUUGGUUUCAACAGCUUCUCCAGAAAAGUAAUAUGGUAGACCUUUUGCUUUCAGCGAGUUUCUAGCCAUUUCCACAACAGUCAAAUUCUUUUGUUCGGCCACACCAUUCUGCUCCAAUGUAUAUGGGGAUGUAAGUUCCCUACGGAUUUCAUUCUCAUCACAAAAGAAAUUAAAUUCUUUAGACAAUAAUUCACCACCUCUAUCGAUACAGAGUGAUUUUAUCUUUCUUCCACUUUGAUUCUCUACUGAUGCUUUAAAUUUCUUGAAAUUCUCAAAGUUUUCUGAUUUUAUUUUCAACAAAUAAACCCAUCUAAACCGGUUGUAAUCAUCAAUAAACAUCAAAAAGUACCGAAUGCCACCCAGUAAUUCCAUUUUCAUUGGCCCACAAAAGUUAGCAUGCACAAUGUCAAGACAAGUUGUAGCCCUCCAUGAUUUUCCUACCGGAAAUGAUUUCCUAGCUUGCUUCCCAUAUAUACAUCCUUCACACAUGUCAUGUUCAUUGAUUUUUGGCAAGCCAAUAACCAUAUCUUUUUGAACCAAAAGUUGCAAACUGUUAACAUUCGAAUGUCCAUAAUGUAAGUGCCACAUAUUAGUCUCAUUGUUUCCGUUGACAACUAAGCAAUAUUUUCAAUACUUACGAUAUCAAGGGGAAACAUUUUAUUUUUAGUCAUAGAUAUAUGAGCUAUGGUACGUACUGAUUUCUUAUCUUUAAUAUCACAUGCUUGAUCAUCAGUAGCAACUGAGUACCGACUAGUCAUCAAUUGGCCAACACUACAGGUUGUGAGCCAAAGUGGGAACAUGUAACUCCCCAAAACAAAAUAUGGUGAACUAGAGACUCCUGGUUGUUUCUUGAUUGAUUUUAAGUUAAACUAAGUUAGUUUAGUUUCCUUUGGCUGUGUGUGAAGUUUGGUUAAAUUUUGAGUUCAAUCGACCAAGAACAUCCAUGACGUUUGGAAAGUAUGCCUUAGAAUGUACUAGUGUGUCUUGUCGUGUUUAGAAGAGUUUUACAGAUUCAUUUUACUUGAAACCUGCAUUGGAUAUUUAAUUUCACGACGGGAAUCUAGACCCCAGACAAGACCGACAUCGUUGACCUCUCAGAGGUCGCAUACAAGCCUACUUAUGUCAUUCUUCCUUUGCGUAGGCUAAUUUUAGCAGAAAAUUUGAAUAUUUUGUUUCAUAACAUACUAAUAAAAACAUUCUCAUAAAUACGUGAUUGUUCACCAUCAUCCAUGUAACAUUAAGAGAUAAGCAACUGCAAGAAAUAGUUCAAUUCUUAUUAAGUGUAUAAUUUCCAAAAUGGCACAAAUACAUAGUCUGAAUAAAAACAGGAAAGAAACGCUAGUGGAACAUGGUACACUAGAUCAACCCUAAAAAUAAGCUAGAAUAUAAACAACAGCAUCGUCGAAAGAAUGAGGACCUACCAAAGCCGGAUGAAUGCUGAACGUCCGGAUAACUACAGCGAUGAUCCUGUAGCUCUAUUGUCCACCUGUGCCGGCACCUAAAAUAGUAGAUUUUCUAUAGGGAUGGUAUAUAGUUGUACUUUGUAUGGGUAUAUGCAAUCAAACACAAGGAAAUGCAUGAGAAAGAUUAACUCUUCCCUAAUGACAUGAUUUUUGGAAGGCAAGUCAGUGGACUUGCCAAAUUGAAACAAGGAAAGUUCCCAAUUUUGGAUUAGGAAAGUCAGUGAGCUUUCCAUAUUUGGAAUAGGAAAGUUAUGCCAUGAUAAUAACAUACAUUAUAAUACUUUUCACAUUUUAACACAUCACAUAACAUUUACACAUAGCAUAUAUCAUAUAACAUACAACACAUUUUGCACGUAACACAUAACUUCUUUAAUAUCAUUCAUUCAUAUGCCAUGAGACCUUGGAAUCAUGGACUUAACAUCAAGACAUCCUAUAAAUGAGGGCUCUACAGAUGGGAUCUCAACUAGGGAGUCUUCAUUAGCAAAUACAGAGUCUGCUUCGUUCAUUCAUACGUACUACAUUUCAUUUCAUUCAUAGACCAGUUUAAACACCAGGUAUACCUAGGAUGUAGUUUAAGACUUCCAUUAGGUUCUUUGUGCAACGACCAAGAAUGACCUAAUGUCAUUACUUGAAUCUAACUCACCUUUUGAUUAUCCUAUCCUAACACCUUUGGUAUCAUUCAUUUCAUUAUAUGCAUCAUUUGAGGCUGGCCUCAUUCUUCCUUGGGAACUUUAACUUUAACCGACAUAGAUCAUGUGAGCAUCAUGAAAUUUAGUGUCUCCCCGACAUCGAAAAGAGGUGGAAUCACCGAAAAAAGUGACCCAAAACAUUCUAGAGUACAUGGGAAUUUAACCCCGUGAGAUCCCUAUAUUGGCUGUAUAGGUUUGAAGACUAGGAUAUGUAAGGAGACCCAUACUCGGCGAGCUGGACAGUCUCAUCUCAGGAGAGUUACGUGAACCUCCGCCCUUCCUGAAAGAAGGCAUCACUGCUCAUAGCUAGCCUAUCGGUGCUCAAUAUAAAGUUCCAUUUCAUUCAUCUCGUACGUCAUGGAAGCUUGCUCUAGUAUGAGGACAUUAUUGCUCAUUAGAUGAUUUCUCAUCUCCUCAUUAGUAUUAAGGGUGUUAAACUCAAUACUUUCAUUAGAGUGUUCAUAGAGACUGGUCUCUUCAUUAUCUUAUACUCUCAUAGGUGAGUACAGUUUUGUAACAUUUACUUAGGCUCAUUUGAGAUUGCUCUCAUCAUUUAUAUUAGCCUCAUAUCAUGUUGUCACCACAUUCCUUAUAAUUAGCACCUUUUCUUUUCAUAGUUACUCACCUCUUAUUACGUGAAUGUUCAUUUCAUCAUAUGCCAAUGAACUUGGCCAUUUAGUGUGUUUCACACCCUUACUUAACCCUUCUAGGGUUUCAACAUUUCAUUGUUCAUUUCCUUAUUUCACUGUUCAUCUCAUCUUAUGACAAUGCACUUUGCCAUUUAGUGUAUCUUACACUUAUACUUAACCCUUCUAGGGUUCAUCAUUUCAUUACAUACAUCUUAGGUUCACUUACUUUUCAAUGUAUGCCAGACUUAUGAGUCUAUACACACAAGCCACAGGGAUUCAUUCAUAGUUUGUUAAGUGAUGAUACCUAAGAUCAUGUAGUACAAGACUUGUGUAUCUUGUAUAUAUGCCAAGAUCUUAAUUUCGAUCUAAGUAGGUGAAAUUAUUUUUGGAUAUUUUGUUCACGUAUGACUUAUGUAUCAAUACGGAAGUUUUGGCAAGGAAACCCAAAUUCGAAUAACUUUGAUAACAUUUACAUUUUUCAUUGAUUUCAAUCUUAAUUUCCAUAACAUCGGAAUUCUAGAUCGAACUCCAACAUUAAGAUUGUACCUUAAAUUUUCUACUUGGUUUCCUCUUAAAUUGGCCGUAGGAUUGUGGGUUAGAGCUCUCACAACCUCUUUUAUUUUAUUCUUUAAUUUUUCUCCAGGGCAUUGGGAGGUUGCAGGUUCGAACCCCACAAUCUUCUAAUUUUUGUUGUUAAUUUCGCUUGAGCAUCGGGAGGUUGUGUGUUCGAACCCCCACAGACUCCUUAUUUAAAUUUUUAAUUAAAACUCACUAGCCUGGGUGUUUGGAAUUGAGGUUGUGGGACAGAUCCCCCACAGCCUGAACUCAUUUUUUUCUUAUUUUAAUCGUCUUCUCCUUUCCGUCCUUGUGGUUGUGGUUUCGAUUCCCACGCCUCACAUUUUACUUUCUUUUUUUUCUGUUCUUUCACUCGCAGCCUGGAGGUCGUGGGUUUGAUUCUUAUACCUCCCAUUUUUUAAUUUUAAUUCUUAUUCUGUUCUUACUAACCCAACAGACCCUAUUUUGAUCCCCCCCACCCCACUUUUCUUUUUCCUACUUGCGAAUUCCAGUAGCUAAAGGGUGAGGUCACAGGUUCGAACCCUGGUGGCCUCACCUCUUUUAAAUGUAUUAAAUUUCCAGAUUUCAACCCCCCUUUUGAACGAAAUUUAAAGUACACUAAGUUGGAAAUUUUUUCUUAAUUUUUUAGCUUCCUUUGAUCAACCUUUUCAUGUUAGUUUCUUAGGGAAUAUCACCAAGAAUUAAGUGCAUUAUUUGGUGUAAUUUAGUAGUUACAUUAGUCAAGCGUUUUCACUCAAAAUUUGUAACUUUACACACCAUAUGAACAUCACAUUGUGAACAACUUUAGCAGAUAAAAUACAUGAAUUUACAUGACUUUUCACGUCCCAAAAAAGUGACUACUUCACUGCCACAUAUUGCACACACACAUCACCUUUUUCACAUGUUUUCAAACAACAUAAUCAUUAUUCACACAAUUUUGAACAUAAAUACUUAAACAUACACAUCACGAAAACACAUUUCAUCCCUACUUUGUACCAACAAACAUACCCAACCUUAAGUGUAAUGGAAGCUAGUGAGAGGGACAUGCAAAGGGGGAACAAUCCUAGUAUUUGGAGUGAAUAUCUUGAAUAUUAAGGGGUAUCUUGGGAAAGGAACCAAGAGUAAAGAAACCCAUAACUUAAUUGAUGUUUAAUCAAUGAAUUUGCUGCCAAAACCCUCUCCAAAAUCAGUCCAGGCUACCUCAACGCCCACACCACUCAACGAACAGCUUCUCUUUGCCUUAAUGUUUUUGAUUGCUUUGUUUUUCUUAAAAUUUUAUGUGAGUUCUUAAAGUGUGAAGGACUCUUGAUAUUACUUCUAAUAUUUUUUUUGCAGAACCAACGUGAGGGAGAGAAUGAUGAAAUGCGAGAGAGAUCGUGAGAGAGUAGUAAAAAAUUAGGAGUUUUAGUUUGGGAAUUAGUUAAACUAGGACUCGUUAUUGAUUUAAAUAAAAACCUAAUUUAAUUAGCUUAGUUAAAGGACCAUUAUGCCCCUAAAAAAUCAGAUUAUAAACAUUAAUUAAAUCACCAACUUGAUGCUUCCAAUGGGGCUCGAACUCGGGUAGAGUGGCCCUUGUGAAAUGGACCAUUUUGGGCAGCUUAAGCUUAAUUGGUUCUUUAAUUAAAUUAAUUAAUUAAUUCGUUAGGGUAAUUACAAUAUUACCCUUGGCUUGGAUAAGACCAUUUUACCCUUGGGCCCUCGAAACUUAAGGUUUCUUUUUUUUAGUCCGAUAAAGAAUCCUUCGAUUAAAUCUUUGUUUAUUAGAGCCUUACUUGGUUGGUUCCAAUCUUCCCAAGAUCAACUAACUUCUCAUGUUGGUUGGUAUAGUCGUAGUAAGGGUUCUGAGAUCUGGUUCUACGCGUAUCAAUCUGUGUGAACCUUGGUCUAAUCUUGAACAUUCUUGAUUAAGUAUUUGUCCUAUUCAUUUUUAGGGUUGUUACAUUAUCCCCCUUUAGGAACAUUCGUUCCCAAAUGACACUACAACUACAAAUCGUAAUGCCAAACAGAUCAUAACAUAAUCACUAUGCACAGUCAAGAAAUAGCAACAAAAUACAGAGAGAUUACGAAACAUAGACUUAAGAGUAGGAAAUCUAACCUCAAAAGCUGAAAAGAUGAGGGUAGCGGGAUCUCAUGUCAGCCUCAGCCUCCCACAUAGCACCAUCAACAAGAUGAUUUCUCCACAAUACCUUCACUGUGGCAAUCUCCUUGUUCCUCAGCCGCUUGACAUGUCUGUCUAAGAUCUCAACUGGUUCCUCCUUAUAAGACAAGUCUUCAUCCACUCCCAAACCUUCCAAAGGUAGAAUCGAUGCUGGGUCACCUAGGCACUUCUUUAACAUGGAUACAUGAAAGGCUGGAUGGACAAAAUCUAGCUCCGCAGGCAACACUAACUCAUAAGACACCUCACUCACACGCAGUAUGAUCUCAUAUGUCCCAACAUACCUCGGACUCAGUUUCCCUUUUCUGCCAAAUCUCAUCACUCAUCUCAUAGGUGAUAUCUUCAAGUAAACGUGGUCACCAACCACAGAUUCUAAGGGUCUCUUUCUGUUGUCUGCAGAUGACUUCUAUUGGCUCUAAGUAGUAUCCAACCUGUCUCUAAUCACUCUAACCUUCUCUAAGGUCUCAUGAAUGAUAUCUGGACUCAAAAUGGAUUUAUCUCCGACCUCAAACCACCCAAAUGGAAAUCUACACCUCCUACCGUACAGUGCCUCAAACGGUGCCAUCCCAAUGCUUGAGUGAUAACUGUUAUUAUACAAGAAAUCUAUCAAAGGCAAAUGAUCAUCCCAACUACCUCUAAAGUCAAUUACACUUACCCUCAACAUGUCCUCCAAUAUUUGAAUGGUGCGCUCAACCUGCCUAUCAUUCUAAGGUUGAAAGACGGUACUAAGCUUUACCUGCGUGCCUAAGCUUUUCUGGAAAGAUCUCCAGAUAUAUGAAGUAAACUGAGCUCCUCUAUCUGAAAUGAUACACAAAGGAAUCCCAUUCCACCUCACAUUCUCAUCAAUACAAAUUCUUUCAUAAUCCUCGGCUCUGUAGGUAGACUUCACAGGGAUAAAGUGAGCAAACUUAGUCAAUCUGUCCACAAUAACCCAUAUGGAGUCAUGCUACCUCCUAGCCCUCAGAAGACCAACCACGAAGUCCAUAUUAAUGGCCACCCACUUCUAAGUUGGAACCUCAAUAAUUUGAGUCGUACCACCAGGCUUAAGAUGCUCUGCCUUUACCUGCUGACAAUUAGGACACUUGGCCACAUAUUCUGCAAUAUCCUUCCUCAUGCCAUCCAACUAAUAGAGCUAUUUAAGAUCAUGAUACAUUUUGGUGGAACCUGGAUGUAUGGAACAUGUGGAACCAUGGGCCUGUGCCACAAUCCUGGUCCAUAUAUCAUCCACAUCUUUUAUACACAACAUGUCCUGGUAUCUAAGUAUGCCAUCACCCCCAAAAGCAAAAGGCUCAUUCAUUUUUAACAACACUCAGUCCUUUAGCUCCAUCAACACAGGAUCAAGAUGCUGACCCUUCUUGACUUUAAUUACCAAGGAUGAUUCAGAACUAGGAUGAAUUGAAACACCCCCACUAGUAAAGUCAACUAAUCGCACACCUAGUCUGGCCAGUUUGUGUACCUCUUUUUCCAACUCCUACUUCUCAUCCUAAACGUGGGCUGUACUCCCCAUGCUCAUCCUGCUUAAAGCAUCAGCCACAACAUUACCCCUACUUGGAUGGUAGUGCACAUUUAUGUCAUAAUCCUUCAAAAGCUCUAACCAUCUCCACUGACGUAGAUUCAACUCCCUCUAUGUGAACACGUACCUGAGACUCUUAUGAUCUGUGAACACAUCCACAUGCACUCCAUACAGAUUAUGCCUCCAUAGCUUCAGUACAAACACCACAGCUGCCAACUCCAGGUCAUGAAUGAGAUAAUUCUUCUCAUGAACCUUGAGUUGUCUGGAAGCAUAGGGGUUACCUUACUAGCCUGCAUAAGAACACAAUCUAAACCAACCCUAGAUGCAUCACAAUAGACACUGUAAUUCUCAUCACACUUAGGCAGAGUUAACACCGGGGCUUAAGUGAGUGUGUCCCUGAGCUCCUGGAAACUCUUCUCACAAGUCUUCUUCUAUUUAAACUUGGCUUUCUUUUUUGUCAAAGCUGUAAGUGGGGCAGCAAUGGAAGAAAAUCUCUCCAAAACCUGCGGUAGUAACGAGCCAAUCCCAAAAAGCUACGGAUAUUAGUGAGAGUAUAGAAAACCUCCUUCAUGUCAAGCAAGACCUUCAUCAUAAUGUCGUUGAGACCAACAUUAUGCAUGUAAGAUAAGACCACAUCAUAUAUAUUCAUUUGGACUUUUACCAAAUAUUUCAUCACAACAAGUACACAACACUAUAAUGUAAUGCAUAAGGACAUAAGUAGAAUCAUAUACUUUAGAACAUCUUCCAAGAACUCCCUUCAAGAGCUACUUGUGCAAUGCAUAGGUGAAGUCCCAUACCCUCACCUACACAAAGCAACUUCCCUUUGAUUAUCCUAGUUAUGGUCCUAGCUUUACUUCCAUUGACCAUUUUAAUUUAGGGAAACUAUAUCCUUGACCGACACUAAGACCAUAAGAUCUAAACAUGGAAUUUGUUGUUGUAGAGCCUUACACCAAGAAAAGGUGCUCCACUUUGACAAAGUAGACCAUUAACAUCAUGAUAGUUUAUUAGGUGAUAUCACUUGCUAGUUCCUAUGGGGAAAGCAUAGUUUAUGGAACUUGGAGGCAUAUAUGGAAACAUUCUUUAUGACAAAUGGGGCAUUGUAGUUAUCCACCUCAUGAGGACUAUGGUGAGCAAGCUUUCCCACAUUGGGAAGGGGCACCCCUAAUCUAAGUUCACUCGGUGCUAAGCUAAGUUCCCUUUAUUGGAAGUCUUUAUUAACAUUACUUUCUAAACAUAGGAUUUAGGAGAUUGACUUCUCAUAUUCUUAGCUCAUAGGUCAUAUAUUAGAGUUCAUCGACCUGAGUCAUGUGAGAAAACCUUUCACAUGGACAUAGUAUAUUAAAGCCCAUAUAGUUUAGGGUAUGCUUGAGAACAUCUUUCAAGAGACUUUCUAUUGACUAGAUCAUCAUACAUGUAUCGGUGAGUAUACAUAUAUGUGCGCAAGAAUUUCACAUAAACACUCUUAGACAACACAUGUUCAUACUUCAUUUCAUGUAUGCAUAAGUGUACAAGUGUAACUAUAUGAUCAAUCCUUUUAUAUAAAAGUACAUUUAUACACUAGGUAUAAUGAUACUUCAUCAUACCAUAUACUCGACAUCCAAGCAUAUAAGACAUGUUCAUAAAAUAUUCGUACAUUCACAUUCAUGUACAUUAAUAACAAAACCUAGGAUUUAUCUUUUCAAGGCACACAUGUUCAAUGCAUAGAUAAAGUCCCAUACCCUUGCCCAUACUAGUACACCUAUCAAGUCAUCCUAGUUAAUGUAUACAAAAGAUGCUUCAUAAGCAUAUGGUUACAUGCAUAGUAGUAGACACAAGUGCAUAUUAAAAUACCCUUUCAUUAUAAAUUAUGAACUUAUACUACUUUGUAAGAAUGCAUACGAUGUGCAUGUGUGUGUGCAUAGGUAAACAUGAUCACAUAAUGGCUAUCAACAUCAUCUUGAGGAAACCAAUCUCUUAAGACCACUAUUCACAUUCAAGUAUAAAUCACACACCACAUACUAGUGUAGGAGAAAAGACAACUUUAUAUUACAUUCAAGACUCCUAACCUUAGCUAUUCACACAUUCAUAUAUGGGUACAUAGGUAGGGGUCAUCAAUAUUCAUUAAUUCAUCAAUGGAAGCACCUAUGCAUAACCCUAAAAUAGUCAUUCACAUGCUCAUAACAUUAUCCAUACAGACUAGAUUAUAAACUAGCAUAGAAAUUAGCUAGGCAUAAGCUUCACAUAGUGUGAUCAUCAUAACCACACAUUCAUAAGACAAUUUCCUUCAAGUCCAUAAUCACAUCACAUAUGUAUUGUCAAUAAGGUAAACACCGUCACCAUAAGUGGACCAUACCUCACAAUGCCAUACAAGUCCAAUCAUCUAACAAUUCUAUAUCAAAGUGGAGAAAUAGAGAAAUCUUACAGGAUCUCCAUUUCUUUGAUUAUCAAUGAUACGUACUCCUUUUCCUCAAUAAUACAAUUAUUGGGUAGUAGCUAAAGAUAAAAUAACCUGAGCAAAAUCCUACUUCAAUUUCCAUAGAAUCGAGAUCACCUUGAAUAUACUACUUGAACAAUCUCUAGAAGAUAGAAGAACAUAGGUUAAUAUCAUUCAAACCUUCAGACCUUGAUCCCCAUGGAUCACUCAUCAACAAUUCCCCAUCAAUAUACAUAAUAGGCAGUAUAUAUAAGCCUUGUGUGUCUUAGCAUGUUUCGUCAAAUUUUUUGUGUUCAUUUUGGAUGAAAUUGAUGUGAGAGGUCCUAAACUCGUAUACAAUAAUAUUCGAGUUAGAAACGUCCGGGAAAACAUCCCCAAGGACCAACCAAGGGUCCUUAAGGAAGGAACCUCCAUUUGAGGAGAAAGGCUGUCAAGACCAAUCCCAAUCAACUGAGGCAAUCGACAGCCAGUUGGCUGGCCGACGCCACGUCUUUCGUGGUCGUUUGUCACGACAUAUCAUAGGGAGAUUAAUCUCCCACAGGAUAUUCUUUGAACCAAACAACGACCAUCCAGGAUAGUCCAUUUUUGGACAAAUGGUCCGUCAAUGGGCAGGCGUCGAUGGUCUGUGUCACUUGCGCAACUAUACUGUAAAAAUAUAAGGAUGAAUUGGUAAAUUCACCCCACAUCUAAAUAAGAGUUUGGGUGGUUUCCUAAGGGUAUUUUAGGUAUAUUAUGAGGGUUCAUAAGUCCUAAUUACCUCUUCGGAUAGAUUUUAGUGAGAACAUUGCAUGCUAGAAAAGGGUCAUGGUGAAGUUGAGGAACUUCACUGUAGCAGUGAAAUAAUUCACUAUGACGGUGACCUAGUUCACUAUAAGGUCAUUAAAAAGUGAUAAGAGGUUUAUGUGUUAUCUUAUGUGUUUAUAAGGUGUUAAAUUUUGUUCUUAUCCUUAUAGUGUGAUGUUUUAACAAAAAAGAGCACAUUUUCAUUAAAUUUCCGUUAUCAUGAUUUUUAUGCAAUAUUUCAUACUUAGUACAUGUGUUUGUACAAAUUCUAUGCUUUAUCUAUCUCUAAAGUGAUUCAUAGGUAAAUGUGCUUUUGGGAGUGAAGCUUGGAUUAUAGGAUCGUUAGAGCAAAUUGAAGUAUUACUUCAUUUGAGUCGAGAGAUAGAUGUCUUUGAUUUCUUAUUUUGUUGUAUUAUAAUAGACUGAGUUGUACUAUUCACACCAUGAGCUACCCCCUGAGACGCGGACACAAAACCUAGGACCACAAGUGAUCACAAGCUAACCGGCUGACAUGAUCACGAGCAUACUAAAGAUAAUAAACUGAUGCGGAAGCUAAAUCAUAAUUUAUAAUGAAAAUAUGGGGAAUGCCCAUAUGCUAAAACUUAUAUAAUAUGAAGACUGAUGAGUUUAAUACAAUGAAGUUACUAACUCAACAGUAAGCUGCAACUAACUAUGUCUUAAAAUAGCCUCUACUGGACUAGAAAUACUAGGACAAGCUUCAGCUAAAUUUAACAAAAAUUGAAACUAAAUAACUAAAUGACUGAAAAAGAAGCUUAUGACUAUUGUCCUCAGAGAAUGAGGACUCACCACUAAAUCUGCUGAAAAGGAGAUCGGGAAAUCGAUCUAUGUGUGAUCUAGAUGCUGAGAACCUAAACCUACAUCACGAGAAGUUGUAGUGAACGUAUGCGUCGAUACUUGAAAGGUACUGAACAUGUAGGAAAGAAUAAACCUGAAAUAAAACAUAACUGAACAAGCACAAAAACAAGUAUAAUAAUUUGAACAUGAUGUACUAAUUUCUGAGUUAACUGGAUGCAAUGACCAAUUUAUAACAUGCUGAAAUUGAAUAAUGAAUGUACUGAUAAAUGGUCAAUGCAAGAGAGUCUAGCUGAACUGUUGGAGCUCCUAAUAGUUGAUAAUAAAACCAAAUGAUCUAAAUGUGGAAUCCGAUGUAUACACUCCAUUGAAAGGACCCAAUAUACCAUGCCACAUGUAUUAAGGCAUGCUGGCCUGAUCACAUAACUGAUUGCCUACAGAGGGGACUUACAACCUAUUUCGCUAGUAGUUCUGGGACUACUUGGCAUGCUAAACCCUAGUGCAACUCGGUAUUAUGCUACUCCCAUUGAUUUAUGUAGUUAACUGAUUAUGUAUGAAUUUCUAUUAAUACUGGAUAGCUUAAAACUGACAUGUAAUACGAGAAUGCAUUAUUUAAUCUUAUAAUGGUGCAUUUAAAAUUGAAGCAUGUAUAACUGCAUAAAUGAAAUAUCUGACCUAGCAUGUGUAAUUUAAGAACUAAAGAAAUACAAAUCUAGGGUUCUGAAAUACAUGCGAUAAUCUGAGUAAUAACAUGAUAAAUUGAUUUGGAACAUAUAUUUUGAUAAAAUCAUGAAGUUGCUGUAAUUCUAGGAACCAUAGGUUUAAUCACGAUAAGAGAAUCAAGAACUGAGUUAAAACUAGGGACCCAAUGGGUGAAAGGAACCCACUAGUGAAAUCCCACAUGCAUGGUGAUGAAAUUCACGGAGAAACACUUAGAUUUUCGGGGUGGAAUCAUUGGAAACUUGUUCCGUUCUUGAACAAGGGUUCUUGACCUUUUUCUCCUUUCUUGCUUCUAAUUUUCUAAUUUUUGGUUAAUGAAUUGACUUAGGUAAGUUUUUGUUAUGUUUCUAGGCUUAAACUGACAAAAAAUCUGAUGAUUUAGGGUAAAAAUGAUGUACCUCAGGGUUUAAACGAAAUGAGAAAAGACCAAAAGACCUCUAAGUUGAUUUCUGUCGGUCUAAACGAUGUCCUAGACAGACGGUCCGUCGUUUGAUCGACAGUCCGUUGUUGGGUCCAUAGGUUGGGUCAAUUCGACAGGCCUUUACUAAAAUGGGCAUAAUUUUUUACUCAGAGGUCUUAUUUUAGCAAGGUCUGUGACUAUGGAAAGCUAAUUCAAGUAUCUUUCUGUGGAUUGGUUAUAGGGAACCCAAUUCAUUUUGAUCUAAGAGUUAUGACUAUUUGAAGUUGACCCAACUACUUUUCCCCCUUAACUGUCUGCUAGUUCCCACCUACGGUCAGACCUACAGACCGUAUGUCCACCUACGGACCAUGCUGGUCAUCCGUGGCUCUUAUCAUAGAGUGGGUGAAUGAACCUGUUGAUAAUGACUUAGCCAAAUUUUUGUAGGUUGAGAUUUUGGGGGUUUUUGACCCCAUUGACGGAUGUGUAGGACGGACCAUGGGUUAGUCGACGGUUUGUCAAUGGACCGUUGGUUGCAGCUGCAGAUUUUUCUGAAAAUUUGGUUUUUGGUCUAUUUGUGAUAUAGGGUAUUACAUUAUAUCUCCCUUGACAAUAUUCAUCCUCGAAUGAAGACUAAACUAGUUGGAAUAAAGGGAGAGAGAUGCAAACCCUACUACUAAACACUGAGAACUGAUUUUCUAACUGAAUUGAGUUUCAAGAACAUGAAAAUACGCUUAAAAUGCAAGUACAAACUGAGGGAACAUGAUUCUAAGACUGAAUUCACGCAUGAAUGUCUUGAAAACUUAAGAGGAACCAUUACCUCAAGAUGGAGUGGAAUCGGAAGGAAAGAGGUGAGGAUACUUGGCUUUCAUGGCUGCUUCUGCUUCACAAGUAGCUCUCUCUACGGACUGACUCCUCCACAAUACCUUGACUAAGGAGACUUAUUUGUUCCUCAACCUUCUAUACAUGAUGGUCAAGAAUCUCAACUGUUACAUCCUCAUAAGAAAGAUUAUAUUUCACCGCCAUACUCUCUAAUGUCACUAUAGAGGCUAGAGCACCCAUGCAUUUCUUCAAGAGUGGGAUGUGGAGCACCGGAUGCAUUGCUGCUAAUUCUGCUAGCUACUCUAACUCAUAUGCCACCUAUCCAAACCUUUUAACAAUCUUAUAAGGGCCUACAUAUGUAGGGCUGAGCUUCCCGUUCUUUCCAAAUUUCAUCACCCCUUUCAUAGGUGAGACUUUAAGAAAAACCCAAUCAUCAACUUCGAACUCUAGUUCCCUUCUCCUUACUUUUGCAUAAAAUUUCUGACGACUUUGGGCUGUCUUAUAUCUAUCUAUAAUGAGUUGCACUCUCUCUAUUGCAUAAAGUACUGAAUCUAAUCCUAUCGAAGCUGCUUUACCUACUUCAUAUCAACAAAUAGAAGAUCUACAUCUACGCUCAUAUAAAGCCUCAUAAGGGGCCAUCUAAAUUCUAGAAUGGUAGGUAUUAUUGUAGGAAAACUCAAUAAGAGGAAGGUGAUCAUACCAACUACCUUUGAAAUACAUUACACAAGCUCUCAACAUAUCCUCUAAGUUCUGAAUUAUACGCUAUGCCUGCCUAUCCGUCUAUGAAUGGAAUGUUGUACUAAGGUUAACUUGAGUACCAAGACCUUUUUGAAACGAAUUCCAGAAAUGAGAGGUAAAUUGAGGACCUCUAUCUGAGAUGAUAGACAAAGGAACCCCAUGCAACCUCAAAAUUUAAGUAAGUUAAAGCUUGGCAUAGUCCUCUGCAAAAUAUGUAGUCUUGACCACCAAAAAGUGAGAAGACUUAGUCAUCCUAUCAACUAUUACCCGAAUGGAGUUAUAUUGUCUGUGAGUACGUGGUAACCCUGUGAUGAAAUCCAUAUUGAUAACUUCCAACUUCCAAGUAGGAAUGUCGAUCUCUUAAGUCAUACCUCCUGGUUUCUUAUUUUUUACCUUGAAUUGCUGGAAAUUGGGGCACUACUCAUAAAAUCUGCUAUGUCCCUCUUCAUGCCAUUUCACCAAUAGACUUCCCGUACAUCGCGGUACAUCUUAGUGGCACCUGGGUGAAUAGAAUAUCUGGAGUUAUGGGAUUCUGAAAGAAUAUGUUGUCUCAACUCGCCCACAUCAGGAACACACAAUCUACCCUGGUGGCGAAGUACACCAUCUCGCCCUUGGGAGAAAACCUCCACUCUAUGUUUAUGAACUGCACCCUUGAUUCAAGCAAAAUUGGAUCCCUGUCUUGAUUUUCCUUAACCUCUACUACCAAAGAUGAUUCUUCCGCAUUCUGAAUUGUUACACCACUGUCUAAUAUGCUCAUAAGGUGAACUCCCAAGCGAGCAAGCCUGGGAACAUCCUUCACUAGUUCCUUCCUUUCUUCCACAACAUGGGUUACACUACCCAUAGAUAAUCUACUAAGAGCAUCUACUACUACAUUUUCCUUACCAGGAUGAUAAUGCACACUCAUAUAAUAAUCCAUAAGGAACUCAAGACAUUUCCUCUGGAAAAGAUUCAACUCUUUGUGGGUGAACACAUACUGAGGCCUCUUAUGAUCAGUGAACACAUCUACAUGAACACCAUACAAGUACUGUCUCCAGAUCAUGAGUGCAAACACCACUACUGCAAGCCCGAGGUCAUGAGUUAGAUAGUUCUUCUCAUGCACUUUAUGAUGUCUAGAAGCAUAAGCUGUAAUCUUAUCUUGCUGCAUCAACACAUAACAAAGGCCAACUCUGGAUGCAUCACAAUAGAUCACAUAACCAUUGGAACCCUCUGGUAGAGUUAAGAUAGGAUCUAUAGUCAAUCUAGUUUUCGAUUCUGCAAAGCUUUUCUCACAAUCAUCUGUCCAUUGGAACUUGAUCAUCUUCUGAGUGAACCUAGUCAAUGGUGAGGCUAUGGAUGAAAAUCCUUCCACAAACGUUUUGUAAUAACCCGCUAGACCUAAGAAACUUCUGAUAUAUAUAGUAGAGGUUGGUCUGGGCUACUGUUUCAUUGUUCUAUCUUCUGCGAAUCCACUCAAAUCCCUUCGCUAGAUACAAUGUGUCAAAGAAAAGCAACAGAUUGAAACUAGAACUCACAUUUACUAAACUUAGUGAAUAACUGACGAUCCUUGAGAGUCUGCAGAACAACUCUCAAAUGACUUGCAUGUUCUUCCUCACUCCUAGAGUAAAUGAGGAUAUCAUCAAUAAAGACGAUAACGAACAAGUCCAAGUACUUUUUGAACACUUUUUUCAUCAAAUCCAUGAAAAAUACAGGAGCAUUUGUUAGUCCAAACAACAUAACUACAAAAUCAUAAUGACUAUACUGAGUUUUGAAAAAUGUUUUCGAAAUGUCACUAUUGUUGACUCUGAUCUGAUGAUAAACCCGAACUGAGGUAUUGAGAAAUUGCUAGCACCCUAAUGUUGGUCAAACAAGUCAUCAAUCUUGGGGAUGGGAUACUUAUUCUUGAUUCUGACCUUGUUCAAUUGUAUAUAGUCAAUGCAUAUUCUGAGAGAAUUAACCAUUUUUCUUCUUUACGAAAAACACUGGGGCACUCCAUGGUGAAAUAGUAGGUUUGCUGAAACCCUUAUCUAAUACGUCUUUCAACUGCUCUUUUAAUUCCUUAUGCUCUAGUGGAGCCAUUCUGUAAGGAGUAAUAGAAAUAGGCUAGGUAUCUAGAAAAAGAUAAAUUCCAGAGUCAAUUUCCCUUUCUUGUUGAACUCUAGGAAGAUCGUCUAGAAACACUUCUGGAAACUCACUGACUACAGGAACUUAUUCAAGAGUUGGGGUUUAUGAGUUAGAAUCCUUGACCCGAGCAUGAUGAUAGAUAUAACCACUGGAGAUCAAUUUUUGGGCUUAAGGUAAGAAAUGAAUCGACCAAUAGGCACUAAGCUAAUAUACUUCCAUUCUAAGAUUGGUUUGUCUGGAAACUAAAAACGAACAAUCCUAGUUCUUUAAUCGACUAAGGCAUAUCCUGAAUUUAACAAAAAACAUGAUUCAAAUAAUAUCGAAGUCUACCAUUUCUAACUCUACAAGAUUUACUGAGGUGACUUUCUGAGAUACUAUGAUAGGGUAAUUUCUGUAUACCCGUCUAGCUACAAUUGGUCACCGACUAGAGUAGUUACUGUGAAAGGUUCUGAGAGAGUUUUUGGAGUGACACUGAAUUGCACUUCUAUGUAAGGAGUUACAAAAGAAAAGGUAGCCCCUAGAUCUAACAAUGCAUAAUCAUCAAGGUCACAUAAUCGUCACGUACCAAUGACUACAUUAAGAGAACCUUCUUGAUCUUGGCGAGCCUGAAUAGAGUACUACCUGUUCUGGCACUGGCUGUCACCUGUACUAGAUUAGUUACACUUCUGAGUCAGGAGACUUGAUGGUGCUGCUGAAGUUGUAGACUGAGCUCUACCAUUACCACCUCCUUCACCCUGUUUAGAAUGUCAAUCCCUGAACCUCUAACAAGGUUGACCGCACCCAAAGCAUCCUUCUUUUCCUACAAGAUACUCUCCUGGAUGGUUCUUACCACACUUAGGGCAUGUGGGCUAAGUCUUGGUGCCUGAAAAACUUUCCUGAGUCUUAGAGCCUGGUUCUCUAUCCUUAUGGUCAUACCUGUUCUUGGAGGAUGGAACACUAGAUGAUUAAUAGCCUGGAGCUGAAAACUUCGGCUGACCCUUUGAGCAAUUUCCACCACCCAAUUUCUGUUGAGAAUAAUCAUAGUUCCCAGUCCUAGACUUCUUAUUUUCGUUAGCAUGUUCCUUAAAAUUAUCACCGUCACCCUGCUGAGCAUGAGUCAUCGGCCUAAAGAUGUUCAUAUUUCCAAGUAACAUAACAUUUCUACAUGCACUUAUCUCCAAAUCUGAUCCUUUGCCUAUCUCAACUCUAUUGGGAAAAACCUGUCGAGAAAAGUCUCACUAAAACAAUCCCAAGUGAUAGGAGCUGCAUUUGCACCCUUAUUCUCCUUCCACUUAGUGUACCCGAUAUGAGAAACAUCCUUCAACUAGCAUGAUGUCAACUCAACCCUAUCAUUCAUUGUGACUUGCAUACCUCAAAUAUCUUCUUAAUCUCAUCCAAGAAAUUCAGAAGAUCCUCAUUAGUCUGUGAUCCUAAGAACUCAGGAGGAUUCAUCCUAACCAAGUCACGAACCCUUGGUGUUGCUGAUCCACUUUUUCCAUUCACAGGAGCAUGAACUCGAUUGUUCUGGUUAGUCAUACUUUGAGCCAACAUCUAUAUGACAUUCCUCAACUCAACAUUGGAGACUUAUUGAUCUGGGACUGGAGGAGUUGCAUUUGCAUUCCUAGUGUUAGCUCUACGACGAGGAAUGAUAUCAAACAUAGAACGUCAAGUUAGAGUGGAAUAAGAUCAUACCUUACACACGAAAAGAGUAAUAACAAAGUGAAGUUUUCAUAAAACACUUCAUAGCCUCCCUCUCAUUAGAUCUGGUGCACUUCAAACCCAUGAAAAAGAUUCUACUUAGUGCGGCUUCUCAGACAUCCUAGGACACUUAAACCUAAUGCUCUGAUACCAUAUUUUGUCACGCCCUAAGCUUUCCCCAAGACACGGACAUGGAACCUAGGUUCACAAGUGUUCCCAAGGUAAACCUGCUGACAUGAUCAUGAUAAUACAAAUGAUAAUAAACUGAUACGGAAGGUAAAUCAUAAUUUAUAAUGAGAAGAUAAGGAAUACCAAUAUGCUAAGACUUAUAUAAUAUGAAGGCUGAUAAUUUUAAUAUAAUGAAGUUAGUAACUCAACAAUAAGUUGAAACUAACUAUGUUUGAAAAUGUCCUCUACUUGACUAGAGAUACUGGGAAAACUCCAGCUAAAUGUAGAAAAAACAUAAACUAAAUGACUAAAAUACUAAAAAAGAAACUCAUGACUAUUGUCUUCGGAGAAUGAUGACUCACCACUGAAUCUGCUGAAAUUGAGAUUGGGAAAUCGAUCUGUGCGUGAUCUGGAUGUUGAGAACCUGAAUGUACUUCAUGAGAUGAUGUAGCGCACGAAUGCGUCAGUACUUUAAAGGUACUAAGCAUUUAAGAUAUAAUAAAUAUGAAAUAAAACAUAACUGAACAAGCAAAAAAGCAAGUGUAAUACUGUGAACAUGAUAUACUGAUUUCUGAGCUCUAACUGGAUGCAAUGACUAAUUUAUAACUUGCUGAAACUGAAUACUAAAUAUACUGAUAAAUAGUCAAUGCAAGAGAGUCUAACUGAACUGUGGGAACUACUAAUAACGGAUAAUAAAACCACAUGAGCUAAUUGUGGAAUCCGAUGUAUACGCCCCAUCGAGAAGACCCAAUAUACCCUCCCAAAGGUAUAAAGACAUGCGUGCGUGAUCACUAAACUGAUUGCCCAAAGAGAGGACUUACAACCUACUUGGCUAGUAGUUCUUGGACUAUUGGGUAUGCUGAACCCUAGUCAAACUCGGUAUUAUGCUACUCCCAUUGAGUAUGAAUUUCUGUAAAUACUGGAUAGCUCAAAACUAAACAUGUGGCACCUAAAUCAUUUUGUGUUAAGAGUUAUGACAAUUUGAAGUUGAUCCAGCUACAUUUCACCCUUAACUGUGUACUUGUUCCCACCUACGGUCAAACCUACGAACUGUGGGUCCACCUACGGACCGUGCUGGUCAUCCAUCUCUCUUGUCAUAGAGUUUGUGAAUGAGGUGUCCAUCGACUGUCACCGACUACAGACCAUAGUCUGACCUACGGAGCGUAGGUCUGUCCAUCGAUCAUGACUUAACCAAAUUUUCCUGGGCUGAGAUUUUUGGGGUUUCUGGCCCCAUUGACGGAUGUGUAAUAAGGAUUGUGGGUUAGUCAAUGGUCCGUCGAUGGCCCAUUUUGUUGCACCUGCAAAUUUUUCAGAAAAGUUGAUUUUUGGUCAAAUUGAAGAUUUUACGAGUCGUGUCCCAAGUCUAUUUUGAGUCUAAUAUUUGUAGACAUGAGACUUAGUAUUUCCAUCUGAUUUUAUGUGAAAGAGUUUUUGAAAUACUAUUGGAAUGUUGUGAAAAGUUUUAAUUCUGCACUACUUUUAAUAUAUGUAUAUGCGAUGAAUGAUACGAAAGGUCUUGUACAAGACCUCCAAGAGGUCAGGUACGUCAUAUUGUGACCUAAGAACGCUUUAACUUCUAGUGUAUACCUGUGGGUUGUGACAACGAUGUUACAAAAUCUCCGCUUGGGAAAAUUUUGUCAUCGAAUGAGAUUACUCUUACUAGGCUAAGGUUUUAAUACCAAUUAUUGAGUUUAAACACCCAACAAGCAAUUCUAACACAUCAAGCAUAUAAAUUAUGUAGUACUGAAAAAGAGGAUUAGUACCUUGAUCAAGAACUUCUCUGGUAUCACUGAGAUGUAAAUAUCUAUUCUUCAUAUUUUUCCAACUUCCCAAGUAUCUUCUUCAAUAAAUUGGUUCCUCUAAAGAACCUUGACUGAUCCUAACUCCUUUGUCCUUGACUUGCAAAGUUGGCGAUCUAAAAUAUGAAGUGGAAUCUCUUCAUAAGAUAAUUUAUUGUUGAUUGUAAUAUCUUCUAUCGCUAUGAUCAAUGAAGGAUCUGAAACAUCUCUGACAUCCAAUGCAAAAAAGUCUUACUUUUGUUGUUGUGGUAGUUUAUUUAUGUUGAGGACAUCACACACUGAUACAAACUCAUGUCAACAAUUCUUUAACUGUGGAAUUGGUGCAUGCUCUUAUUUAUAAGUGUAUUGAAAAUGAUUCAUCAAGGAGCAGCUCAUUAAAAUGGAGUCCGAGAUUUGAGACAUCAAAUUUUCAAGGCGUCAUCAAAUAUCUAAAAUUAGAAAGGCUUCGAAACAUCGAAGAAACUAGGAUUUGUCUAUUGAUUUUAUUCAAAGAGACCGAAGAUCAGGGGGAUUACUUUAAAGGAUUGUUAAAAGACCCCAAAAACGAUAGGCAUCAUCUAAAACAAAAGGUUAUAUUAGCUAACGAAAAUUAUAGAGUCGUAAAAUAAUAUUGUAUGGUUUGUUGUUAGUGGUUGCUUUUUGGAAAUUUAUAACAGGGAUGGAGUAGUACAAUCUUAUAUAUUUUACUCAUGUAGUAGUAUAAUCUAUUAAUCAAAUGAAUUAUUAUUGGAAUUGGUAAGAAAAUGCGUUAUAUAUUUAAUUUAAGUCGUUAACUGCCAACAAUAUCUAUCAAAAUAAAAAUAAAAUUUACAUGAUUCAACUGUCUUAAAUAUCACUUCAACAGAAAAGUGUAUUUAUCAUCAACCACAAGAAAAAAACAUUUCAAACACCCAUUGUCGUAAAAAUCCCUUCAAAAACUAAUUAUCUUAAUAUUCAACCACGAAAAACUAAUUAUAUUAAAAAUUAAUUGUCUUAUCAUCAACACAAAACUCGAACCAUUGCAAAAAACAGUUGUCUUAAACCCACUUCAAAAACCAAUUGUAUUAUUAAACCAGCAUCACAAAUACUUUACUCAUCACCAUUGAGCUCUAUAACAAUACUAAUCACGUCCAGAGAAUUUUCAUCACUGCCUUCUUUUCCCUCUUCCGCCAAGCCUUCAUCCACCUUCUCUUCCAGAUUCUCCUAUUCUCGUUCUUCCUAUUCCUUCUCUUGAAAACAAAUAUCUUGCUCUUAUUAUUUAUCUUCUUGUUACUUCUCUUUGGACUGAUCCUCUUCUUUUUCUUGUUUUUAUUCCUUCUCUUUGAACUUCUCCUCUUCUUUUUCUUGUUCUUUGUUCUCUUCGAGUUUCUCCUAUUAUUUUUCUUUUUCUUUCUUCUAUUCGAUCUUCUCCUCUUCAUUUUAUUUUUGUUUUUUAUCUUCCAACUUCUGUUGUUUUUCUUCUUCUUUCUCUUCCAGUUUCUCCUCUAAUUUUUCUUUAUAUUUUUCUGCCAUCUCUUCCUCCUCUUGGUCAUUAUCUUCUUCUGUAUAUUACUUAUCAACAGCAACAAGAUCUUCAUUGAUUUUUUCCAUAUGAACGGAUUUCAUCAUUAUCAACUGCAACACCAAUUAUAUCGAAUAUAUUGGUAUUGUAUAGUGUUCCUGAACUGCUACAAGAUCAUUCGUUUAGUAUUCUUACAACUAAAUUAUUUUACACAAAUAGUAUAUAAAUUAGUCUAUCUUUAAUUUUUUUUGUUCUUUUGAGCUAUCCUCAAUUUCUAAUCUCGUAUAAAUGCAAAAAAUUCCAUCAUUGAUAGUUCAAGGAGUGCAACACCCUCACACAAAUUAUCAUCUUUAUUUUCCUAUCCACUCGAAAAAGAAUUUUGAUAUGGUUCAUUGGAGAUUUUAUCACCCAAUAUGUCAUCCUCCUCAUUCUCUACUGCUGAAGUAAGGACAGUGACACCUUUCAAAUUGACCUUUAAGGCAUUUAUGUUUGUUUUCUUCACUUCUUUUAUUUAUGAAUUUUAUGCUUUCAUAUGAUGUUUUUGUCUCACGAACAGUAAGUGUGAGGUAUGAGCGCACAAUCUACAAAAAAAAUUAUAAAUAGUACAACACAUUCACUAAUUUUACAUAUAUUGAUAGAUAAUAAUAAAUAAAUCUAUACAUUUGUACUUCUCCUCUUGUACUUAAAUGCAUCUCCUUUGAUAAUAUUAUCUCUCUUUGUUGUGUGCCAUCUAAGUAAACGUGGAAUGGGCAGAGGAGAAUCCAAAGACUUCUUUGUGAACUUACCAAGAGACUAUGAAAUACUAUACAAAUAUAUAAGAGUUCAUUAUAAAUCAACUAUAUAAAUGAUAAUAACUUCCAGAAAUUCCCAGGGGAAGCCAUACAGAGAAUACAAUGCAUUCCCUUUUUAAUUGUACACUUCACUCAACUCUUCUUCAUAUACUUCAAUAUUGGAUCAAAGCAUUCUUUACCCCAUAGAUAACUCUUGAACAAAUAUAAAUCAUCCAGGAUCUUCAUGUGGUUUGAAUCAAUAAUAUUAGAUCAAUCAUGGUCAAGUAACAUCGAGUGGACAAAUAAAACUAAAGAGAAUUUCAACUUCUACUCCUUAUUCAAUCUAGUACCCUAAAUCAAAAUUAUAAACUUUGGAGCUAUAUUAUUUUAAUUUUUGGUCAAUUUAUAAUGAAAUCUUUCACCAUUGUGAAGUACUUUUCUCAUUUUCACAUCAUGGAAGUAUGCUAAGCAAUUCAGCCCCGUAAUUAAUGGAAAUUCUUUUAAGCCAAAAAUCCAGGCUUAUCAUUCACAUAGAACCUCAUCUCAUCCAAUUUUUUUUUUACCAUUUUUUAAACUUCAUUGAAGAAUAUAAUGGACCAUCUAUCUAUUGAAAUAGUCAUAUUCUGGAGUAUGCCGCAAAUGCCCAAAACAAGUACCUUUAAAAUCAUUAUAAAUUUUUCCUUGAAAUAAAAGUAUCCUAAAUUAAAGAUAAAGAGUCAUUAUUUCACACAUAGAAAUUUCUCUAGAUAUGAUCCUUACUCAUCCAUCCAUGUCGCUAGAUUAUAGGACUUACCAGAGAUUUUUAUUGCUCAAAUUUGCAAGAACAGGGGAUCAUCAUCCUCCAGUUGCUUGGGUACCUUUACUACUUUUCUCAUCUCCUCUGUAAGUUUUCUUUUCACUAGAUUUAACAUCGUCACUAGCUAGUCUUUGACAUAAGAAUGAUAAUGUAAAGAAUACUGAACGACUAAUUGUUGUAUGAAUCUUCUAAAAAACCUAAGAUGGACGUUGGGAAAAUUCCCGUAAUAUCUUAAUGAACUAUAUUCCCAUAAUAUCUUAAUGAACUAUAAUAGUAAGAAAAUAAAAGAGUCCUCUUGAAUGUGAGGAGGCUACCAACUAACUCUGAAUGAUCAAGCUGAUCAAUGGGGCGAUGGAUGCUGAUCAUGGUUACCUGCGUCUGGAUCAUAUUACUAUGCAUACCAAGUAGCAUCAGUGCAUUGAAUGUAAGUGUAAGCGAGUUGAAAUGCUAACAUGCUUAGAAUUGAAAGAGAUUAUGAAAAACAACACUUACCUCGGCUCUUUUCAACUCCUGAAAAAUGAAAACGACAGGUAAAACAAUAACAAACUUAACUUUACUCAUACAAAAGUAAUAUAACUUAUGUGGGAGAUUCUCUAAUCAAAAAUCAUCGCGAUGAGCCUAAGUGAGUAAACUUUUUACCUCUUGUUGUCACAGACUAUCAUGUACCUUGCGAUCGGCAUAGUACCUGAAUUGCUAAGUUGAUCCACAUAUCUAUGCUAAAUAGCACUAAGGAUUCAUCUAAAAAGUAUGACCUUAUUUGGCUCAUUAUGACUAUAUUGUUUAUGGUUGCUUAAGUUAAUAUGAACUCGCAUUCCCAUAUCGAUGCUCAAUACUAAUCCAAAAAUGUACUUAGAUCAUAUUUUUUUAAAACAACUUCUUCUCUAGUUUGAGAUUAUUACUCAAACUUAGCUUAAAACCUCCCUUGGAAUCAAUGUUCCCUUUGAACGUAUAAAAUCUUUCGGAAAUCUCAGUUUCUUCUCAUCUUAAAUGUGAAAACACUUACUUUUAGAAAUAAUUAGUUUAUUUUAAAGAAAAUGAACUUUUCUCUUACGCUUUACUUAACUUCAUAACUUAAGUCUUAGAAUAAAGUUGAAACGUUUUAAAAUACAUACGAAAACUUGCAAUGACCUUGUCUUGCAUGAAUAUAGACUUCUCUUGACUUUGAUCCUAACUCUCCUUGUAUUGGAUUAUAGAUUGAAGGUUAUUAUUCGUGUUUCUGGAUGAUUUCUGAGUGAAAAGAAACCCUUUGAAGUAAUUGGAAUCAAUGGGAAGUGUUAGAACACUUUAGAAGGACUUAAAUGGGCUGAAAGAUGAAAAUUGGUGAAAAUGACAAUUUGGGCGCACCCCUAGCACCUAGUGCCAGACUCAUUUGACUAAGGCUCCUUUUGGGAGUACUGCAUGUGCGCCGCCCCAGCCUACCCAGCGCCAUUGGGACGCGUUGUGACACCUUUUCCUUGAGGUGAAAUCUGAUAAACUUUUUGACCUCCUUUUCGGAUCUUAAAUCAAUGUAAACGAUUCUUUUGGUAAAAUUCACUUUAUAUUUAUGUACCCAAUUCAUAUACACAAUGGUCUUAACUUAGAGAACUCAAGAGAUAACACUUUUACAUCAAGAAACUCCAAAAUCUCAACUAAUGUUGAAGAACAAAAACAAAUUCAAGAACAAUUACUAAAAACAUUCAAAUUCCAAUCUUUUUGGAAUGAAUUAUCACUGAACGAAACAUGUGUGGAGCUGGGUGAACAAACUCAACGUUAUGAAAGGCUCACAUACCUUGUAAGAUAAUUAAUUCUUGGCGAAUCCGUAACCAAAAUCAUUCGUUCUUGGCGAAUCUUGCUUUUCCUCUUCUCCUUUCUCUUGUGUUCUUUCUCCAAAAUAACUAAAUCUAUUUUUCAAAGGCUUAAUGUGAACCAACUUAGUUUUGACCUCACUUAUUUUAUUAAAAAUAUAUUUAAAUAAAUGGUCAAGGAAAAUACCAAACUACCCCUUAAAAGUCCAGACUGGACUUUCCUUAUUCGAAGAUCCAACUUCGAAAGAGCAUAGCUUACUCAUACAAACUCAGAAUUGCACAAACUUGGCAACGUUGGCAAGAUUACUCCAAGAGAUUUCUAAGUAUAUAUUGAUGUACACCUAACUCAUCCUGAGCUAGAAGUUAUGUUCAUUUGAAGUUAAACAAAACUAAAUUUUCCUAACUUAAACAAUUUUCCAGAUUUUUAUUAUUUCAACAAAAUGACUAUUUCCACUUCUAAGCUUCUUUUUAUUUAUUUCUAAUUGUGAAAUGUUACAUUAUCUUCCCCUUGGGAACAUUCGUCCUCGAAUGAUAUUACUCUUACUAGGAUAAAUGUGUAAUGUUCAACAACUCAAACACCCUUAUCAAGCAAUUCAAUUAAAACAUUAAACUUACAAUUCAAAUACCUAGAAAGGAUUAGUACAUUAAUUUGGAACUUCUCCAAAUUCGAACAUAUGUGGAUACCUCCUCAGCUUCCCAAAUAUCUGCUUCAAAGAAUUUAAUCCUCUAAUGGACUUUAACUUAUACAACCUCCUUUGUUCUCAACUUGCGAAUUUGAAGAUCUAGAAUCUUAGCCGAAAUGUCCUCAUUAGAUAAGCAAUACUUGAUCUCAAUAUUUUACGUUGAUAUGACCAAUGAAGUAUAACCCAUGCACUUCUUCAAGAUGGAGAUGUGAAAUACCCGAUUAACCACUGCUAAAUCCUGUGGUAGCUCUAACUCAUAGUCUAUUUAGCUUAUCCUCUUGGAUAUUAUAUAAGGUCCAAUACACCAUGGACAAAUAUUCCCCUUCUUAUCAAUACUCAUAACCUCCUUCGUGGAUGAAACCUUUAAAUAUACCCAAUCAUCUACUUCAAACUCUAAUGCCAUUAUCUUAACAUCUGUGUAGGAUUUUUGAUGACUCUAUGUUGUUUUAAACCUUUCUUGAAUUACUUUCACCUUCUCCAUAGAUUGGUGGACUAAACUUUGUCCUAUCAACCCUGUUUUACCAAUUUUAAACCAUCCAAUAAGGGAUCUACAUAUUCUUCCAUAAUGAGCAUAACAGUGAGCCAUUCGGAUGUAAGAAGUGUAACUAUUGUUGUCAGCAAACUCAAGUAAAGGUAGGUGAUCAUCCCAUUUACCUCUGAAAUCUAUCACACAUGCCCUCAACAUAUCUUCUAAUAUCUGAAUGGGCGCUCUCCUUGACCAUCUGGCUGAGGAUGAAAGGAAAUACUUAAGUUCACCUUUGAACCUAAGCCUUUCUAAAAAGAGUUUCCAGAAGUCUUUCAUGAUGACCAUCCCGGAGUCCCUCCUGAAAGAGAAAUAGAGUUUGGUAGUGACAUCAUUAUAGAUACUCGUUCUAUCUCUAUUCCACCAUACAUAAUGACACCCGUAGAUUUGAAAUAUUUAAAAAACAAUUAAUGUAGGGACUGGCACUCGAAGACCAUUGCUGGACUAAAGCGGACCCUUUUCCUUACUUACUGAGCUUUGCAGAAGACUCUAGAAUUUUUACAAUGAUCAAAUGAACUUAAUCAAAUAACUAAAUAAUAUAACUUAGAAUGUUAAAAGCAUCAAACAUUCAACUCGGCUAAAAAUGGUAACCCAAGUCUUUACAUAAGAAGGAUAAUGUAUAGACUACUUAACUACUAACUCUAUAUAGAGCCUCUAAAACAACUGAGAUGGAUGUUGGAAAAAAUCCCACAACAUCCUAAUGAACUAUACUAGAAAGAAAUAAACAAGUCCUCUAGAAUGCGAUAAGGCUCACAAAUAGACUCUGAAUGCUCAAACUGGAUUAACGAGACGUUAGAUUCUGAUCCUAGCUACAUGCGUUUGCAUCAUAGUACGAUGAAGGCCAAUUGACAUCAAAACAUUUAAUGUACAAGUAUGUGAGUUUGAAUGCUAACAUACAUAGGAUUGAAAGAGAUUAUGGUACAACAACUUACCUUGGGUCCUUUCAACUCAUGAAUAAAUCAACUAAAUAUAAAACAAUAAAACAAAUGUGAUAUAUAAAACAUCUGAAGAAAAUCUUAGUUCAUUAAAGGUAAAACAAUAACAACCUUAAAAUUAACAUAACUUCUAUGGGAGAUUCUCCCACAGACAACCAUCACUAUGAGCCUAAGUGAUGGUACAACUAUUUAACUCACAUUGUAAAGGACCGUCCUAUACCUUGUCAUUGGUAUAAAACCUGAACUACUAAGCGGAUCCACUAGUCUAUGAUAAAAGUAACUAAGGAAUCAUCUAAAAAGUAUGACCCUUUGUUUUCUCAUGAUAUCUACAUGGUUUAUGGGGGAUUGAGUUAAAAUAAACUCGCAUCUCUAUAUCGGUGCUCAAUGCUACUCCCAAAAUUUACUUAGCUCAUAUAUUUUUAAAACAACAUCUUCUCGGGUUUGAGAUACUUACUGAAACUUAGCUUAAUAGAUUUCUUGGAAUCAAUGUCCCCUUUUAUUGUUCAGAUUUCUUUUUGAAAUAGUUUCUUCUCAUAUUAAAUGUGAAAACAUUUACUCUUGUGAACACUUAGUUCCCAUAUAUCAUUUUAAUGAAAAUGAAAUUUGCUCUUACUCUUCACUCAACGUCAAAACGACUUAUAUCAACUAGAAAUGAACUUCUCUUACUUGACUUGACUUCUGUUUAGUGUGAUCAUAACUUUUCUUGAAUUGGAUUAUGGGUUCAUGUUUAUGAUUCGUGUUUGUGGUUGAUUUCUGCACAAAAUGAUGAAAAAUUAGUGAAAGCGAUGAUUUAGGAUCACCUUUCCCCAUUUAACUGAGUCUCCUUUUGGGCAUACUACUGGUGUGCCUCACCGGCAUGCCUGGUGCUAUGGGGGUAUGUUGCAUCACUUGUUAGUUCAGGUUAUAUCCGAUGGACUUUUGACCUUAUUUUCUGAGAAUAAAUCUGUUUAACAAAAUUCUUUUUCUCAAGUUCACUUUAGAUUCAAGUACCCAAGUCAUAUACAAAAUGAUAUAUUAAAGAAAGUUCGAGAGACAACCUUAACAUUAAGAAACUCCUAAAUUUCAACUCAUGUUAAAGAAUGAAAACAAAUUCAAGAACAAUUACCAAGAACAUUAAAAUUGCAAUAUUUUUAGAAUGAAUUAACGAUAAAUUAAACAUAUUUUGCAAGUGGGAGAACAAACUCAACAUUAUUAAAGUCUCACAUACCUUGUAGGAUAAAUUUCUUGGUGAAUCCGCAACCAAAAUCGAUUGUUCUUGGUGAAUCUUGCUUUUUCUCUUCUGAUUUCUCCAAAAGCCAUAAAUUUUUUGUUCAAAGGCAUAAACUGAAAUCACUCAAUUUUGACCCCAAUUAUUUUAUCAAAUACGGAUUGAAUUAAUUGGGUAAAAGACAGACCAAACUACCCCUUAAAAAUCUGCAUUGGACUUUGCUUAUUCCUACAACCAAACUUUCGAAGGGCAUAACUUACUCAUAUGAACUAAGAAUCACACAAUGUUGGGGGUGUUGGAAAGAUUAUUCCAAGUGUUUUCCUGCUAUAUCUAGAAGUACACCUAACUAAUCCUGAGCUACAAGUUAUAACCAUUUAAAGUUGACCAAAACAAUUUUUUUCGUAACUUAAAUUUUUUUCCAAAUUUUCAUUAUUUCCACAAUGACUAUUUUCAAUUCUAAGAUUCUUACUAGUUUUUCAAACUACACGAAGUUACAGAUUUGUUAGAGAAUGAUCUCUUUUAUGGAUUUUGAUUAUUUUGUAAAGCAAGUUUAUGGAAGAAGACUAUGAGUUUUGUGUAACAUUCCGAGGUUUACUCAGAAAAUGUUUAUACCUAAUAUUAUUAAAUAUUUUUAAUAUUUCCUAGUAUGGUAAUUUAAUUUUUUACUAUGGAGGCAUGAAUUUAUUUAAGGUUAAGGUGUUGCAAUGAAAAGAAUAUAUUAGAUACGUGUAUUUUUAUUCAGAAGUUCUUAUAAUGAUGAAAAGGUCCAUGAACCCAAAACCAAAACCCCACUUUCUCACUUUUCUUUCCAUAACCCUACAAAUUAACUCAAAAAGAAAUUUGGUGGCUUUUUUUUCAAACUAUGUUUUUUAGGUGAUCCCAAUAUCAAUUCUUCUGCAGUGACUUUUGGGCUAGAAUAAAGUCAAGUGUACAGGCAAAGACUAUUUAUUAAAGUUGUAUAACAGUGUUAAAAUGUGGGUAGGAAAAGAGGAGGUAGUUAAUUAUGAUUCUAACAGUCAUAUAAGCGUUUGUUUGUAUUGUAAACGUUGAGAGUGUUACAUUGGUGCUUUCAUCCAGAUGUUUCUAAUGGAAAAGUACCAAAAACUAAUGUCCCUCGAAGACUCCUUACAGAGGGUGAAAGAAUCAUUCUCGCGUGACAUAUCUGAAAUUCGAUCUAAGUUGAAAGAGGUGGUGGAUCAUGUGAUGGCCCUCAAUUCUGGGAAUAGUACUCAAGUAGUGCCAACAUCUCUACCACAUCAAACUACUGAAGUUUAGGGAGGACAUACACUGACACAUCCUACUUUGCAUCACAAACCUUCUUUAGUUGAAUUAGGACGAUUCGAUGGAGUGAUUCUUUAAUCGUGAGUCUUCCAAGAAGAUCGCUACUUUGAAUUUUAUGGAAUCACGGAGGACCAUAAACUAACACUAUCAUCUUUCUGCUUGGAUGGUGAUGCAUUGGAAUGGUAACGAUGGUUGUUUAAUAAUAAACAAUUAUUUAAUUGGGGGACUUUUGUUGGGAAGUUUCUAGUCCAAUUUUGAAAACGAGAUCUAGAGGCACCCGAGGAUCGAUUUUUCAAACUUUGGCAGACCACUAAGGUGGUUGAAUACCUGAGUCAUUUUGAAAUAGUUUUUAAUGAGAAAUGAUAUUAUAAUUAUUGUUUUAAUUCGUGAUCCCAUAAAAUUAAUAAAGCUACAUGUUUAUCUCAUAUAUACAGGAAAAUGAUCCUUCUUGAAUGGGGAUCCUUUGAGCUUGAUUUAGUAAGGCUCCACUACUUCUUCCAAUACUCUGGUCUUCCAUAUAUAGUCUCAAAGCCCUCCAUUUCGAAAAAAAUAUCUUCAGUUGCCCAAACUACAUUGAAUCAUCCGCCAAUGAGACACCUUUCCCCUGAACAAUUAUAAAGUCGAUGGAAAUGUGGUCUUUAUGAUUAUUGGGAUGAAAAAUUUGAAGAUGUCUUUCAAAAAUCUCCAGUUCCUCCUCCUUUAUAGAGUCGGGACGAUACAAUCCAUCUAGUCUCAUGGGCAAGCCGGCUGAUGUUAAACCAUAUUGAUAUCCUUAUUUCCAGAAGCAAGUUAUGGAGCGAAUAUUGCCUGAAAUGCUAAAAGAAUUGAUAAUCAUGACAAGUACUAGAUCGUUUCCUCUCAUGUAUUUUUUGGUUUAAAAAAAAGAUAGCACAAUGCGGUUUUGUAUCGACUAUCAUGCAUUAAAUGCAAUCACAAUUCGUGAUAGAUUUCCAAAUCAUACAAUUGAUAAAUUUUUGAUGAAUUAAAUGGUACCUACUAUUUUUCCAAGUUGGAUUUAUUGUCUGGAUAUCAUCAAAUUAGGGUUCAUUCCAAGGAUGUAACUAAGAUAACAUUUCUCACUCUUGAUGAACAUUAUGAAUUUCUUGUCAUGCCAUUUGGCCUUACAAACUCACCCUCGACAAGCAACUAUGAAUGAGAUAUUAAUACCUUACUUGCGUUGAUAUGACAUGUUAUUCAUUGUUUACAUUUAAAUAUAUAGUCUUACUUGUACCGAUCACAUGGAAUAUUCGUUCUCGGUUCUUCAAUUAUUAUGUCAAUAUUAACUGGUAGCCAAGCAGUCAAAAUGCAUAUUGGACAAGAAUAACUUUAUUUCUUGGGACAUAUUAUCUUAUCUCAUUGAUUGUCUGUCGACCCAAGAAAAUUGAAAUCCAUCAAUCAAUGGGAACCACCUCAUAUAGUGAAAGAAGUGCAAUGUUUUCUUGGAGUUGCAAGCUACUACCGACAAUUUCCACAAUAUUAUGCUUCCAUAGAAGGUUUAUUCACUUAUUUGCUUAGGACAUAGGUUUUUUGGUUGACACCAUAAACUCACAUAACAUUUGAAACUUUGAAGACUAAACUAGGUUUCAUUACAUUAUUGGCAUCAUCAAAUUUCAAUCAGAAAUUUUAGUUAGAGUUUGAUACUUUGGGGAAAGGGAUUGGUGACAAUCUAUCUCAAAAGGGGCACCCGAUCGCUUCUUUUAGUAAAAAAUUCAAUGCGAGGAUGAAACGAAUUUGACAUAUCAUCGUGAAAUAUUUUCCAUUACUUAAGCUACAAGUAAAUGAAGUCAAUAUCUUCUUGGUUGAAGAUUUACAAUACUAACUAAUCAACAGUCUUUGAAAUACCUCACUAAUCAAACCAUAAUGACUCACUACACUAGUGGAUUACGAUUUUCAUAUCAUUUAAAGUCUUGGGAAACAAAACUCAGUUGUUGAUUCGAUCUCUCGUGAAUUUGAUACUUCUCUUCUAGCCAUUUUGAUAAAACCUUGAAUCUAGAACAAUAUUUGAAAUUCUUUAAUCAAUCAAAUCCAGAACUAUUGUCUAUUUAACAAGAUAUACAAAUAGAUUUGGAAACUCACACUGACUUUUAAUUCAAGGAUGGGUUGUUAAUUUUUAAAGGUAGCCUCUGAUUCCAUCAGAUGCACCACUAUGACACAAGCUAAUGUUUGAAUUCCAUGCUACGAGUUCAGAGGACAUGCUAGUGUUGCAAGAAUAUACCAUUGACUGUCUUCAAAUAUGUAUUGGUGACAAAAGUGCGAGUAUGUGAAAUCAUUAGUUACAACUUGUCAGAUAUGUAAACAAAUGAAAGACACAAACUUGCAUCCAGCAGGUUUAUUGCAGCCUCUUCCUAUACCAGAUCAUGUUUUUGAAGAUAUUGCAGUGGAUUUUAUCACUUUUCUUCCAUGUUCCAAAGGGAAAACUACUAUGCUUACCUUGGCGGAACGUGUGACCAUGUAUUGUCAUUUUAUUUCCUUACCUUCCCCUUUCUCUACAGAACUCGUAGCGGAAGCAUUCACUGUUGGUGUAAUUCUCCUUCACGGUUGUACUCACAAUAAUGUCAUUGAUCGUUACCCGCAAUUCCCCCAUUUCUUUUGGCAUCAACUAAAUCAUUCGCGGGGUUUGACAACAUUGGUUAUGAGAAGUAAAUAUAAUCCUCAAACUGAUGGACAGUCUUAAGGCCUAAUAAGUGUCUUGAACAAUAUAUUUGUUGUUGUGCUGCAGAUGUUUCAACAAAGCAGUUCACCAUGCUUCCUUGGAAUAAUAUUUUGUACAAUGCUUGUACAAAACAUCAAUUGGAAUGACAAAAGUUUAAUCAUUAUAUGGGCAAGAACCCCCAACUAUCGCUCGAUAUAUAUUGGGAGCACUGCUAGUGAAUUUGUGGAUGCUAACUUCAUACAGUGUGAUGUUGUUCUAGCGUUGUUGAAAUUUUUUUUUCUCAAAGCUCAAACAAGGAUGAAUAAGUUUUACAUAUAAACAUCAUACAGAGCUAGUAUGUGUAUUGGGCGAUUGGAUUUUAGUAAAAUCGAAACAAUACCAAAAGCUUUGUUUGCAGAUGCUGAAGGGUCAAAAUCUUUGACGUGAUAGUUUCGUCUUCUAAGGUCAUCAAUUACAUUUGAGAAUUCACAUAAAAAUUGGAGUUAUCUGUAGAGUCCAAGCACGUCGACCAUAUUUGUAUUAUUCUUGGUGUUCUUAGGAAACAAAAAUGCGUGCGAAAUUUUCGAAGUGCAAAAUUUUCCACAGUAGAAAGAAGACUAAGAUUAAGCGCUAUAGGGAAGUUAUAGGUGAAUUUUAUCCUUCAAUAUUCAAGUAAUAUAAAGGUAUGGUAACUCUUCCCCUUUGGAAUUCCUUUCUCCAAAGGAUUCUUCCAAAAUUAGUUUCAAAAAAUUGAUUAUCAUAUGGGUUUCUUUCUAAUAAAAAUUUGAUCUUCUAGAUUGUAUUUUUUAUAGUUUCUUUUGAUUAUUAUGAUUAGAUUAUGAUGUAUUAUGAUUUAGUUCUGCUAGUUCUUGAUGAUUUUACCUAGUAUGUGGAAUAGAUCAAGAAUUAACCCAAAUUCAUUACCAUAGGUUAUGAACUAUUGUUGAAUUCAACUGUAGUGAUGCCAUUGACUUAGAUACUAUGUUAAUUACUAUUGAGUGAUGUGAAUACAUCUAUGAUGUUAUUGUACCUAUUAAUGGAUAAAAUUGGUUGGGAAAAGAUAAAACCAUGGAUGAUGUCUUUUCAAGGAGAAUUUGUAAGACUUUGUGAUCUUCAACCUUUACUUCAGCUAUGAUGGCUUGUACUUGAUGAUGAACUUCAAUUGAAGUAUUUCUUGUGAAUAUAUUAAGUAGAUAUUUGUAUGUUGAUUCAAUUGAAAUGUCUUGAUUAGGAUUAUGAGGUUAUGAUUAAGAUGUAAUUAUAUAAGGUUUGUUAUGAAGUACCAACGUGCCUUACUAUGAUAUUAUGAUGAUAAUGUGUUAAUCUCACAUAUGAGGGUUGCAUGAAAAAGGUUCUCAUGAAAUUCCUUUUGAGAUAAUGACUAUGAAUAUACAAGGAGUUAGUCUCCUAUGACCUAAAUUAUGUUAUGAUUCUUAAAGAAAGACAUUUCAAAAGGGACUCUAGCUUAAUACCGAGUGAAUUAGUAGUAAGGAGUGUCCCUUCCCAAGUAGUGAAGGUACGUUCUCUAUUGUACUCAUGUGAUCGAGAUUACAGUGUCAAAGGCAUAAAAAGGGUCUUAAACAUUUAUCCUUAUUCUUUAAUUAUGUUUCCUCCAAAGGAAUAUUGGCUAGUGGAUCCAUGCAGAUACUAUAUUCAUGUAUUGGGACUAGCUUGGCAAGUAGUCCAACUUCUUUCGGUGUAGGGUUCCAUGAAACCGGAUUCCACAUUACCUCAUGUGGUGUAUGUAGGUUAAGAAAAGAUGUUCCCGAAAGUAAAAUGAAGUAAAAAAGUGAAUUCCAACUAGGAGGACUUAAGGGGUUUUACUUAGUCUAGGUAGGGGUAGGGGGCUCUACCUAUACAUUGCACUAGUUGUCCUUGAGGGAAGUCGUAGGAGGAUGUUCUUAUGUUCUUAUGCCCUUAUGAAAUGAAUUACAUGCUUAUUUUGAUUUUACAUGCUAAGGGUAUACAUUUAUAAAUAUGAUGGUAAAUAAUUAUGAUGCUAUAUUAUGUGAAGUUAGAUAUUAUUUAUGAUCCUUUUGUUGGUUUACUUGGUUGAGUGGGGUUGUGGGGAUUCACUUAGAGAUUGCACUAUUAAACUUCGUAUGGGGUUAUGAGAAAGGGUUUUGCUUGUAUUAUAAUGUUAUGGACUCUUGAACAUGCUUUUUUCUAUACAUGAUGUUAGAGAUUGCUUUGGCUAUAAUUCUAAUAUAUUACAAAAAUUUUUACUUGACUUUACUUGAUGAUGUUUGUAUUGUGUUAAAUAUACCAUUGAUUAUGGAAUAUAUGAUUAUUGUCUUGUAUGUGGUCUUGGUUGUGCAUAAGGCUUUAGAAAAGUAACUUGUCAUGGUUUUGAACAAAUGUCUUUUUUUUUGCAUGAUUUCUAUGUUGUGUGUGCAUAUGUUUCUAUACUUAGUACAAGUGAUUUACUAACAACUAUUUCUCCCUUUUCCCCCAAACAUUUUAAGUUUCGGUUAUUGAAGGGUUCGUGGACAAUUUGCACGAGGGCUUUGAUCAUUUCUCCAAGUGUGGUAUGUCCUUAUGAUAUGAGGAUGAUGUAUUUUUUUAUUUUAUCUAUGAGACUUGCUAUAGUUUAAUGACAUUCUUUUAAUUCUUAUUUUUCAAGACAUUAUUGUAAGCCAUAAGUGGUAAUUAUACAUUUGUGUAAGGGCUAUGCCCGAAUCUUUCUAUUUUGACAUAGAUGGUUUUAUAUGAUAUAUUUCUAUUAGACCUUAUAUUAUAUAUAUAUUGUAUAUGUGACAUAAAAGUAAUAGAUUAUGUAAGCUUCCUAUGUGAGGAGUCUAAGUAAACUCCCUAUGUAUAUAUUAGGUGUAAGCGAGAUAUCUAUGUAAACCUCAUGAUGUAGAUAUAGAUGAAAAGUUUUAAUUUUUUCACAUUUUUAACCUAUGAUAUGUAAUGAUGAAUGCUAUGAGGCUAGUCUUAGUCCUUUACGAGGACGACAACUCCAUGUACGGUAGGGGGUGUUCCCCAGGUGUGAAAACUUCAUUAAGUGAUUAAGUGUGUUAAAACUGUUGAGAACCUAGACAUAUGACAAGGAAAUCAACAAGACCAUGGAGGUUGGAGAAAUGGUAAUGCAGGUGGAGGAUUAGUGCAAUCAGGCAAGGAGCUUGCUCGUCAAGAUGACAUUGCUAAAUUUUAUACCUUUGGAGGCAAGAAUGAGGCCGAGGGUUGGAUGCAAUGACCGUAACUACAGUUAUUGUUUGUGAUCGGAUGGCUAAUGUGUUAUUUGAUCUUGGUUCUACUUAUUCUUAUGUGUCCAUGCGAUUUGCCUGAAAAUUCGAUAUGAUUUGUGAUAUACUUGAUGCCCUUAUCCAUGUAUCUACCCUAGGUGAAGAGUCAGUCAUAGUCACCCAUUUAUAUCAUAUUUUCAUAUUGUUUUUAUGAAUUUUCUUUGAUUUAUUGAUGUUGGAUUUGACCAACUUGAUAUAAUGUGAAGUGUGAAUUGGUUGUACUCUUAAUCUAUUGUGCUUAAUUGUAAUGCUAAGUCAGUAAACUCUAGAGAUCCAAGGUAGAGAAAGGUUAGAGAAGGAAGGAGGUACAAUCCUAAGUCUGCUAUGUUCAUAUAUUUCAUGUGGGGUAGGAAAAAGUGGGGAAGGAUUGUUUGGCAUAUUAGAUCAUAUUCAGAAUGUUGAGGUUGAGUCUCCUUCUAUUGAGUCUAUGUGCUGUAUUGUCCGAAUAUAAAGAAGUAUGUCCCACUGAUUUGCCUGGUAUGUUACCUGAUCGAGAUAGAUUUCUGCAUUGACUUAGAAAAUGGCACUCGCCCCUUCUCCACUUCUCCUUAUCACUUUCCUCUAGAAGAACUUAUAGAUCUUAAAGCUUAAAUCGAAGGGCUUCUUGAUAAGUAUUUCAUCCAUCCUAGUGCUUCCCUAUUGGGUGCUCGUGACAUGUUUUUUAAGAAGAAGGAUAGUAGUAUGAGGACUGGUGAUAAUCUUAAGCCACAAAGAAGCGCAUCGACACCAGAAGGACAAACUUAUACAUAAAUAAUGCCCUAAUUAUUAUAUUUUUGUGAUGAAUGUUAAAGAUUUUAGUAAGAAAUUGCAAAUAAAAUGGGGUUGGUUUGUAGAACUUGAUGAGUAUAUAUAUGAUGAGUUUUCAUAUUGAUGAAAAUUUUUACUUCAUAGUGAUAGUGAAGUAUGCCUGAGUGUAAUGGUAAUACGAGUUUGUGAUGGAUUGUCAAGGGAUGGAAAUAUAUAAUUAAUGAGAUUAUUGGUUAAGCAAAAUUUUUACAGUAAUUACGUCUUGAGAGUAUGUAGGGUUGUGGUUUUCUAUUUUUUUAUGAGUAGAGUGGUGGUAUGAAAAGUUUUAUGGUGAGACACUACUCAGAUAUAAUUUUAAAGAGGUAGAGUCAUAGUGAAGAAAAAUAGUGGAAUGUAGUACAACCUUUAGAGAGAGGCAAGAGCAAUAAUAUUUUAUUUGAUUGUAGAGGCUAGAAAUGUAUCUUCUAAGGGGUAGAUAAUUGGGUUUAGAGGCACGUGAUGUCAUUCAUUUUGUUGUGGCUAUGGUAAUUGUGUCAUAAGUAUAUCAGAUUUGUUCAAAUCUAUUUAAAAGACUUAGGAAUGAAGUGUACAAACAUUAGCUUGAGUGUGAUGAUAGGUUUUUUGUUUUAUUUUGAAUUUAGUAAUAAAUACUAUUUAUUUAUAGCAUAAAUAUUGUACGAUUGAUGGAGAUGUAAUCAAUCAUAAGCGAAGAUCAAGUAUUUCAUGAAAAAACUUCAACUUACAAGCUAAUGUUUAUAGAUAAAUGGAUUGUGUUGUACGGUUGAAUUACAAUUUAGAUUUUUUAUUCUAAGUCUACAUUCGUGGUGAUAUAUUUUGUUAAGGUGUGAAUUUGAAAGGUGAGAGAUGAUCAAUUGUAUUAGGUAUUGACAUUUGAAAGGACUUACACAUGGGUUGAGUCGUAAAGCUUAUUAUUGUUGAUUGUUAAGUACCUAAGAAAUGUUUUCUGUCAAAAGUUUUGGUUUAGAACAACGUCAAUUUUUGUAUUGUUCAUGAUGGUUGUGAGUAUGAUUCACUAGAUAAGAUCAUGUGUCUUUUCACUUUUGUAGGUGGAUCCCUUGUGGUUGAUCAGGUAUACCGAUUUUGCAAUGGUCUCUCGGUUGAGUGAGAAGGUUUGGGAAAACAUGGUUAUUUUAGAUGACUUAUGUGAUGUUGUCUUGGAGUUGUUAAAGUAUUUAAUUUGUUUUACAUGUACCAUAUUGCUUAUGAGACUUUAUAGAAGAGAGACCAUGUGUAUCUAUGUUUGUCCGAUAAUAUUAAUAUUCCUCUAUAAAUCGAGGUCAUGCAUCAAUUAUGUCUGACUGAAUAUGGGGAUCAUUGGGUCCAAUUAUACUGUUUUUUUAGAGGUAAUCUACAAUUGCUAAAUCUAUAAUUUUGAUAGUGUUUUUGGAGGGAGGGUUUGUAUGCUUGGAAAUAUCCCUCUAUGAGUAUUUGAUUUCAAAAUAUUAAUUUUUUAUAACUCAAGCUCAUGUGAAUUUAGGUUGUGAGAUGUAGAUGUCGAUAAAAACAAUAGUUUUUUUUAUAUUAUCAGUGUGUGUUAGUUUGUUCAUGUUCACCUCCAAUUAUGGUGAGUUUUGAUUUAUGAUUUUAUCAUUGUUAUGUGAGAAAGAAUUUUUCAAGAUGUUUGCGUCGAUGUCCUUGAUAACAUGUUGCAGACAUUUGUACGAUCAACAUUGGUGGUCAUUUAGCAUAGCUUUGUUGUUAGUUACGUGUACAUACAACAAUAAUCAUCAUACCAGUAUUGUGAUGACAUUAUUAAGGCAUUGUAUAAAACAAUGAGAAUCUGUAUUGUUAAACCAAAUACUUUAGUAUGAGGAAAACAUGAUUGCAAUACUUGAUUGUGAUGUCCGAAAGCAAAGGACAUAUAGGAAAAGUAUCUCAUGUUAUUCAAUGAUUCAAAUACAACUCUACUCUUACCUUAGCCAGUCUUUCCUAGUUGAUCACUUUGGGAUGAGUGAUGAGUAAAUUGGGAUCUAUUGUAAAUAACUAACUCAAUUAUUAGUGAAAAUCCUAUGGGAAAAGAAUUGGGGACAGAAAACUCUUUGGUAGUAACUUGAGAAUUCCUCGCCUAGUCCAAAUUUGACAAAAAUUGGAGUCAAUGAGGGCUAGGAAUAUAUGGUAGGUAAUUAGAGAUAUAAUAAUAAAUUUUAUUUCAUGAGAUGAUAUCUAAGACAUUAAGGAACCCACACAACUUUAUGGAAUUGAAUUCUAGAGGUAGAACUCUCAAAACUUAUCAUAGUGUGAAAGGUACUUUCUGAGUGACAUGUGAUGAAGGUGUGUUCUAAAAUGGGGGCUUGGAAUUCAAAUUCAAACAUUCUAUCUCUUUGCAAAGCGCUGUAGAGGCAUAGAUGUUGUUGUAGUAGGGCCACUGAAGCGAGGCCAUUGUAGUGCGAUGAGUCCCGUUGUAACGGGACAGACGUGACUUAAGUAAGAAAUACAACCCCAAAACUGUUUUUAUUAUGCACUUUUCAAAAAUUCAAAGCUAGGAAACGACCUCAGACGACUUCCUGACCCUUUUUCACUAUUCUUGAGGCUAAAAAUAAGGUUUUCACUCUCCAAAUCCAUGUUUUGAUAUAUAGAACUUAGUUUCAUCGAUAAUAAGCGAUGGGGGUUUUGAUCUGAAAAUUAUGGUGACAAAGAGCUCUAAUAUUGGUUUGUGGAUCCUUGGUUUGGUCUAAGGUUAUUUAGUUCCUUAAAAUCUAGCUAAUUAGACCUUUGAUUGUUGAUCCUUGCAUAUAUAUUAUUAUUUGAAGACCUAGAAGAAGCUGAAAGUGUCCGGAAAGUGAAGAUUCAAGUACCUUAAGGGAUUUAAGCAGGGUUUCAAAGUAGGUGAUGGUUGUGAUUUCAUGUUUUACGUGAUGUAUGUUAGUAAUUUAUUCAUUAUACUACAUGUAUGUAUGUGAAUGAAGUACAGUGAUCACGUGUAAUGCAAUUAAAAAUGAACGAAGAAUUAUUGUAUUUGUGAGAAUAUUCAUUGAAAUGGUGAUAGUAGUUUGUUGAAUGGUGAGGGUGUCACAUUUUGACACACUAUAUGGGAUCGAUUACAGAGUACCUACAUAAAUAUUGAAACUGGUGUCAUAUUCGACAUACUAAGUGGGAUCGAUUGACACAUGUAGGCUAUCUCGCCCCGAGAUUACACCCUAGAUGUGGCCGACAAUCAAUGAUCAUUGUUGGCAUUGAGUGAACCUUUGACCUGGCUUACUUAAUUCAUCAGACGACUUAACUCGAUGAUAAAACAAGACAUUUUCUGAUAAAUGACUUAAAAUAAUGUAUUUCCCAAAAUGGCACUUGUCACAUCCGAUUUUACCCCCUAGACGUAAUCGACAUUGUCGUCCUUUACAAGGACUAAGACUAGCCUCGUACUUUCAUGUCAUUACAUUCAUUGGUUGAAAAUGCGGAAAAAUUUAAAAAUUUCAUUAUCACUACUUGGAGGUUUACAUAUACCUCUAAAUACACAUAAUAUAUAUUCAUAUUGAGUAUACAUAGACCCUUAGUAUAGAAAGGUUACAUAGCCAUCUACUUUUAUUGCACAUACAUAUACGUAAAACAUAGAAAUAGUAUCAAUGAUUGUCUCAUGUCAUACCAUCUAAACUAAUAUAACAAUAUGGUCAUAGCCCUUAAAUCAAUCCAACAAGACCAUGUAUUGGUCAUACUAAAGUACACUAGUCAAUUAAAAAGAAAAAAAAAUGAAAGAGUCAAUAAGCUCAUAACGAAAUCCGUAAUCUAGAGGAUGACAUUGCCCUCUAAUGUUGAAGACCUACACGACAUUCAAGAAAGGAAGAAUCCAAGCCUUCAACAAUGUUGCCUUCAAAAAUCUUCAAAGACAGGAAACCUAAAAUAUUUGGUAAAAGGGACAAAAAUGGUCAUAGUACUCCACAUGUACUAAGUAUGGGAUCUUAUGCACAUACACAAGUGAAACAUACUAAAAAGGAUUUUUUAGUCAAAACAUGCCAUUUUAUCCCUUUAGGGACUUAAUGCAAUGUCAAGUAAGUCAUAUCAAUAAACCAAUCAUUCUUACUACCUCAACAAGUAAUUCUUAUCCCAACAUACUUAAAACCAUGAUUUACUACAACCCUAAUAUCAAAGAAUAAUAUCACAAGAAUGAAUAAGAGUCAAACAUAUCAUAAUAAGCAAGACAACUAUUCAUGAGUCCUUAUAAAGUAAACAAGUGGAAUGACCAAGCCCAGCCCCAUAACCUUACUCAAUCAAGUAUCCUCAACAAGAACACAUGACUAAUGUCCAACUUUACAUAUCACGGCGUUUAGGUUUAUAGUUCAACAUAUGAUAACAUUAUAACCCAAGGCAUAGUCAUAAAUGAACUAAUAAAAAUAUAGUAGCAAUAAUGUUCCAUGGUCAUCAUAUAUACAUCAUAUAUUAUAAUAGCAUAAACAUAUAUAAGAACCUCCUCCUAGGACACCCUCAAGGCUAACUACUGCUAUGUUUAGGUAGAGUCCCAUAUCCAUACGUACACUAAGCUAGACCCCUUUGGUUAUCCAAGUUAGAGUUCAAGUUGUUUAAUUCGUUUGACCUUUUCGGGAAAAUCUUUCCCUAACCGACAUAGACCACAUGAGCUAGUGUGGAAUCCGGUGUCAAAAAACCCUACACUUAAAGACGGCGGACUAGUUGUUAAGGUAGUACCAAAACAUGAAACAAGGCAAUUACGUGGAUCCACAUGCCAGUAUUCCUAUGGGGGAAAAUAGUUCAAGAACUAGGAGAUAUAGUUGAGACCCUCUUUAUACGCCUUGCAUUAUAGUCUCCAAUCUCAAGAGUAAUAUAGUGUUCCUACCUUCCCUAUGUGGGAAGGGACACUCCUCUAUCUAGUUCACUAGGUGCUAAGCUAGAGUCCCUUUCUGAUAUGUCUUUAAGCCUUUAAUUAUAGCUUAAUUUAGGCCAUAGGGUGUACCCUUUGUAUAAUCAUCAUCAUCAAUAGCUCAAUAAGAAUUGUAUGAGUACAAGUCCUUUCAUCAAAAUUCAUAUAAGUGAGGAUAACAAAAUAACAUUUCAUAGCAUUUAAGGCACACUGCUAGUUUUCACCAUCCUUAUACCACAUACAACUUAAUCAACCUAACAUCACACUCAAGAGAUUUCAAUUCAACAUCAUUACACCCUAUAAACCUAGUAUAAGGCAUACUCCAAUUUAAUAUCAUGACUUAACACUUAAUCACAAUUGGAAGUAAAUAUAGAAAUUGUAAGACAUACGAAGUCUUUCUCAUAGUCUAUCAUCAAGGUCUUACCAUCAACCCAUAACUCAACCCAAAUUAGGGAGUAACAUUAUCACACAAUGAUAACCAAUAAAAUAACAAGGCUUAUUUCAAAUUAGGAUUCAUAACCUAAAUCAAAUCUCAAGACUAUCAUGAUAGGACAAGAAUUCAUGUUAAUUUAAUCAUAAUAGAACCAUAGUAUCGUAAUCAAAUCAACAUAUAACUCAAUUGAAUGAUCACAAUACAAUAUAGAUCAAGAUCACUACCUAGGGUUAGGGAUGUAGGAUCAUAUUAUUCAAUUUUGACCAAACCAUCAACAAUUACCAUAAACAAGUUGAAUUACAUGUUAAUGUGCUCAAUAUAACCCUAAUAAAUCAUUAACAACUAAAUCAAUAAAUUCAAUUUCGCAAUUGGAUGAAUGCCACGAGAAAACUCAACAUUUGAAUCUAUUUUAUAGGAAACCUUUGAGGAAAAAGUCUCAAAGGUAAAUAGAACUCAUACUUUAACAUUUAACAACAAUUUAAUCAUGAAUUCAUCCCUUUACAGCCCCCAAACCAUAGUCCUUGCUAGUCUUCAAUCCGUGAGUUUAUGUAGAGAGAAAAAUAAGAGAGGAGGAAGAGCAUUUAAUUGAGAGUUUUCUUUAGAUUAAUGAGGGUUGGGAGUAUUUAUAUUGGGUGUUAAAUCAACUUAAUUAGAAUCCUUUAACGCCUAAUUAAACCACCUAAACCCCUUACUAUUUAAAUGACACUGACUUAAAUUAGGACAGAAACUCGACCCUCAGAAACUUUGAUCAAUGGGCUGUCUGUGACGGAUAACCCCACCUCAGACAUGCACUCCUUCGUCUUUGUUAAAGACUGUGAAGGCAAGGGCUUCCUCCAAUUGUCUAUGUGUGGGAUGAUGGAGGCAUUGACUCCCUGUCGAUCCACACACGGACCAUAGCCUGCACCUCUACACUCCGUCGAUGAGUUCAGAGGUUGUGAGGGUGAAGGGGCCUUCUCAACCAGCCUAAGCGUGGGACGAUGGUGGAAUUGAUGCUCUAUCGAUCCAAACAUGGGUUGUCUUCUAUCCCGUCGAUGCACACUGCUAGGCAGUGUUGCAUCAAACUACAAGAGUCCUUCUCAAAGGCCGUUGGUUGAUCCCUCGGGAGUCGUACCUGGACGUUUCAACCAUGAAAAAAUUCAAACACCUAUUAGCAACCUUUCCACCAGUUUUCGUACAUUUCCGACUCCCAAAAGUUAGUGAAAUAGGUUAAGGCACUCUAACAUCCCUUUGAACACACUUCCCGAACGUUAUGGAUGUUUUGGUUAGUAAACCUCCUAAAUGACCUAUAUUCAUUAAGACUUGACUUAUAAACAGUACUUGGACAUUAUGACACCUAUGUUAGGCUUUCCAUUGAGUCUUGGACUGUCAAGGUGUUAUAUUAUCCCCCCCCCCUCUAUAGGAACAUUCGUCCUCGAAUGACACUAAAUUUCUUUUGAUGGAAGGAAUAGACUCAAGACUAGCAGACCAACCAAUCAACAAUAUCAAAUCAACAUAAAUCAUUACAUUUAAACAAGGCAAAUAUUAAAACUCAUAUUACCAUACAUAAGGCUCAAAAAACUCCAUCAUGAGGCAUUUUCCUUCUCACAACACUUAUGAUCUCAACAUACAUUAAAUGAGUUAAUAAGCACAAAGUUCAACUUAACAAUAUGCUACUUAUCAUUUGAUAAAGAACCACCAUAUCAAAAUGCACAACAUAAAUCAAUACAAGCAAAAAGAAAAAUUUCAUGUUUUUAAGAGAAAUACUACAAUAACUUCACUAUAAGUUUUUCAAAAAUGCAUAAUGUGCAAAACUUCACCAAAAAAUCAAGAAACUUCAAUUUCUAGUCAUAUUUAUAUUAUUUAAAAGAAUGACUAACCUUAAUUCUCAAAAAAUGAGGAUAAUAGGACUUCUUGUUGGCCUAGCCCUCCCAUGUUGCACCCUCAACAAGAUGGUUUUUUCAUAACACCUUUACGGAAACCACCUCUUUAUUCCUCAACUUCUGGACUUGCCUAUGAAGAAUUUGAACCGGAACUUGCUCAUAAGAGAGAUUAUCCUUGAUACCAAGACCUUCAAUAGGAAAAAUGGACAGGGGAUCACUGAUACACUUUUUCAACAUAGAAACAUGGAAAAUCUGAUGAACCGAAGCCAAUUCACUAGGAAGAUUCAAUUCACAGGCAACCUUACUAACCUUUUGCAAGAUUUCAUAGGGACCCACAUAACGAGGACUCAAUUUCCCCUUCUUUCAAAAUCUAACCUGCCUUUUUAUUGGUAAAAUUUUCAAAUACACCUUAUCACCUUCUUCACACUCCAAAUACCUUUCUCCUAUGAUCGAGAUAAGACUAUUGCCUACUAUAGGACAUUUUCAUCGGUUCCUUCUGAUAUGAACCUUUUCUAAAGUCUUGUAAAAUCAUCUCGGGACCAAGAAGUGAUGGCUCACCCACUUCAAACCAUCCAAUAGGAGACCUACACCUCCUACCAUACAAGACUUCAUAGGGAGCCAUAGAAAUGGAUGAAUGAAAACUAUUGUUUUAGGAAAACUUCACGAAAGGUAAAUGUCUAUCCCAACUCCCUUUAAAAUCAAUUAUGCACGCCCUAAGCAUAUCUUCAAGUGUUUGUAUCGUACGGUCCGCUUGACCAUCCGUUUGGGGAUAAAAAGCGGUGCUCAACUACAGCGUAAUACCUAACCCUUUUUGGAAUGACCUCCGAAAUCUAGAUGUGAAUUAUGCGCCCCGAUCUGAUAUGAUGGAUAACGGAAUGCCAUGGAAGCACACAAUGUCAUCUAGGAAGAUUCUUGCAUAAUCCUCCGCCGAAUAUAUGUACUUGACAGGAAUAAAUUGUCCACUUAGUCAAUCGAUCCGUAACCACCCAUAUGGAAUCAUAAGACUUUUGAAUCCGAGGUAAACCUACUACAAAGUCCAUAUUCAUGUCUUCCCACUUCCAUGUAGGAAUUUGGAUCUCUUGUAGUAAGACAGCAGGCUUUAGGUGUUCGUCAUUUACUUGUUGGCAAUUGUGACACUUAGCGACAAACUCCGCUAUGUCCCUUUUUAGAACUUCCCACCAAUAUAUCUUCCUUAGGUCAUGGUACAUUUUUUUCGACCCCGGAUGAAUUAAGUAGAGGGACCCAUGUGCUUCGUCUAGGAUCCUAUCCCUCAACCCAUCUACAUCGGUAGAACAUAAUCGCCCUUGGUACCUUAACACACCAUCCCCCUCUAAGGAGAAUGAUUCAUUCAACUUGUUGAGAACCAAUUCUUUCAUCUCCAUUAAGGCUAUAUCAAGGUGUUGUUGGACUUCACCUUAAGUGCAAAAGAUGUUCGGAGUUAUAAUGAACUAUAGUGCCCCCAUUCGGAGAACUCUUCAACCUCACCCUCAACCUAGACAACCUAUGUACUUCCCUUACUAGGUCCUUCUUUGCUUUGUCAAGAUGGGAUACACUACUCAUAGUCAUGCGACUUAGGGCAUCCGCAGCUACAUUAGCCUUGCCAGGGUGAUAAAGCACACUCAUAUCAUAAUCUUUCAACAACUCUAGCCACUUUCUUUGUCGAGAUUCAACUCCUUUUUGUUAAACACAUAUUGGAGAUUCUUAUGAUUGGUAAAAAGAUCAACAUGAACCCCAUACAAGUAAUGCCUCCAAAUUUUCUAAGCAAACACCACGACCGAUAACUCAAGGUCAUGAGUGGGAUAUUUUCUCUUAUGUACCUUAAGUUUCCUAGAGGCAUAAGCUAUCACCAUCCCGUGUUGCAUAAGAACACACCCCAAAUCCAUACGGUGUGAGUCACAAUAUACCAUAAAACCCUUUGUGCCCUCAGGUAUGUUAAACACUAGAGCACAAGUAAGCCUAUCUUUCAACUAUAGCAAGAUUUUCUCACAUGCCUCCGACCAGUCAAACUUCUUAUGAGGCAUAGUAUUCAAAGGAGACGCAAUGGACGCGAAACCAUCAAUACACUUCCGAUAGAAACCUGCUAAACCGAAGAAACUCCUAAUAUCACUUGGAGUCAAUGAGCUAGGCUAGUUUUUCACCGCUUUCAUUUUCGUUGGAUCUAUCUCAACUCCCUCACUGGAGAUGAUGUGCCCAGGAAAUGUCACCGACCUCAACAAAAACUAACAUUUACUAUAUUUGGCAUACAAUUGAUGUUCUUUAAGGGUUUUCAAUACUACCCUGAAAUGACCCAUAUGAUCAUCCUCAUUCUUCGAAUAUACCAAGAUCAUAAAUAAAAACAAUGACAAAUGAAUCUAGGUAAUUUUGAAAAACAUUAUUCGUUGGGUCCAUAAAUGUUAUUGGAGCAUUAGUGAAACCUAAAGGCAUGACAAAUAACUCAUAAUUCCCAUUCCUAGUCGAAAGGCCGUCUUUGUUAUAUCCUCUCCUCUUACCCUAAGUUGAUGAUACCCCGACGUGAAGCGUAACUUUGAAAAGUAACUGCCCCUAGGAGUUGGUCAAAUAAGUUAUCAAUCCGAGGGAGAGGGUACUUAUUCUUAAUGGUAACCUUGUUGCGUUGGCGGUAAUCAAUACACAUUCUCUUGGACCCAUCUUUCUUCUUCACAAAUAAAAAUGGAGCACCCGACGGAAAAAUACUAGGCCUUAUAAAACCUUAUCUAGUUAAUCCUUGAGUUGAGCCUUAAACUCCCUCAACUCGGACGGAUCCAUCUGAUAAGUAGGAAUUUAUAUGUGAUUUGCAUCCGGUAGAAAAUUAAUGCGAAGUCAAUUUCUCAUUCGGUAGAAUACCGAGAAGGUCAUUAGGGAAGACCUCCAAAAAUUCACUCACUACGGGCACCGACUUGAUGGGAGAAACUUCAGAGUCUAGAUCUUGGACUCUUACUCAAUGGUAAAGACAACCUUUUGAGAUCAUUUUGCAUGCUUUUAGACGAGAAAUAAAACGACCUCUGGGAAUAGAAUUUCCCCCUUCCACUCAACAAUAGGUUCAUUUGGGCAGUUAAACAUCACCACUCUUGUCCUACUAUCAAUGGAUGCAAAACAUGAAUGCGACCAAUCCAUACCCAAUAUACUAUCAAAAUCAAGCAUAUCGAGUUCCACUAGAUCAACAUAAGAAACUCUAUUGAAAACAUUAUUGGAUAAUUUCUGUACACCCUUUUUGCAACAAUCGACUCACCUACCGGAGUAGACACUGUAAAAGGUUCAUGCAAAAUAUCGGGUGAAAUAUCAAAUUUUUUAGCUACUAGAGGUAUAACAAAUGAUAAAGUAGCGUCGGGAUCAAGUAAGGCAUAUAAAUUAAGAGAGAAAACUUUCAACAUACCGGUCACCACAUCGCGAGAAGUCUCUUUCUCACCCUUAGAGCAGAGAGCAUAGAAGCAGUUCUUCUUGGAGCACCACCAGAACCACUUGCUUGAGCUUGACCACUACCUUUGUCUUGACACUUCAUGUUUGGUCAAUCUCUCAUCUUGUGUCAAUUCUUGCCACAAAUAAACCAAUUAUACGUCUCCUUAGGAAAUCACAAUAAUGUUUUUUACCACACCUUCCACAAGUUGGCUUCUCAUUUGGUGAAUUAGUAGCUUUUACCUUCUGCAAUUUAGGUUCAUACACCCUAUCACCACUAGCCUUUGGUAAUUUGGAAGGGACUUAAUUAGAAACCCGCUUCAUCAAUAUAGGCUUGUCUUGUAUUCCAAGCGUAUUCUUUGAAGAACCUCCAUCAUAUGACCUUGCUCUUUUAGCAUCUCUACUUUUUCACUUAGCCCUUGAAUCGUCAACCCUUCUUUCAUGCACAAUAAGACGGGAAAUGUUCAUGAUUUCAUGUAACAUGCCCGAUUGGCGCUCCUGUUGUAAGUCAUCCAACAUUCCCGUCACAAAAUGGCUCAUUUGGUCUCUAGGAUCGGAGACCAAAGAAGGAGUAUAUUUGGACAACUUAAUUAAUUCCAAAGAUUACUCAGGGACAUUCUUUCCUCAUUGGUGAAGAUUGAUGAAAUCCGUCACUUUGUCCUCCCUCAUCUCCCUAGAGAAGAACUGAUCUAGAAAAACCGCCUAAAGAUCUCCCAAGUCAUCGGACCACCCGUCAACGGCCUAUUGUCCCUCCAUUGCAUAUAUAAACUUAGAGAAAUAUCCUUGAGUUUGUAUGUGAACAACUCGGCAUUCUCACUUGAAGAUACCCCCAUAGCAUAUAGUAUCGUGUAGACCUCAUCGAUGAAUUCUUGGAGGUCUUUCGAAACCUUCGACCCAUAGAAAGUAGGAGGGUUCAUUCGAGAGAAGUCCAUUAGACGGGAUGCCACAGUAAUGACUUGUUGAUGAGGACGGGGCGUUAUAUCCUGAUUGACUUGGGCUGUGAUUGCUUGGGCUUGAACCAUCGCGACUUUUGCUUGAGAAGUCAUGACUUGGGCUUUUUGAUCAAGAAUAGUCCUCGUCUUAGCCUCCGUUAUAGGUGUAGGAUUAGGAGGGUCUUGCUCCACAUUAGCUUUUUCUUCAAGUGGAGGAACUUUCUCAUCAUGGGGAGGAGCUCCUACAUUAGCAACUUCCUCCUUAAGUCUUAGAGGCGCAUUCCUUCGAGUGUUCAUGAUUCCUAUAAGCACAACAAUAUGAUUAGAUGCAAAAGCUCACCAUAUGUAUACUUUAUUAGCACAAUAUAAGAUUUCCAUGAAAGAGAGUCAUUCGAAGUAUCAUAUAGGUUCCUACUCAUAAUUGUGACACGCUUCCCAAUUAUAAAUACAAACCUACAUAGACGUAGUUGAGAGAGAGAGAGACAUAACUCAACAAUAUUCAACCUCGUACUCGGAUACCAAGUUUGUCACAUCAGGGUUUACCCCGUAUACAUAACCGGCAUCCUCGUCCUUUUCAAGGACUAAAAAUUGCCUCUUAGCUUCAUGUCAUUACAUUCAUAGGUUGAAAAAUGCAGAAAAUUUAAAACUUUCAUUAUCACUACUUGGAGGUUUACAUAGACCUCUACAUACGCAUAAUAUAUAUUAAAAUCGAGUAUACAUAGACCCUUCAUAUAGGAAGGUUACAUAGCCUUCUAGUUUUAUUACACUUAAAUAUACGUAAAUAUAGAAAUAGUCUCAAAGAUUGUCUCAUCUCAUAAAAAAAUCAGUAAGCUAGAGGAUGGCAAUGCCCUCGAAAGUUAAGGACAUACCCCUCUUUGAUUAAAGGAAGAAUCAAAGCCUUCAACAAUGUCGCCUUGAAAACUCUUCAACGACCGGAACCUAAAAUAUUUAGGAAAAGGGAAAAAAUGGGGUUAUUACUCCACAUGUACUAAAAAUGGGAUCAUAUGCACAUACACAAGCAAAACAUACUAAAAAGGACUUUUUAGUUAAAACAUGUCAUUUUACCCCUUUAGGAACUUAAUCCAAAGUCAAGUAAGUCAUAUCAAUAAACCAAACAUGCUUACUAUCUCAACAAGUAAUACUUAUCCCAACAUACUUGAAACCAUGAUUUACUAUAACCCUAACAUCAUGGAAUAAUAUCACAAGAACGAAUAAGAGUCAAACAUAUCAUAAUAAGCAAGACAACUAUUCAUAUGUCCUUAUAAAGUAAACAAGUGCAAUGACCAAGCAAAGCCCAAUAACCUUACUCAAUCAAGUAUCUUCAACAACAAAACAUGACCAAUGUCAUGGCACCUAGGUUUACAUUUCAACAUAUAUUAACAUUAUAACCCAAGGCAUACUCAUAAAUGAACUAAUCAACAAAUACUAUUAACAAUGUGCCAUGGUCAUAUAUACAUCAUAUAUUAUCAGAACAUAAACAUAUAUAGGAACGUCCUCCUAUGAUUCCCCUCAAGUCUAACUACUGCAAUGUUUAGGUAGUGUCACAUACCCCUACCUAGACUAAGCUAGACCCCUUAGCUUAUCCAACUUAUAGUUCAAGUCCUUUAAUUCGUUUUACCUUUGUUGGAACAUCUUGUCCUAACUGACAUAGACCACAUGAGCUACUGUGGAAUCCGGUGUCAUAAAACCCUACAUCAAAAGAAGGAAAACUAGUUAACAAGGUAGUACCAAAACAUGAAACAUAGCAACUACGUGGAUCCACUAGCUAGUUUUCGUAUGGGGCAACAUAGUUCAAGAACUAGGAGAUAUACUUGGACCCUAUUUAUGUGCCAUGUAUUAUAAUCUCUAAUCUCAAGAGUAAUAUAAUGUUCCUUCCUUCCCUGUGUGGGAAGGGACACUCCUUAAUCGAGUUCACUCGGUGCUAAGCUAGAGUCCCAUUUGGCUUAAAGACAUUCCAAAUCGAGUUCACUCGGUGCUACCCCUUGUAUUAUCAUAAUCAUCAAUAGCUAAAUAAGAAUUGUAUGAGUAUAAGUCCUUUCAUUUCAAUUCAUAUAAGUGAGGUUAACACAUUAAUAUUUGAUAGCAUAUUAAGGAACAUUCAUAAUUUUCACCUUCCUUAUAUAACAUACACCUUAAUCAACCUCAAAAAAUAGUCAAGACAUUUCAAUUCAACAUCACACAACCCUAUAAUCCUAGUAUAACACAUACUCCAAUGUAAUAUCAUUACUUAACAAAAUAUAAACACAAUUGGAAAUAAAUAUAGAGAUUCUAAGACUUACCUCAUCUUCCUCAUAGUAUAUCAUCAAGGUCUUACUGUCAACCAAAUAACUCAACCCAACUUGGGUAGUAACAUCAUCACACAAUCAUAAAAAUUAAGACAACAAGGCCAAUUGCAUAUCUAUAUCACAAUUCAACUUUAGAUCAAAACUUGAGAUAAGAUAUAUAGGCUAGUUUAACAUUAUAAUUCAUAACCUAAAUCAUAUCUCAAGAAAUAGAAUGAUAGGACUAUAAUUCAUCUUAGUUUUAUCAUAAUAAAACCAUAGGAUAGUAAUCAAAUCAACAAAUAACUCAAUUGAAUGAUCACAAUACAAUAUGGAUAAAAAUCACUACUCAGGGUUAGGGAUGGAGGAUCAUAUUAUUUAAGUUAGACCAAAUCAUCAAAAAUUACCAAAAACAAGUUGAAUUUCAUGUUAAUAUACUCAUUAUAACCCUAGCAUAUCAUUAAAAACUCAAAGGUGAAUAGAACCCAUACCUUAACGUUUUUCAACAAUUUGAUGGUGAAUUGUUCCCUUCACAUCCCUCAAACCCUAGUCCUUACAAGUCUUCAAUAGUGAGUUCAUGUAGAGAGAGAAACAAUAGAGAAGGAAGAUAGUGUAUUUAAGAGUUGACUUUAGAUUAAUGAGGGCUGGGAGUAUUUAUAUUGGGUCUUAAAUUAAAUUAUUUAGAAUACCUUAAACCCUCAUUGUACCACCUAACCCCCUUACUAAUUAAAUGACACUGACCUAAUUUAGGCAGGAAACUUGACCCUCGAAGAUGAAACCCCGAUCGUCGGGCCAUCUGUAAGUCGACGGACCUCUGUCCUGCACUCCGCUGUCUUUGUCAGAGACUGUGAAGGCAAGGGAUUCCGCUAAUUGUCUAACUUUUAAAUGAUGGUUCCAUCGAUGCCCCGUCGAUCAACACAAAGAUCAUAGCAUGCACAUCUGCACUCCGUCGAUAAGUUCAGAGGUUGUGCAGGUGAAAUGGCAUUCUCCACAAACCUAUGUGUGGGACUAUGGUGGCAUCCAUGCCGCGUCCAUCCAUACGCAGGCCGUCUUCUGUCCCGUUGAUGCACACUGCCAUGCAAUGGUGCAUCAAACUACAAGGGUUAUCCUCAAGUGCCCUUGGUUAGUUCUUGGGGAUCCUUACCCUAACGUUUCAACCAUGAAACAACUCAAAUGCCUAUUAUCUAUCUUUCCACCAAUUGUUGUACAAUUCUAACUCCCAAAAGUUAUUCAAAUGGGCUAAGGCACAGGAACAUUCCUUUGAACCAACUUCUCAGACGUCAUGGACGUUUUGGUUCUUAAACCUCCUAAAUUACCUAUAUUCAUUACGAUUGGUAUUAUAAACAGUACUUUGACCUCAUGACACCUAUUUUAGGCUUUACAAUAUGUCUUGGAUUUUCUAGGUGUUACAACACUUAAGUCUCAAUAUUUAAUAUGUGAAAUAAAAUAGACUCAACUAAACUGACUUAUUAUCCCUAUAUGAAGCCUCUAAAAAUACUAUGAUGAAAGUUGGGACAAACCCCACAACAUUUUGAAUGAAUGGAAAGAAAUAUCAAGGAUCCUCUGAAAUGCAAGGAGGCUCACCAUUGACUCUCGGCGCUCAAGUGGAUCAGCAAGGUCCUAGAUGUUGAUCCUUGUUACCUACGUAUGCAUCAUAAGACGAUGCAUUCCAACUGGCAUCAGUACAUUUAAUGUACGAGUAAGCGAGUUGGAAUGAUAAAAAACAACUUAAUCUUUAUAAGAAUAAUAUGAACUUACCUUUGCUCUACUCAACUCAGGGAUAAGAAACUCAAUGAGUGUGUGUGUGUGUGUGUGUAUAUAUAUAAACCAAUUUAAAACACAUGUGAUAUAUAUAUAUAGCUUUGUAAAACUUUAAAACAACUUAGUUCAUUAAAGAAAAGGAAAGAACAAACUCAACUUUACUUAUAUACGAAGUAAUAUAGUUAUAUGGGAGAUUCUCUAACUGAUAACCAACACUGGGAGCCUAAAUGGUGAUACAACGUCUCGUUCAUUCUGCUAGAACUGUCCUAUAUUUUGUCUUCGCAUAAAACUCCUUAACUUAGUGGAUUAGUAAAUUAACUUGCGUGAAUAGUUUACAUGGGGACUUGAGUUAUUAUGAACUUUUAUCCCCACAUCGAUGAUCAAUAUUACUACAAAAUCCUACUUUAGCACAUGCAUUUAAAAUAACUUCCUUUAUUUGGUUUGCGAUAAUUUGCUCAACACUUUAGGUUAAAAAAAUCUCUUUUAAUCAUUGACCAAUUUCUUAUUUUAAACUUUGUUGGGAAAUAUUAGUUUCCUCUUAACUUAAAUAUGAGAACAUUUAUAAACUUUUUAGGAAAUAUUUAGUUCUCGUAUAACUUUUGAGGAAUGAACUCAACUUUCUCUUUACUUAGAUUGAAACUUAACUCUUAAAACAACAUUGAAAUGUUUAAAUAAGACUCUUGAAAACCUUUAAGAGUUUUACUCUAACCUACUUCUUAGCAUUAGACUUGACUUCUUAAUUUCCUUGAUUAUUAUCUUAACUUUCCUUGAAUUGAGAUAUGGAUUCAAGGUUCAUGAUCUCUUGUUUACUGUUGAUUUAAUGAUGUUUAGAUGUACCUUAUAGGGUUGUUAUCAACAAAAAAGUAUGGUUACAUCACUUGGAAAUAGUAGGAAAAUAUGGGGAAAGAACGGGGUCUAUAGGUGUCCUUGGCGCUCUGAGAGGUUCGGAGCAUCAGAGCCUGACAGACAGAGACUAAACUGAGGGACUCUUGUAGACGCAGCAUCCCAGGGUCUGUUUGACCAGACUUUCAAUUUUUCUUCUGCUUUUUUCAUCUCUAAACCUUCAAAACUUCCAUGGAUAUAACCCCAACCACUUACGAUCACUAAUAACCUCAAUACCCAAUAGAUUAGACUCAAAACAACCUUGAAACACGAAUACAAUAAACUAAAGCAUAUUACAAGUCAACCAACAACAAUUUAACCAUUGUUCUUCAAGAAAAUCAAUGAUCCUCAUUCAAUCUAUUAAAACAUAGCUUAUCUAAGAAAAUUGGUGUGUGGGUGAAGUAGUCCAACACAGAAAGAUCUCACAUAUCUUUGAAGGGAUCAUCCCUACGGAUUCCACUCGAAGAUCUUGGCGUUCUUGGUGAAUUCUUGAAAUUUUCUCCCUUUUUCUUCUUUUCUUCUCUUUUCUCCCAAGCCCUAAGCGUGAACACUUUUCUAAAAUUGACUUAUGUCUUAGUUUUACCCCUAGUAAACUUUUAAAAAUAAUUAGUAAAUCUCCCUCUUACUAAUUUCUGGAUUAGGACCUUCAUUAAUCCAACAUCCCAACUUCCGGUAGACAAUCUCCCUCUUACAAUAUAAAAAAUACGCAAAGUCAUAAGUACUGGACAGAUCUUUUAAAGGGAUUUCCAACCAUAUAAAGAACAAACUCUAACUCAUCAUGCGCUAGGUGUUAUGGCUGUUUGAGAUGACCAAAAAAUGACUUUUUACACUUAAGAAAUUUUCCAUAUUAUUCCUAUUCAUUCCAAAAAUGAUAAAUUUUAGUUUUUUAGCUAAUGCUUCGCUAUUAAGAGUUACAAUAUGUUACAAUAUCUCCCCCUUGAGUACAUUCAUCCUCGAAUGAGAUUUCUUUCACUAUGCUAAGGAUAGUAACAUCAAGUUCAAUACUUAACAAUCCAAAAUAAUUUAAAAAUAAAUCCAACUCAUAGUUCAUAAAGUACUAAGAAGAGAAUUUGUACCUUGAUCUACAUUCUCUUCGGAUUAAAAGAGAUGUGGAUAUCUCUUCUUUAAAUCCUCUUAAGCUUUCCUAAUCACUUUUUCAACAAAAUAGAUCCUCGAAAGAUCCUUAACUAACAGAACUUUCUUUGUUCUCAACUUCCAAACUUGGUGAUCUCAAAUCUAAACUCGAAUAUCUUCAUAGGAAAAUCUAUCCUGAAUCAUAACAUUCUCAAUCGGUACAAUCAAUGAAGGAUCACCCAUGCACUUCUUCAACAUGGAGAUAUGAAAUACCGGAUGAACUGUUGCUAACUCUUAUAGUAGAUCCAAAUAAUAAGCUAUAUCUCCAAUAUAAUUGGAUACCCUAUAAGGUCCAACAUACCGGGUACUAAGCUUUCCCUUUUUACCAAACAUCAUAACACCCUUCACUGGUGAAACUUUCAGAUAUAUCAAAUCAACCACUUCAAACUUCAUUGGCUUUCUCCUCACAUCUGUAUAGGACAUCUAACGACUCUAUAUCAUCUUUAAUAUUUCUUGAAUAACCUUCACCUUCUCCAUGGCUUGGUGAACUAGAUCUGGUCCUACUAACCCUACUUCACCGACUUCUGCAUCUCAUCGCAUAGAGAGCUUCAUAUGGAGCCAUUUGGAUGCUCAGAUGGUAGUUGUUGUUGUAAGCGAAUGCAAUGUGAGGUAGGUGAUCAUCGAAAUUCCCCUUCAAAUUAUCAUUCAAGAAAUCAACAUGCCUUCUAAUGUAUGGAAGGUACGUUGUGCUUGUCUAUCAAUCUUAGGAUGAAAAGUCGUGCUUAAGUUCACCUUUGAACCUAAACCUUUUUUGAAAGACUUCCUGAACUGACCUGCAAAUUGUGCACCUCUAUCUGAAAUAAUGAAGGUAGGAACCCCAUGAAAUCUUACCACUUCUUGAAUGUACAACUUAGCACAAUCCUCGGCCAAAUGGGUAGUCUUUACGGCAAAAAAUAGGCUGAUUUUGUUAUUCUUCGACAAUCACCCCAAUAGAAUCAUCAUUAUUAAGAGGCCUUGGUAAUCCUAUGAUGAAGUCCAUAUUGAUCAUCUCCCACUUCCAUUCUAGAAGUUUUAUAUUCUAAGCUAAACCUUCUGGUCUUUGGUUCUCUACAUUCACUGUUAAGUAAUUUGGCACUUGGCAAAAACUCAGCAAUGUCCUUCUUCAUAUUUCCCCACAAAUAUACCUAUCCCAAUUUGCGGUACAUCCUGGUAGAACCCAGAUGAAUGUAAUAUCUGGAGAUAUGAUCCUCCUCCAUGAUCCUCUCUUAGUGUCCAUCCACCCUAGGUACACACAACAUACCUUGGUACUUCAAUACACCAUCUCCCCCUUGUCCAAAAGUCAAUACUCAUUGAUUAUGAACAUUGGCCUUCAAAAAAAAUAAAAUAGAGUCUUGAUCUUGCUUUUAUUUCACUUGACUCAAGUGAUACUUCAGCCCCAUUAGUCACCACCAUCUCUCUUUCUGUGAAAUCCAUUUGUUUGACUCCCAAGCACGCAAGUCUGUGCAUAAUUUUGGCCUUUUCUUCCUCAACGUGGGUGGUAGUCCCCUUGUAUAACCUAUUUAAAGAAUCAGCAAACUUAUUGACCUUACUUGGGUUGUAAAGAAUACUCAUGUCUUAAUCCUUGAGUAGUUCUAACCACCUCUUUUUAUUGAUAUUGAGCUCCUUUUGGUGAACACAUAUUGUAGGCUCUUGUGUCCAGUGAAUAUAUCCAUAUGAACACCGUAAAAAUAGUAAAUCCAUAUCAUCAAGGUGAAAACCACUACAGCCAACACUAAGUCAUGGGUUGGGUAGUUCUUGUCAUGAGCUUUCAACUAUCUGGAGGCAUAACUGAUACGCUCAAACUUACUUCUCAAAUGAGAAGUAAAGCGGUCGCGUCAAGUAAAUAACCCAACUAGUGAGGUUGGGAUCGUUCCCACGAGGAAAAUAGUCUAGACUUAACUCCAACUUGUUAUUACUAUUGUUCGGUUGAUGACUUCCUUAAAAAGUAAAAUCAUAAAAGGGGGGUUUUGUACUUCCUAAUAAAAUAAAAAAAUAACUAACGAACUUGACAGAGACAUUUAACAGCUUUUAAUGUUGAGUUUUAAUCAAGUAAUCAAAGUAACUAGGGUUUACGUGUUCCCCACAGGUUCAUAACUUGAUAAUUCUAGCUAUAACAAUUCUUUCCUAGUAUCUUGCAUGCAAAGUGAUAAGCUAUGUAUUUCUAAAUCCUUGGUCCGGCAUCUAGAAAAUCUCACUCCGCACCUUGGUCUAGCUACGUGUGUUGCUUUCCUAACCCUUAUCCUUACCUCAUAUUAAGCAUCAUAUUCGAUAUUUGACUCAGUUAUUACCUCGUACCAAUCAAUACUAGCCUAUUAGAUAGUAUACACUAAAUUUAUGUUAAUAAUUCUUUUCCUAUUAUCUACCUCCUUGGUCCGGCAAGUAGCAUUAAGGCGAGUUCUAACGUUGAUCAUCCGUUAAAAAGAUUUCUAAGCGAAAGAAUUAUUAAUACAUGCAAGACACUAUUCUAGAAUUGUUAUUUUAGCUAGGGUUUAUCUCAUUAUUUGCCUAUGGUUCCCACAACCCUAGUUAUAGAGUUUAGUUCCUCAUAUCCAUAAACACAAUAUUCAAAUAUAUAAAACAAGAAGUCAUGUACUUACUUUGAUGAGAAAGAAUAAAGUCUGAAAAUUUGCUUGAUUAAUCAACAAGAGUUACUUGUAAGAAUCUCCAACAAUCAAAAACUCAGAAAAACAAAGUCUAAUAAUAUAAUGUUUAAUCUCCAAGAGUCUAACCUCAAAAAAGAAUUUUUUCGAACUAUUUAUAAAAAAAUAAAAACCUAAUUAAACAAGAAUUCUAAUUACUGGAAAUCUGUCAAAACGCGGCUGGGUCGACGGACCACGCGACGGAACGUCAUGGUCAUGACGGACCGUCGUGGGCUCCGUCGCCCCAUACUUGGUGCAAUUCUUCUGCUGCUUUCUUCAUUCCCCUCGACGGCAAGUGUGACGGACCGUCACAGGCACGACGGUCCGUCGAGGGUCUUCGUUACCAAAUACUUCAACUCUUGGAAUCUGGGUACUGGGAUCACUUCUCUGAUCUUCGCGACGAACCUGCAGGACGGACCGUCAUAUCCAUGACGGACCGUCACAAGCUUCGUAAUCCCACACUUGGUCAGACUUCCCCAUCUUCCUUCAGCAGCUUCUCUACGCUACCACCUACGGACCGUCACAAGCACGACGGACCGUCAUAAGCUCCGUAGGUGGUCUCUUCUGCAUUUUUCGCUCGAAAUCUCCGCAUUCAGUUUUAGACAGAUUUCCUGCAAAACAAAGAAAAACUUAUAUCAAAAUUAGCAUAAAAAGGCUUUCGGACACAAUAAACUUAAGGAAAAGGUAUUAAUUAUACCGUGAAAACACGGUAUAUCAAUAACUUAUGACCUUUAUUUUCUACAAUAACACAUAACCCAAACAAAUUCUUUAUGCAUCACAUUACACCACAAACCUUGAAUACCCUCCUGUAAGGUAAAAAUCGGAGCAUAGUCAACCUGUUUUCAAUUCCUAAAAGCUUUUCUCACAAGCUUCAGACCAUUGAAACGUUAGUAUCUUCUAAGACAACUUGGUCAAGGAAGACGAGAUAGAUGAAAACCCCUCAACAAACAUCCUAUAGUAUCCAACCAAACUCAAGAAACUCCUAAUAUUGGUUGGAGACAUGGAUCUAGGCCAACUCUGAACUACUUCAAUCUUUUUGGUGUCUACCCUAAUCCCAUCACCAGAAAUUAUGUGGACCAAGAACGUAACCGACUAAAGAAAAAACUCACACUUGGAGAACUUGGUAUACAUCUCCUUUUUUCAAAGUCUGAAGUACUAUUAUGAGGUGACUAGCAUGAUCUUCCUCAUUCCUUGAAUAGAUUUGUAUGUCAUCAAUGAAGACGAUAAUAAACAUAUCUAAGUAAGGCUUAAAGACUCUGUUCAUAAGAUCCAUGAACACUACUGGUGCAUUGGUCAACCCAAAAGACAUAACCAAAAAGUCAUAAUGCCCAUAUCUGGUUCUAAAGGUUGUCUUUGGAGUGUCACGUUCUCUAACUCUAAACUGAUAGUAGUAAGAUCUAAGAUCAAUUUUCUAAAAGCAAGAAUCACCCUGAAGCUUGUCGAAAUGAUCAUCUAUCCUUGGAAGAGGAUAUUUAUUCUUGAUUGUCACCUUAUUAAAUUAGUGGUAGUCUAUAAACAGCCUCAGGGAACAAUCCUUCUUUCUCACAAACAAGACUGGAGCACCCUAAGGUGAUACAUUUGGUCUAAUAAAACAUUUAUCUAACAGAUCUUUUAAUUUUUUUAAAAACUUUUAACACUGCCGGAGCCAUUAUAUAUGGCCGAAUGGAGAUAGGAAAAGUAUUUUGGGUGAUAUCUAUGCAAAAUUAUUUUGUUCUCUCAGUAAGGACUCCAGGCAAAUCAUCAAGAAAAACUUUUGGGAACUCUUUUACUAUAGGAACUGACUGAAACUAAGGUACCUCAGCACUUGAGUUAUUUACUUGGAAUAAGUGAUUGUUACACCCCGUUAAAACUAUGUUCAUAAGCUUAAGGUAUGAAAAAAAAAUGACGCUUAGGUACUGUUGUACUACUACUUCACUAUAUGACAGGCUCAUUAUGAAUUUGAAACUGUACAACUAGAGUUCUACAUUCUACUGACGCAUAACAAGCAUGGAACCAGUCCAUACCAUGAUGACAUCAAAAUCUACCAUGUCCUACUCUAUUAGAUAAUCCAUUGUAUUCUUAUGAUAGAUAAAAAUAGGACAAUCAUGAUAGACUCUUUCUUUUAGAAUAAACUCUUCAACAGGGGUUUAGAAAAACAGAAAGGUUCAGAAAAAUUCUCAGAAAGAAUCUCAAAUUGAUUUUCAACAUAAGGAGUUACAAAAGAUAAACUUAUUUCUGGGUCUAACAAAGCAUAGACAUCAAAAAUAAAAACUUUGAUCAUACUUGUGAAUACAUCUAGCGAGUUCUCCUGCUCUUGGUGGCUAUUAAUUGAAUAGACGUGAUUUUCCCCUUUGCUAGUAAAGAAAUCGCUCCUCAAGGUGCAGCCCUGUCUGCUGAAGCAACUGACGAAGAUAGAGCUCUAUUGCCCAUAUUUUAAACGACCUUUCUUAUUCUUAGGGCUCUCUCUCGUCAAAUGACCCUCUUGACCACACUUGAAGCAACCCGUCUCGCCCUUACGACAUUAACCUAGGUGGGUUCUACCACACAUAAUACAUGCAGGAGACCAACUACCCCCCUAUGCCACACUUCCUAAAAGACUAUGCGAGCAUAGCUUUGUAGUUCUGCAAAUUCUUGUCAUUGUAUUUACCUCUAUUUUUUGGGGCUGUUGCACUAGAAGAUGAUGGUGCAUGCCCCUUCUAUUUCUGAAAUUGUGUCUGAUUUGAACCACUUUUUUUUUGCCAAGAAUCAUUCACAGUCUUGGCUUUCUGGUUUUAUUACUCUUCUCACUUAUCUUUUCCUCUUCAACUUGCUACACAUAAACCAUCAAGCGGGAUAUGUCCAUUUCAUUGAUCAACAUUGUUGGUCUGCCCUCUUUACUAGUAUGACCCAAACUAACGACAAAAAAACUUAUUCUGCUCCUCAUAUUUUUAACCAUCUCAGGAGCAUAAUGAGACACAUGGUUAAUUUAAGCUCAUACUCAUGAACUUCAGAGUAAGGAACUCUCGUACCUUUGCCUCCUUCCGUUCUCGGGAAAAGAAAGGUCACAAGAAAGCCUCUUCAAAACAAGACCAACUCGGAUGUCGUGCAUCCUUACUCUACCCUCCUUCCACUAGUCGAACCAAGUCCUAGCCAUAUUAUUUAGUUGAUAGGAAGCUAUCUCAACCUUUCAGUAUCGACCACAUGCAUCACCUCAAAAACCUUAUUCAUCUCUUCCACAAAGUUUUUGGAUCCUCAAAAAUGCUUGAACCAGAAUAUCUUGGGGAAUUCAUCCUCAAUAAGUCCCGAAUCCUCGAAGUAUCUCCACUUCUUUUUGAGAUCCUCUUUGAAACCCAACUUGUUUAUUCACCACUUUGCUCAGCAUUGGUAUCGUCUAGCGAAACACAACAUUUGCUUCCGCUUGAGGUUCCACUUUUGGUGCAUUAUGUACCUCCGACUCCUCUACAUUUCUUCUGGUUGGACAACCUUUAACUGCUCUUCAUGCAGGCAUGAUGAUGUGAAACACGCGCAAGCAUGAAUUAGAUAAAAUCUUUUUAGAGUUAAACUUUAACGCAUGAAAAGAAAUAUGAAAGAAAUGAGGAAUACCUAAAUGUUGUAGCCUAAUAAUCAUAGAUGUGGCAUGCUUCACAACAAUAACAAAUACACUACGAACACAACUUCAUUGAUUCCCUAUGAUUCUUGAACUAUGUACUCUGAUACCAAGUUUUUCACGCCCCGAGCCUAUAUUCUGGACGUGGCCGACAACCAAUGACAAUUUUUUUCCUUGAGAUAAAUCUUGGACUAGAUUAUUUAACUCAGUAGAAGACUUAACUCAUUGAUAAAUCAAGACACAUUCCCAUAACAACUUAAACGUCUUGGCAAAAAUGGCAUUUAAGUCUCAAAAUAUAAUAUCUUAAAUAAAAGAGACUCAACUAAACUAAAUGACUAUUCAUCUAUGAAACCUCUAAAAUAAUAUGAUGAAUAUUGUGACAAACAUCACAAUAUUCUAUAAAUUAAAAACUGGAAAGCAAUAACAAGGAUCCUCCGUAAUGCAAGGAGGCUCACCAAUGACUCUGGGUGCUCAACUAGAUCAAUGAGGCGUUUGAUGCUAAUCAUCGUUACCUUCAUGUACAUCAUAAGACUAUGCAGUCCAACUAGAAUAACCACAUGAAUGUUUGACUAUGCGAGUUGGAAUGCUAAAGAACAACUUAAUCUUGAAAAGAAUAAGGUGAACUUACUUUGGCUCUGAUAUAUUCGGCGAGAAUCAACUCUUUCUCUCUCUCUCUCUGUGUGUAUACACACACACACACACACACACACACACACAUAUAUAUAUAUAUUAAACUAAGCUAUACUCAUAUACGAAAGUAAUAUAGUUAUGUGAGAGAUUCUCUAACCGACAACCACCACUAUGAGCCUAAGUGGUGAAACAUCAUUUUACCCACGCUGCCAAAAUUCUUUUAUACUUUGAUAUUGCAAAAAAAAAAUAUUAUCUAAAAAUUAUGAGCCGUUAACAACCACGAUGCCUAUAUGAUUUACAUGGGAACUUGAAUUCAAAUGAACUGUUAUCCCCACAUUGGUGCUCAAUACUACUCUUAAAAUAUACUCUAGAACAUGGUUUUAAAAUAAUUUACUUAAUUUGGGUUGAGAUAAUUUGCUCAACACUCUAGCUUUGAAAAUCUCUCUUGGAUUUAAUGUUCCCUUUUCUUGUUCAAAACUCUUUUGGAAAAUCCUAGUUUCCUCUUAAAUUAAAUGUCUAACAUUUAGAAACUUUCUAGGGAAUACUUAGUGCCCUUAUAAAUUUUGUGGGAUGAAAUCAACUUUUACUCUUUACUUAGAUUAAAAGUUGAGUCUCAAAAAAAAGUUAAAAUGUUCUAAUAAGACUCUUGAAAACCUUUAAGAACUUUGCUUAACUUAAUUCUUAGCUUUAGGCUUGACUUUAAAAUAACUUUCCGUGAAUUAAAAUAUGGAUUCAAGGUUCAUGAUCUCAUUUUGAUGGAUGAUUUCAGGGUAUUUAGAUGUACCUUAGAAAGUUGGAAUCAACUAAGAAGUAUGGGUACAUCACUAAGGAACUAGUACGAAAAGAUGGGAAAGAAUGGGGUCUCCAGGCGUCCUUGGCGCUCUGAGAGUUUAUGGAGCUCUAGAGCCGAUGAAAAAAAUCUUUCCUAACAGGAUCCAACUGGCGCGGCACACCAGACACUUUCGUGAGGGGCUUAGGUAGGUACGGCGCCCUAGGGUCUGCCAGACAAGACUUUCAACUUUUCUUUGAUGAUUUUCAUCUCUAAACCUUAUAAAGUUCCAUGUAUCUCAUCCCAAUCACUUAGGAUCACAAAUAACCUCACUACCCAAUAGAUUAUCCUUGAAAAACAACCCGGAAACAAAAAUCCAAUCAACUAAAUCAUACUUAAACUCAACCAACAAGAAUUUAACCAUUGGUCUUCAUGAACUUCAAUGUUCAACAUUCAAUCUGUUUAAACUUUGAUUGAUUAAAUAAAUUGGUGUGUGGGUGAAAUAAUCCAACACAAAAUUAUCUCACAUACCUUAGUAGGGAUCACCCCCAAAAAAUUUCAUUCGAAGAUCUUGGUGUUCUCUUCUCUUUUCUCCCAAGCCCUAAGCGUUAAUACUUUUCAAAAACUGACUUAAGGUUUAGUUUUACCCCCAACAAAACUUUACAAUGAAUUAGGAAGUAUUUGGAUGAAAUAAAAAGUUUACCCUUACUAAAAUCCGGAUUGGAACCUUCCUCAAUCAAACAACCCAACUUUCGAUACACAUAUCUCUCUCAUACAAUAUCAAAAAAGCGCACACUCGGCGGCAUUGGAAAAAAUUUUCCAAGGUUAACUGACUCUAACUUGUCUUGAUCUAUUAUGAAAACUCACUUUUUACACUUAGGAAAUUUUCUAUUUUUUCUUAUUAUUUGCAAAAAUGAUAAAUAUUGGUUUCUUAGCUUAUUCAUGGCUAUUACGAGUUAUGAGAUGUUAAAGUGGCAUAACCAUUGGAAUGGGUGUCAUGAUCCUACACACUAACUGGGAUCGGUUGUGGCAUACCGACAUAAAAAUUGGAACGGGUGUCCUAAUCUGGCACACUAAUAGUUUGCGUAUGGGUUCAUUAAAGAACUAUUGAAAUGGGUUCCACGAGAGGAACAUGGAUUUAUUAAUCUACUUGUUAUUGAGAAUGUGGAAUCUUGCACUGUUCUUGAAAUUAUCAUUGGUGUGUUUGUGUGUGUGUGUGUGUGUGUGUGUGUGUGUAUAUAUAUAUAUAUAUAUAUAUAUAUUUGUGCAUAUAUGUGGUUGCCUUGUUAUUAUUCUGAUAUAUGGUGUGCUUACUGGAAUAGAUGUGUGAUCCUACCAAGACACUAUGGUUGUGCAUUCAUACUACACUUGCUUGUUCUUUGUGAACACGUGACAUAUUUAUACGUCUAUUGAUAGGCCUCAACUACGUGAGUAAUGAACGUGAAUGGAUUCACAGUGUGAGCUACUUCUUUUGGGGUUUCAUGUAUAAUUCUUAUUUAACCACUCUUUUCGGACUCAGACUAUUUGUUUAAGGUGUUUGUUUAGUUUCAGGGUUGUAGCCCUUUUUCUUAGACUUAUAGAGUAUUACAGUUUUGGUACAAUUACUCUUAGGUUCUAGGGGUUGUUCUUCCACAUUUGUUUGGUUAGUUAUUUUUUUAAACCUUUGGAGUUUAUGGGAACUUCAUAUUUCUUUUGUUCAUUUAAACCUUCUUCUGUAUCUUUAAAUGUCUAGUUUUCAUUAAUUUGACCAAUUAGGUUGUAGUAAAGGUUCUCCCAUCAUAAAGUUAGUGUGGGUUAAAAUUGUUACGCCAUGAGCCUAAAACCUAGGCGUGUUCGGCACUCGAAGACCAUGAAUGGCCUCGAGCGGACCCUUGGCCUUGCUUACUUAACUCUGCGGAAGGCAAUACACAUAGUUAUAUGAUGAUCAAUAACUUAACUAAAUGAUAAAAUUAAGAAUGUUUUAAAGAUUAAACAUUCAACUGACCAAAAGUGGAAACCCAAGUUUUGAUAAAUAGUAAGAUAAUGAAAAAACUAGAGAUUAAAAUCUGACUGUCUAUCUAUGAAACCUCUAAGACUGAGAUGGAUGUUGGGCCAGACCCCACAACAUCUAAUAAAAGAAUACUGAAAGAAACAAAAGGAUUCCCUCUGAAUUCAUUGAUAUUCAAUUAACUCUGGAGUGCUCAACUAGAUCAACGGUGUGAUGGAUGUCGAUCCUCAUUUCCUACAUCUACAUCAUGAUACGAUGUAGAACAACUGGCAUUAGUACAUUGAAUGUAGGAGUAUGUGAGUUGUAAUGCUAAAACAACUUAAGCUUGAAGAGGUUAAGAAGGAAGACUUACCUUAGUUUUACUCAACUCAUGAAUAACAUAACUCAAUAUAGCUAACUCAUUUCAAUAUAAAGCAAUAUAAAAGCAAGUGCAAUAUAAAAAAAGGUUGAUUGAAAUUAUAUUGUAGACUCUGAAUGUAUACAAAGAUACAAUCAACUCUCAGAUGUAUGUAAAAAUACAAAUUAACUGAUGUAUCUAUAUAUAUAUAUAUAUGUAACAAAUAAUCAUCACUUAAGAUAUAUUGUAAUGAUGCAGUAAUCUACCUCACACUGGCAGUGCAUCCUAUACCUGGCCCAAAUAUAUAAUAUGUGAACUGCUUAAUGGAUCCAACAGUGUACUUCUAAAAGGAUUCAUCUAAAAAGUAUGACAUUUUUCUACCUAAGGUGGCUACAUGGUUUUAUGGAGAUGUAAGUUAUUUGAACUCUUGCUCGUCCCCAAUUUAUGUCGUUCAAUACUACUCCGAAAAUAUAUACUGGCUCUUAUGUUUUUAAUACAUAUUUCUUCUGUAAUUUGAGAUUAGUACUCAAAAACUUUUAUCAAACGCUAUCUUGAAAAUCUCUGUUUCCCUGCUUACUUCAUUUUAUAAACCUAAACUCUUUUCUGAAAACUAGCCCGAAUGCUCUUUGGAAAACUCAGUUUUCUUUCUUGUUCAAAUGUGAAAAGCAUUUCUUUUAAACCUCUUUGGGAAGACAUAGUGCCAAUAUAUUUCUUUGAAGGAAGAACUUCAACUGUUUACUCUUUACUUAUCCUAAAACUUGAGUCUUAACACGAAGUUAAAGCAUUGUUAAAGACACUUAAGAACAGCUAUGACCUUUACCUUUACUUGUUUCUUAACUUCUAUACUUGACUCUUAACUUCUUUGACUUUGAUCUUAAGUUUUAUUGUUAUAGGAUUAUGGAUUCAAGAUUCAUGAUCUCAUGUUUAUGGAUGGUUUCAUAAUGCAUAGAUGUACCUCAGAGUGUUGAAUCAACUAGGAAACAUGGAUAUAUCACUUAGGAACUAGUACAUAAAGUUGGAGAAACAAUGGGGUGAAUUGGCGUCCUUGGUGCUCUGAGAGGCGUGGGACUCCAGGCCCCAAACUUCAGAGGCCAAUUUGGGGCACUCUGGCUGGCUCGGCUCCCCAAGUCCCUACGAACAAAGAUUAAACCUGUGGAGCUAUGGGAGGCGUGGUGCCCCAAGUCCCUAUGGACAUGCGUUCUCGACUUUUCUCCUCCGUUUCUCAUAUGUAAUCCCCCUUAACAUCCAUGGUUAUUUUGACAAAUGCUUAGGAUCAUUAGCAAACUUAAUUCCUAGUAGAUUUAACUUUAAAAACAACCCCAAAUUACGAAUCAAAUAAUAUUAGGCAUUUAAUAACUCAAUCAACAAUAAUUCAACAAUAUUCUUCAAGAACUUCACUUUUCAUCAUUCAACAAACUAGAAAAGUAGUAGAUUGAAAUAAGUUUGGUGUGUGGCUGAACUAUCCCAACACUAAAUGAUCACACAUACCUUGAUAGGGAUCACCCCCGACGAAAUCCACAUUCAAAUAUUGACAUUUUUGACAAAUUCUUGACUCUUCUCCUUUUCCUUCUUCUUUUCUCUCUUCUUCAAGCCCUUAGCGUUGUUUUGAUUUCCCAAAACUGAACUAAGACUUGUUGUUACCCCAAUAAACCCCUAAAAUGAAAUAGGCAAUUAUUUAGUUGAAAGACUAGUUUGUCCUUUCUUAAAUCCGGAUUUUGACUUUCCUCACUUAAACAACCCAACUUUCGAUUGUCAUAUCUCACUCAUACGAUAUCAAAAAUGUGAAAACUUGAUGGAGUUGUAAAGAUGACUCCAAGGGAUUUCAAACCAUAUCAAAAACUACGUCUAACACAUCCUCAGCAAGAAGUUAUAGUUGUUUGAAAAUGACCAAAAUUCACUUUCUUAACUUAGACAAUUUUUCAGAUUUUUCCUUUUCUUUCAAAAAAAGAAUAUUUUUAGUUUCUUAGCCUUUUCUUAGUCAUUUCAAAUUGUUAUAUGUUACAACAAUAACGAUGGUCUAGUUCAUGACACACGCAAACCCAAGAGUCCCACCCAACAUUCCACUUUACAGAGAACUAAGUUUUUCUCACUUUCUUCAAUGUUGGUCUGCUUCAUUCAAAAAGAAAAUAAACUGAACUCAUCCCUGUGUAUUUGAUUCAAUGAUUUGAAGAGAUCUACACACAAAAAAUGUGGAGAAAGAAGUUGAUAAACUUGCACAAUUAUACCACUAUUUUUAGCUACCACAAAAUUUUAUGAUAAUAGGCUUGACCUCUAUUUCGAUAAACUGCCUCCAUAUGUUGAAAAGCCUCAAUCCAAGCUCAAAAUUGCAUUUAUAAAGAAUGUGUUACACUAUGUUGUGGUUUUACUUAUAUAUCUUAUGAUUUUAUUAUUUUAUAGCACAAUUCAAAUAAAAGUACCAUCUCAUUUAUAUCUUUGUCUAUUUUUUCUUACAUGUGAACAAAAUGUAUUUUUUCCUAUGUGUAUCUCAUUAUCAGGCAAGCGCAAGUAGAAAUAUGUGAAGAAGGAGACAAGUAACUAUCACUCAUUGAUUUUUUUUAAUUUAGUUUCCUUUUGAAAACACUCACUUUGGAAUUUAUUUAGGUCUUGUUUUGGAUCAUGAUUUAGUAGUAUUACAUGACAAACCUUUUUUUCCCAGCAAGUUGAGCAGAUAAUUAAUUAUGUUGACAAGGAUGGUAGUUGUGAAAUUAAUUUCCAUGAAUUCCCAAUGGGAUAUCAGUUUAAUACCAAAUGUAUAUCCAUUGGUAUAAAAGUAACAAGUUUAUAGCUGACUAAUUUAAUUAAAAUCUCAUCUCAGUUAAAUGUUUUUUUUAUAUAAUUUUUUCAAUUGGGUGUCAAUUAGAUAUCAAAUGUAUACCAAUGAAUAUAACAUCAACUAGUUUUAGAUUGAUUAUUUCUACUCAAAUCUCAAUUACACCAUUUCUAUGCAUGUUUUAUAUGCCUACUUCAUGUCAAAAGUAAAAAAUGAUGCACACACGAUUCAUGCCAUAUAGAAUUAUUUUUUUCUUAAUAAAUAGUAUACAACUUUCUUCUCACUAUUCUGCAAUUCCGUACAAAUAUAAUCUCAAAAAUAAAAAUUGAAUCAUACAAAAUUUGUGCCAUAAAACUAUAAAUUUCCAUAUAUACAAAUUUAAUUUUACUAUUAUACCAAUUUCAUACAAAACUUAUGCCAAUCUUUACACCAGAUUCAUACCAAAAAAUCAAUAAUUUUUCAUACAAAGAAUGAAUAAAUUAAGUUGUAGACAAUUUUAAUCAGUAUUAUUCAUUCACAAAUUAGUUGUAUAAAAUUUAUCGAUAGUCAUACAUGUCUAGUAUUUGUAGCGUACAAGUUUCAAAAAAUCUAUUUUUAAACAGAAUCAUACCAAAAAAUAAAAAUUGUGUCAGACAAAUAAUGAACAACAUAAAUGUUCAUACAAAAAUAUAACAUUAUACAAUUAAAACGUUAUAAUUAAUUUCAUCAUACACAAUAAAAAAAAUAUGAAAUCAGUAUAUAAAAGCCAUACAGUUUUCAGGCGCAUUUUUCAUGCUAAAAUUAUAACUAUUUCAUCAUAUUAGUCGUCACUUUUUCCACAAAAGAUUUAUGUUAAUAUAAUACAAAAUUAAUACAAAUUCUAACUAUUAAUUUUCAUUUAUUAGAUAAUGAGUAUAUGAAACUCUUCCAAUAUAAUGCCAAAAUCAUACCAAGAUGGUAAUCAGUAUACCAAUUUCAAAUAAAUUAUAUGUAAUUUUUUUAAUGAGAAAAAUAAAAAAGUAAUGGAAGUUCAUAUCAAAUCUAUACUCUUUUCAAACGAAUUUUAUGUUAUUUCAAAAAACAAAUGCUUAUUCGAAAACCCCCAUAAUUAAACGAUUAUAUACAGAAAAUAUCUGAAUAUCUUUUUUUACCGUAUCAUUCUUCAACUUAUUUUUUUUUUAUGUUUGGUUAGUAUACCAAUACAAAUAAUAAAAUAAUAAACGUGAAGGAUUCUAUCUACCACCAUACUAUUGAUGGUAGUAGAUUAUUGAAUAAAAACAAAUAAAAGUUAGUUGAGAGUGAUGAUUAACUAGAGAAAAAAUUGAGAAGAGAGAGAAACAUUAAAAAAAUAGAUAUAGAAAUUUGUUUGAACGAAUUUUAAUUGCUUUGAGUUAAAUGAGGAAAACAAAUAUUAUUUUUAAUGAAUUUCCUAUUUUUAUGACACCUAUUAAUUAUCAUUAGGGAAUUCAAAUUACUUACAACAAAUAUAUCUUUUUUACCGUAUUUAGUCCGCACACUAAUUAACUUUUAUUGGUAUUUAAAAUCAUGGUUUAUUUUACUAAAAUGUUACAACAUGUAACUUUUAAUUAUUAUAACUUUGAAAGAUAAAGAAUAUUGUCAUAACAUCUUAAAAUUAUUAAUCUUAUAUAUGUCAUUUAUAAAUUUUUCACAUAUAUAUCAAUGCUUGUUUUAUGUAUGUCAUACGUGUAUUAUGUGCAUUAGAUGUGUAUUUUGUGUAGUACGCGUGUAUUUUGUGUGGAACAUGAGCACUCCAUGUGUCACAUAUGCAUUUCGUGGUUUGCACAUGAAUUUUCAUGUGUGAUACACACGUACAUAACUAAAUCAGUAAGCUAAAAAGUGUGAAGGAUGUAUUAUUGUUCGUCUCAUAGAAUAUAUUUUUAAGUAAUCCUAAACAAGUAAUGAAGUUUGUCACCGCUGAGUCUAAACAAAGGUACACCUUUUAAAAAAAGAUGAAAUAUGUAUCCAGUUUGAAUAACCAUAUACAAGAGGUAUAUAUUAUUGUUAGGUCCUAUCAGAUUAGAAAGGAAACGUAUUAUAUGAGACUCAGAAAUGUUCUGAUGAAUGUACCCCUGGUCAAUUAGAUUCAUCAACAUCGAAAUACGUCCUUAUAAAUACUUCAAAGUAUUAGCAACGGAAAUUAUGUAUGGAGUACAAUAAACAUGAUUUAUCCAUUCGUGCUCCAAAAAGGCAACAAUUGAAUGCUUGACCCAACUUUAAAAUUCGGCCAAAUGAUUUUAAGUUUAUUCUUUGGUGUGUUGUAUUGCGAUAAAAGUUUUGGAGAAUGUUUACCAAAUCAACUAAUUUUUCUUAAAAUUAAGGAAAAUGAUUUCCCUUCAAAAGUCUUAAAAGAAAAAAAAUUCAAAACUCUUAUCCAACUUCACAUUACAAAUUUUUUUGAAACAUAUCAAUUUCUAAAAAAUUAUGUAUGUUUUUACAAAAUAUUUUCUACUUCAAAUUUUAAUUUUUCACUCCUACCCUUGACCUCCCCACUCAACUCACCUCCCAAAAUGAAUUUUCAGUUUGUUUUCAAAAAAAAUUCUAUUUCAAUUUUUAGUUUUUUCGCUCCUAGCCUCCACCGCGUACCACCCCAAGAAUCCCCCCCACCCCCCUUCCACACCAAAAAAAAAAAUAUUUUUCAACUUCAUAUUUUUAUUUUCUCACCACUCUUCCCCCAUCCCCCCCCCCCCCCUCUUCCCCCAAAAAGAAAAAAUAAGUUUAUUUUUUUAAAAAUAUUUUCGAUUUUAAAUUUUAUUUUUGCACCUCUACGUCGACCCCGGCCCCCACCGCACCCCACCUUACAAAAUAAAUUGUCAAUUUGUUUUUAAAAAAUAUUUUCAAUUUCAAAUUUUUUUCACCCCUAACCCCUUGCCAAACCCCUACCCCUCCCCCCUUCCCUCCUCCUCCCCAACAAAAAAAAUAAUUUUAUUUUAAAAAAUAUUUUUAAACUUUAAAUUUUUUAUUUUUUUCACUCCUAACCCCCACCGGGUCAGCUCCCUAUCAGAGCCCUCCCCUCUCCCCCCCCCCCCCCCCCAUCCAAAAAAUUAAUUUUUUUAAAAAAAUAUGUUAAUUUCAAAAUUUAUUUUUUGCACUACUAAAAAUAAAAGAUAUUUCUCAAAUAUAUAUUUUUUUCAUUCAUAAAUCCAACACUAAAAAUCAUUUCCUAAUAAUAUUUUCUACUCACCAACCAAACAUGAGUACCUAAGUCAUAAAUCUACUUGUUUUUCAGAAAAAUAUGUUCUAGGAAAACAUUUUCCGUAGAGAACAUUUUCAUUCAUACAAAACACACCCUUUAAGUUUGAAUUUGAAUCUAUCUUGGCAAAACAUAACAAAUUACAACUUAAUUGAUUAUUAUAUUUUAAACCCUUUAAUAAAAGUAUUUAUGUUUUGUACAUAGUCAAUAUAUAUAAAUUUUACACGAUCAGAUAAAUUAAAGGACAAUAAUAUAAGAAUAGAUAAUGAAAAAAAAAAUCAGAGCAUUUUAUACUUUAAUCUAAUUUAUUAUUUAGUAAUAUUGACAUAAAAUAAAUCUCUAUUCCUUGAAAAUAUUAAUCAAAAUUUUAUAUAUCAUAAGUCUUUUUAAUUUGUUAUCAUUAUUAAAGGUUUCUUUGUUAGCUUUUUUUAUGAGAUUAUAUGUCACAGUUAUUAGUUUUUUAGUCGGUUAGAGUCAGUUACAGAUAUGUUAGAAGUUAUUGGAGUUGUGACAUAAUUAUAACCAAAUUAGCUAAUUUUUGUCUUAGAAUUAAAGCCCAAUCUGCCUUUAGGUACUUUAAUAUUCACUUGCCACAUGACAAUGACUAAGCCAUCAAGUACAAAACUCAUUGUAUUCUCCAAUUUAAUAAUAGCCCACAAUCACCUAUAAUACUUUACUAUAUAUACACACCAAUCAACAUUUCAUUUAUGCAUUUCUUUAUUCUAAAAAAACAUUGACAUAAAAAUAGACCAAGAUAAUAAAAUUCCAUAUUCAUUUUUCUUACAUAUUUAAAUUUUUAAGAUGGCCCAAGUAAAUAGCACUAACUCAAAUGACUAGGUAUUUUGCCAAUAAUUGGUAGAUGCUCAAAAAAUAUUAUAAGUUACAUAGUUGCUGAUUUGUAUCAAAAUAUGGGCAAGAAUAUAUGCCUAAUCCACAACAACUGAAUCAGUGUUUUAAACUUAAUGGAGACAUCUGCUACUAUGACUCAUAAGGAGGAUGCAAUUUGUUAUAUUCGCAUUGACAAGCGACGUUGAACUAUUAGAAGUGUAAUUCUACCUAAAAAGUUGGACGAUUACUUGAGAGAGUAGGCAAAUAACCACCUUAAAGAUGUGGCAUUAAGUCAUAAGUCUUGAAUAAUUUGUGGUGUACCCACUAUUAAUGAGAUCAUCCAUGUGCCCUAAUUGGCUCAUACAAAAGACCUCACUACGUUUCCAUAUAUCCAAUUUGUUCCCUUCACCCCCCCCCCCCGUUUAUUAAAACUAAUGAGGAUAAUAUAUAUCUAUUUGCUUUUGUUAAAAAUUAUAUUAGAAAAAAAGAAAAAAUCUACACGGCAAAGAAGAGUAGCUCAUUUUUUGCUAGUGUCAAAACUGUUGAUUUUAAAGAGCUUUUCGGCCAAAAUAUCCAUUUUCAAGGUAAAAUCAUCAUUUCUACUACUCUAUUUUCAUUUUUUACUCUAAUUUCUUUAAAAAACAAAGCUUCAAAAUUAUUUUCCCACCAUUUUCAAAAUUUGAGCAGUCUUUCAUAAUCACUUGAUAACUCAUUAAUAGAUACAUUAGUUUAGCUUAAAAGCAACAAAAACGUUUUGCCAUUACAAGAGCUAAAUUUUUUAUCCGAAUUCAUCCAGUCGUGUUUUGGUACGAGUUUCGUACCUCGUAUAUUUUUAAAGAGUGAUAUUGUAAUCUAGUAUCGAUACUUGUAGUCUAUAAUGAAAGUAGUUGAAUUCGAUGUUGCUGGUGGAGAUUAAAUAGGAGAAUGGGAGGGGACUCCUAAAAGAUGGAAUUGGGAAUCUUUUAAUAAGACGAAAUUGCUCAUUUGCACAAUGUCGCAUGACUCAUAUGACGAUAUGAUUGCAAGUGUAAUGGAUGUCGAUGAGUUAAACUUGCGAUCCAAAUGACUUGGUGAUUAUAUAUCGAAUGAGUAGAAAGGGAAAAUACAUACCAUAAUCAUAAAAAUGAUUGACACUAUCACGCAACGAGCCUACAGCCUAGUCGGGAUUGUCCCUCAAGAGCAAUUGCUGGCCUCGAGCAAACCCUUGGCCUGCAUACUUACUCCGCGGAAGACUUAAACAUAAGAAAUAUAACUCAUGCAUAAAAUUAGAGAUAAUAAAUGAGCCAAAAAUGACAAAUCAAGUCUUAAAUGUAUAUGCUAAAAUAAAUAAGACCAGAGAACUAUAACUAUCUAUCUAUGAAGUCUCCAAAACAAAUAGGGAUGUCAAGACAAGACUCUCGGUCAUCCUUAAAAUUGAAAACUAGAAAGCAAUGUAUAAAGGAUCCCCCUGGAAAGAAAGGAGGCUCAUCAACACACUUUGAGUACUGAUCCUGGUUACGUGUGUCUCCAUCAUAAUACGAAGCAAACCAUUUCUAUAUGACAACAAAGUAUAGGACAAUUCUCGUAGUGUGGGCAAGACCUUGUAUCACCACUUAAGCUCAUAGUGGUGAUUAUCAGUCAGAGAUACCUAGUAGGAUCAAAUCCUUGGCGAAAUCCCAAACCAAAUUGUACAAUCUUGAAAACUUUCCAAUUGAAUAAACUGAUCUAUUUCUUGUUAGACCCCAAAUAAAAUAUAAAAAAUGAAAUAAAAUAUUUGGUUAAAGAAAAGACGAAAAUACCCUCUCAAAAUCCUAGUUUAGACUUUCUUUAGUUGAACAUCUCAACUUCGAAACGUCAUAUCUCCCUCAUACGAACUCAGAAUCGCACAAAACUUGGAGGCAUUGGAAAUAUUAUUCCAAGAUCUUUCCUGCGAUAUCUGGAAACACACUUAACUCAUACUGAUCUUGGAGUUAUGGUUGUUUGAAGCUGACUAAAAACUCCAGUUCACAUACUUAACAAAUUUUCCAGAUUUUUAUAUUCUUUCCAAAAAUUACCAUUUCCAAUUCUUAUGUUCUUCCUAAUUAUUUCAACUUGCGAGAUGUUACAGUAUUUCCCCCUUGAGAACAUUUACCCUCGAAUGAGAUUACUCUUACUAGGCUAAGGGUGUAAUAUCAAUCAUUUAGUUCAAAUAUCUCGUUUCAUAUUUUGAGGAACCUCCUUCUCCACAUUUACCAUGCUUACUUCAAGAUUUCUAAGAACAUCAUGAGAAUUUCUCCUAAAAUCACAAUUACGCAAUAUUCACACUAAGGCACAUGCAAUCAAUUUUAUCAAAAAGGCUAAAAAGGCAAUUUCUCAAUAACACAUUGGGCAUGUUCACAAUUUCAGCUCAUGAAGCAAAUAGACAAUCUAUACUGAAUGCACAUGAACACGAGAGAAUGCAACAUAUGAAAACUUAUUUCUCAUUUGACAAGAGUUCAUUCAGAACAUGCAUAUCUUAAGGAGAAUAUUUGGAAGCUCAUUUUUCACAAAAGACUCCAACAUGAACCAAGAUACUAUGAACUCUUAGUUCUAGGCUUAAAUAGGCACAUAAGGAAAAUAUAAGGAUAUCUCACUCCCAACAACCUUACUACUCAUUAUAUUCCCCUACUUGGGAGAAACACAUAAAGGUCAAUCAUGAACAUACUAUUGGAAUCUCAAUCAAGGACCAUCAACGUAACCAACACCAUUCUCACCCAACUCUUCAAUUCACUAAACCUCUUGAAAUUACAUCAAACAAUCCUAACUCAUUAACAAAAAAGACUCUCAAAAUCCUCAUCAUCUACUCACAAUAUCCCCUAUUUGGACAAACUUACACUAGCUCUGUCAAACAUCACCUCCUCCCAUUCUAUGGUUGGAUCAAAACAACAUUAAACCUUCAUACUCAUCAUUAUAAGACAACUUAUCAAACCUAAUGUCAUCAUCACAACCUACUAUAUCACAUCCAAAUUUUUCUCUCCCUUAACAUUGAAACAGAAACCUCACAAGGGAAUCCCACUUAAAGAACCAUCACAUAAGGAACAAGGGAAAGACAUCAUAGAGCAUAACUCUUAGGCACGAUAAGAAGAAUGAAGAAGUGAAACUUUCUUAGCACCCAAUAGCAUCCUAUUUCAUCUAUGAACAUCCUAUAACCUUAUGCUUUGAUACCAAGUUUGUAAUGACUUGGGACUACCCCCUAGCCGUAACUGGUGUAUUAAAUCUCUUGGAUGUCUCAUACAAGCCACAUGGAUCUUUCAUCGCAUAUGGUACUAAAAAAUAAUUAAGAAUUUAAAACAUCAUUCACACAUGAAGAAUAAUUUGAUUAAUAAGCAAGCUGAAGACUUUAAAACAUGUAACUUUACAUUAUGUCUCAUGAAACCACCUAAUAAAUUUUGGAAUACAACAUAGGGACUAAUCCCAUACAAAACUUAAAAGAAGACUAAAAAGAAAUAGAGAGAACAUUGGGGUCUUGUCCUCAAAUCUACGAGGACUCACCAUACUUCAUCUUCAACCUGUAGAAACCCAUCCAUCAUCCAUAGCCUACCAAACCCCCAUUUCCUACACUUUAGUCAAAAAGGGGAAAGAAUGUGUUAUCACAUGUCAACACUAAGUAUAGAAGCCAUGAAAAAAGGAACAUUAAGUAUAGAAACAUGCUUUCAUGACAUAUUGAUAAAGACCUUCAUCAUAAGAUUUUGACAGAUAUAAUACAAAUAAACAUUCAGAUAAAAAGCCUAUUCAGCCAAGAUUAACUUUUAGGAUUUAAUUUCAAAAUCAUUGAAUCAACUUCUCAUAACUUAGACUUUCUACCUUAGUCUACUCUAAGACUCACCUAAGUAAGACAUGAAAGUUCCUACACAUAAAAUAACCAUGAUCAUCACAUAAGGAUCAUACCCUAGAAUAUCUCUAAGUUACACUAGUGCAAUGUGAAAGUAGCAUCCCAUCCAACUACUCCGACUUUGUGCUUCUUUAGAAUUAUCGUAGACUAGGUACAUCACAUUCAUCAAGCCGUAUAAUUCUUAUUAACAUUUAUCAUAAGAUCAAUAUGUUUCCUUAACAUUAUAUAGAAACCCAUUCAUUCAAUAAAUUUUUAAGGACACACCAAGACUCCCUCCAAAAGCCUACUUGUGCAAUGCAAAGAUGGCCUCUAGUUCAACCACCUACCAUAAGUAGUACACCCUUAGAAAGACUUAGUUCAGUACAUUCUUUUGUGGGGUAAGCUUGGGGUAUGCUUUAAUCGACAUAGACCAUGAAAGCUUAACAAGGAAUCCUGGUAUUAACCCCUAUCGGAUGAGUGAUCCCCACUUGCCUAAGGUAGAGUCUUUCUUUUAGCCUUAACAUGGAAUACCACAAGCUAGUCUUAUGCGGGCACAUAGUUAAGGGAUAAGGAGAUUGCAUCUAAGUUCUACACCUCAAAUCACAGAUAGUACCCAUCUCAAAGGGUUUCUACUAGAUCUUACACCUUUAGUCAUGGAGAGUAUCCACCCCAUUUCAUAUCAGCUCGGUGCUAAGCAUUAAUUCCCAUGGAAUUAUAGACUUUCAUAACAUUCAUUAGCUAUAGGUUAAGGGAUUGCUACUAAGUACUCUACUUAUACUCACCGAAAGAAUACUCAUCUCAACCUAUAAUUUAUUCAUUGCAAAGCUCUUAGGAAUAUUGAGGUUGUUACUAGACACUAAACCUCAACUCACGGAGAGUGUCCACCUCAAAGUCCCACAUUCAUUCAUUAGAAAUCUAUUGAGAGAAUCUUUCAAUAGACCCACAUUCAUUACAUUUUGAUUAUUUUCGUUCAUUCAUGUGUGUGUAAAUGUAAGGAAGCCUUUCAUAUAACAACCAUCAUUCAUGCCAUUGUCCUUUAAACAUGAUCAUACUACAUUCAUCUUAAUCCACACACAACAUACUUCACAUUCACAUUAUACUUCAAUAGUCAUACUAUCUUGAAGAAUCACAUGCAUAACUUCAUAAAUACCUCUCUAUACAUAAGCAUAAUAACAUUACUUUACAUAAAAUUCAAUGCCUUCAAGGCCAUAACCUCAAUACACAUACAUAUUCAUAUUCAAUAAAUACACUGCCACCAUAAGUGGACAAUACAAAUCAAUAGCAGUUUGAUAUCAAUUUUACAUCCAUAAGGGAAUUAGGUCAACUUACCCCACUCAAAUAACAUAAAUCACCAUUCCUUAAUCCUCUAUUAAUUCACAAUAUAAUAUAAUAUAUAACCAUAUAAAUCAACAAUACAACAUAAAGUAAAUCCAAUUCUAUUGACAUUAGAUCAUAAGCAAUAAACAAAACUCAUUAUCUAAAUUUACGAAUUUUGAGAAGAUCAAGGGUUCAUGGAAAUUUUCAUUUUAUAACAUCAAUUUAGCAUCAAUAAUAACAUAUCUAAAAAUUUGAAAUUGUUUCAUGCAAGAAAUGUUGAAUUAGAGUAGAAAUUGGAUUUUUUCAUAUGCUUUGAAAUAUUUGAAAAACCUUUGAAAUUGGCUCUGGGGUGAUAACUUACCUCGAUAAAAAACUCUCAUAGCUUAUUAUUUGAUAAACCCAUUAAAAUUAAGGAAGAAAUACGUUGGAAUCCAUAUCCGUAGCUCCAAUUUGAUCUGAAGCUUCCAUGGUGUUCUUGAGAGAGUUUUAGGAGGAGAAUGGGUGUGGAUUUUGAAAAGUUAAGUCUAAUUUUAAGUCUGUGUUUAAACCAAUUUAAAAAACCCAAAAAUAGGUAAAUAAUUUUUCCCCCAUUAAUAACAACGUGGGGUAAGUUUUCCAAUUCACCCCUAACUUGGCCGAGUAAAGUUACAAAUUUAUAGGUUCCAUUGCCGCCCACAAUCAACAGACCGUCAAUUGAUUGACGCUCCGACAAUGCGGUCUAUCAAUUCGGUCUACAACUCAACCAUUUUCAGGCCUUGUAGAAUUGAUCAACGACCAACAUUGACGAGCCGUCAAUACAUUGACUGGCCGUCAAUUGGGGUCAUCAACCAUGCUUCCCAGACAAAUUCUUGGCUAGAAGAGAGGGUCCUCCUCAAGGGCCCCUUCUUGUUCCUUGAGGAAAUCGUACCUGGAUGUUAAACCCUGAAACAUGAACAUAUAGGUGCUAUGUUCAUCAACAUUGACUUAGACCUCAAAAAACACAUUUAGCUUCAACCAAAACACAUAACAACACACUAGGACACAAAUGAAUAGUUUCUGAACUCUGGUCUUUCCUUGAUGUUUGACUCCAAAACCACUCAAGCCUUCCCUUGGCUACGAUUUCUCAUUAAUUUAGCAAGUUAUUAACUCAAGAAAAUCAGGUGAAUCGCUAGUUUAUCCUAGUUUAUUUUGAGGGUCGUUAUAUCAUAGUUGUUGUCUUUAUAUUGCUUAAAUCAAUACUGAGGGACAAAGUUGCAAGCAACACUAUUUCACAAGCAUAACGACACAUGGAAGGAUUUUUUAAAGACAAAUAAUACUUACUACAUUUCUAAAGUGUUGUUGGAUUGGGUCAGCCCCUACUACACUUACGGGCACAUAGAUAGAAUUAUCCAUUAUAGACGACACAAUCAUAAAGGAAAAAUCCCUAUGUUGUUUGAACACACAAAUUCAUUGAUGGUUUUGUAUUAUUCGAAUAGGACAAAAUAUGCCAAAUGGUGCCAAUUUCGAUACUUCUCCCCAUGAAUUAUUAGUAGUUUUCAUCAAGUACCUAAUACGUAUCAUUAAUUUAAAUGUCCUUUAUUCGAACUUUCUUUGUGUGUUAGUUGUGGUGAUUACCAUCAUUGUAAAAUGCAAAAACAAAAGAUAUCAAAUGGUUGUUACAAUUUAGCUGUAAGUUGCUAUUAUUUUUUCUUCACCAUCAAUAUUAAUUUUCAAGAUUUCCCUAUUCUCGUCUAAUUGAGGAUCUAACAUGGAGGAUACAAUUGUUACUCUAUGGGGGAUAUUUUGAAGAAAAUAAUGGCAUAUUUUUUGAAAAUUUGAAAGAUUACUGACCCUUUUUUCUCUUAUGUGACGUGAGAAUCUCAAUCUAUAUAGGUAUAGACAACCUCUCCUAUUGUCUGAUUGUAAAAAUUGAAAGUAUAUUUGUUGAUUCCUCGAAUAAUAUGUUAUUUUCAGUGUAGGGACUUUUGAUAUAUCCACUAUACAUGUGAGUAGUGUGUUGAUCAUUCAAAUUUUUGAAAAAGCACUACAUCUCCGCACUAGGUACAAAAUAUCAUUUUUUAAUGUGAUCGACAUUAUUCAUUAAAACUCAUUGCGAGAACUAUUUUGAGCAUAAGUUCUCGCAAUGUAUAACAAUACAAGGCAACAACAUAAUUGAUGGUCUAUACAUUUUAUCUGUUCAUGGUGUUGAUAUAUUACGCGAGGUUUCUUGGCUUGCAACUUUUCUUGCUGUCCUCACUAAUAAUGCAAAGAGUGUAUUUUAAUUUACUCUUGAUGGUUCUAAGAUCUUAUGAAAAGGGGUUGCACUUACUAAUAUGCAACUGGUGCAAUUACAUAGUCUAAGAAUGAAGGCUGCUACAUAUGCAAAUUCCUCCUACUUUCAUCUACAAAUGGUAUAUGAUUCGAAACCUUCAUGUACUCCCUCCUUUGAAUAACAAUGCUUCUUAAUACAUAUGAAGAUGUCUUUCAAAAACCUCUAGGUUUGCCUCCUUCACGAAGUCAGGUUCAUGCAAUCAACCUAGUUCCAGGUGCAGGGCUGGCUAAUGUUAAGCCACAUCAAUAUCCUUAUUUUCAAAAGUAGGUUAUGUAGCAGUUAGUGUCUUUAAUGCUAAAAGAAGGGACAAUCAGAAUACGUACUAGCACAUUUUUUUCUCUUUUAUUGUUUGUUAAAAAAAAGAUGACACAUAGCUAUUUUGUGUUGACUAUCAUUCAUUAAAUGCAAUUACAUUUCGUGAUAGAUUUCAAAUUCUUACCAUUGAUGAACUUUUUGAUGAAUUGAACGUAACCUGCUAUUUUUCCAAGUGGAAUUUAUUGAUUGGAUAUCAUCAAAUUAGGGUCCUUCUGAAGGAUGUACGUAAGAUAGAAUUUUGCACUCGUGAUGGACAUUAAAAUUUGUUUUCAUGCCAUUUGGUCUUACAAACACACCCUCAGACCUUACUUGCGUAGAUAUGACCUGGUACUCUUUGAUGAAAUUUUGAUCUAUAGCCCUACUUGGACUGAUCACUUGGACAUUUGGACUUGGCUUUUUAAUUAUUGCGUCAAUAUAAGUUGGUGUCCAAGCGGUCCAAAUACCUAUUUGGAGAAGAAUUCAUUGAUUACUUGGAAUAUAUUAUCUCAUAUUAAGGAUUAUAUGUUAACCCAAAAAAGUAGAAUCAAUCCAUCAACACGCACCACCUCGUAAAGUGAAAGAAAUGCGUAGUUUUCACGACCUUACAGGCUACCACCGAUGAUUUAUCUACUAUUAUGCUUCCAUAGCAAGUUUAAUCAUUGAUUUUCUCAAGAUGGAGAUUUUUUGGUGGACAACAGAAGCUCAAAUAGCAGUUGAAGCUUUGAAGACUAAAUUGGGUUCCACUCAAGUAUUGCAUUACUAGAUUUCAAUUGGGAAUUCAAGUAGAGACUAAUGCUUCAGGGAAAGGGAUUGGUGCCAUUUUGUCUCAACAGGGGCACCCGAUUGUUUAUUUCAGUAAGAAAUUAAAUGCAAGGAUGCAACGAAUUUGACAUUCCAAUGAAUUAGAGGGUUUACAAUAUUAACCGAUAAACAAUCUUUGAAAAACCUCACAAAUUAAACCAUCUAAACUCUUUAGCAACAAAAAUGUCUCACUAAGUUAGUGAAUUAUGACUUUCAUAUCAUAUACAGGUCUGGGGAAAAAAAUCCAGCCAUUGAUUCCCUGUAAUUCAGAUGCUUCUCUUAUAGAACAAGAGUUAAAUCCCUUGAAUCAAUAACAUCCAGAACUAUUUGCUAUUCAACAAGCUAUACAAACAUAUGGGGAGAGUCACUUGGAUUCUAAUUCAAGGAUGGAUUGUUAUUUUGUAAAGACAGGCUUGUGAUUCCAUCAGAUGCACCACUACGACACAAGCUAAUUAGUGUUUCAAUUCCACACCACGUAUAUCGGAGGACUUGCUGGUGUGGCAAGAGCAUACCAUGAAUUGGAUUCAAAUUUUAAUUGGUGAUUGUUGCGCAAGGACGUGAAUCAUUUGUUAAAACUUGUCAAAUAAGUCAACAGAUGAAAGACACAAAAUUGUAUCAAGCAGGUUUAUAGAAACCUCUCUCUAUACAAAAUCAAGUCUUUGAAGAUAUUGCAAUGGAUUUUAUCACUUGCCUUCAAAGUUCCAAGGGGAAAACUACUAUCCUUACCUUUGGGGAUCAUCUGAACAAAUAUGCUCAUCUUAUUCCCUUACCUUCCACUUUCUCUAUUCAACUAGUAGCUGAAGCAUUCGUAGUAGGUGUCAUUUACUUUCACGUCCCUACUCGCACUAUUGUCGCAGACCAUGACCCAUGAUUCGUCCAUUAUUUUUGGUAACAAAUAAAUCAUUUGCAGGGUUCGACACCAUUGUCUAUGAGCACUAGAUAUCAACCUUAAACUGAUGGACAGGUUGAAGCCUAAAUAAGUUUCUUGAACAAUAUAUUGUUGUUAUGUUUAUAAUUCUCCAACCAUGUUGGUCACCAUAAUUCCUUGGGCUGAAUUCUGGUACAAUACUUCGUACCAAACAUAAGUUAGAAUGAAACUUUUUCAAGCAUUGUUUGGGUGAGAACCCCCAACUAUCGCUCGAUAUAUAUUGGGGACCACUGCUAGUAAAUUAGUGAAUUCUUACUUCAUUCAGCAUGAUACAUUUAUACCGAAGUUGAAAAUAAUUUUCUCAAAGAUAAACAAUGAUGAAAUUUUUUUACAUAUAAACAUCGUACUGAGAUAGUAUAUACAGUGGGUGAUUGGGUUUACGUAAAAUUGAAACCGUACAGACAACAUUCUAUAAUGGUGCAUAAGAGUCAUAAUCUUGGACGACGAUACAUUGGUCCUUUCAAGGCCGUCAAAUACAUUAAAGAGGUGGCAUAUAUAUAAAUUGGAGUUUCCUGUCAAAACAAUUUCUCUAUUUUUUCACACAACCAACUCUAAUGCAAUUCUCUAUUUUACUCUCUAAAAAGAAAUUUUGUUUCCACUAAAUAUUAUAUUAUUAUUUCAGUUUCAUUCUUAUUUUAUUGUUUCAUAUAAGUAAUUUAUAUAUUUUCCCCAAUGAUUACUUUAUAUUAUUCUCAUGUGAUAAAAAUUUUAGUUUUUCAAAUUUUUUAUUUAAUAUAAAAUAUAUUUUAUUUUAAAUAUUUAAAUAUCAUAAAUUUCACGAAAAUAUUAUAUGACAUAUACAUUAAUGAACAAAUUCAAAUACAAGUAAAAUAUGAUUACAAAAACAUUAUGUAAACAUUCAAUUUCUGAAAUUAUUACUCAGCUCCCAUAAAUGUUCUGUUCAUUCAUUAUGGAAUUCAAAAUGAGCAUUUGUCCUUAAUUUUAUUAUGCCUAUCUCAAAAUUGUUCUAAUCGGCGAUUUUCAUCUACCACCAUUUCUGUUGUUGCACUUGGAACCUCUACGACAUUUUGAAUUGGUGCAUAAAGAUCACAUCCUCAAUUAUCACGUAUAUAGUGCAAUACAUGUAAUCAUUAUAUCAUGUAGCACUUCCUUUCUCCAAAACCGUGACUGUCUUACAAUAAUUGCAAAACUCUGAAUGCACGUUUCACAUCUUUUUGACACGAUUCUAGUUUCAUCAUGAAUAAAUUAUUAUGUUUUGUAUUGUAUUUUAUCUUGUAUUUAAAUUAUUAUGUUAUAUAUUGUAUUGUUAGUUGUAUUUAAAUUGUUUUUUCAUCUUACCAUUUUUAUUUAAUGAAUACGUUAUUGGUGAAAAUUAUUUAAAAUACAUUAACAAAAAUUAGAGUAGUAUAUACUAGAUAAUAUAUUUUCUAAGAUAGUAUAUUAAAUUUUUUUAAAAUCAUGAAUAUUAGAUAUUUCAUUAAUGAAAUUACAUGUAAAAAAAUAUUCUUAUCAAAAAGUAAUACAAAUAAUAAUACAAUAUUAAAAAAGUGAAAUAGAGAGUGUGAAUAUUAGUUUUCCAAAUUCGGAAAACUAUUAUUCACUCUUUAUAAAUAAAGUAUAGAGAGUAAUAUAGAGAGGGGUUGGAGAGAGCAUUCUCUAUUUUACUUUCCAAAUAUAGAGAAUGGAGAGUAAAAUAGAGGUGGAUUAAAGAUGACCUAAUUUAGUAAAUCAUAUUAGUGUGUGUGUGUGUGUGUGUGUGUGUGUGUGUGUGUAUAUAUAUAUAUAUAUAUAUAUAAAAACAUGGAAUAAAGUGUUAUGAAACCCUACACCGAAAGAAGGUGCUCUACUGGCCUAAGUAGAACAAAAACAUGAACAUAGGGUUUUAGGUGGAUCAACUAUCUAAUGUUCCUAUGGAGGAAACAGUGCUAAGGAACUCGAGAUAUGUCUUGAACCCUCUACAUGCCCAUUAGCAUUGGAGUCCUCAUCUCAUGAGGACAUUGGUCAAUCUCCCUUCCAUUGGGGAGUCAACAGCUCUCAUUACAAAGUUCACUUGGUGCUAAGCUAAAGUCCCUUUUUGAAAUGUCAAUAAGAAUUUCUUAAUUAUCAUAUAUUAGUAUAGUCCAUAGGAUACUAACCCUUUGUAUAUCAUGUUCAUUAGAUCAUUAUAUAUUGCAUAAAAAUUUCCUUUCAUAAAAACCCUUCAUUAGUGAAAUUAACAUAUCAUAGUCAUAUCAUAGUAAGGCAUACAAGUGCUUCAUAUUAAACCUUGUAUCAUUAUCCCUUAACAUGAUCUCACAGUUUACAUAGCCAAGAAAUUUAUCCACAUUGAUCACAUCAACAUCAUCUUAAUUUAAUCACAUAUAAUACUUCAAGUGAAUACCGUUAACGAGUAUAAGCCAUCAUCAUUGAAUUAAAGAAUUCAGGAUCAUAAAGUUUUGCCACAUACCCUUCAUAAGCCUCCUUCAAGAUAUUAAAAUCAAUCAAACCAUAUUCAUCAAUCAAUUUACUAAACAACAUCUCACAGUAGUAAUAUGUCCAAGUACUAAGUCAAUUCUAUCAUCACUAAUCAAAUCAACCUCAAUUCAUAACCUAGGGUUGGGGGAAAAGCGUUCAAUCAUUGAUUCCUCAACAUAUAGAUCCAAUACCAAUCAUUCAUGACCUUAGGCAGUUCAUUAAUGAACCAUAUAUGACCUUAGGCAGUCCAUGAAUGAAUUACAUUAGCUAGAAUAAGUCUAACAAUCAAUACAUUCAUUAGAUCCCAUCAAUUCAUAAGCAAGAUCCAAGAUUUGGAUUAACUGGGGAAUGUACAUGAACCAAAUGAAAUUACCAUUAAUAAAUAUCAAUUAAUAAACAAUAUAAACUUAAUUAUCAAUACUUAAUCACAAUUAUUCUUAAUAAACCAUCUAUUCCACGUUUAUAUGAAAACCCAUUUGUAGAUAAAAAUCCCUGGAGUUGGGUGAUUUAAAAAUCAACUUUGAAUGGAACUGAUGGGGAAAGGAAUCCCAAGAGUGAAUAAUACAUACCUUGAUGAAGUCUUAAUACAUGAAAUUGAGAAGAAAAUUUUAGAACUUGGCCUUCUUCUCCAAGCUUCCAAUGCUCUUCAAUGGUGGUUGAGUACUUAGAUAAUUUAGAGUGAUUUGGGGAAUUGAUUUGGGCGGGUAAUAAUAACUUAAAACUUAACCUUAACAAAUAUAUAUUCACAACCUAAAUUACCCAAACGACCUUUCACUUAAUUGGGUAUUUUGGUGAAGUCAAAUUGACUUAAAAACGUUGCGAACGAAUCAUGGAAAUUGUUGGGCUUUGCGGGGGGGGGGGGGGGUGGGGUUCCGAAUUUUUUUUUCUGAAAUCCGAUUUGAGGCAUAGAUCCUCAUGAAGUACCCAUGUCGGGAGGAAAUUUUUUUCCUGCCAAGUGAAGAGGGCUGCGCACCAUGGCCUUCAAAUCUUGGCUGUCGCAGGGGUCUUUGGCAGCUUGCUUGUCAAUGUUUGGGUCCUCCACAAGGACCCUUCAGGUAGUCCUUUGGGAGUUAUAACUGGACGUUUGGACCCAAUAAACAUUAUUUUACCUAUUUAAAGUCUUUUUAUAAGUUUUAGAAUUCGUAUGACCCUCCCAAACCUUAAUAAACAUAGGGACGAAUACUCGUUCAAUUCCACUAGUUUACAGACAUCAAGGUCUUUCUUUGACGUUUUGAAUUUAAUACUUCUAAAUCAAAUUUAUUAUGUUAGAAUAGGUAUGGAAACAUCAUUUUAAUCAAUAUUUAAUAUUUUAGUGUCUAGUAUAAGUCAUGGAACUUUCAGAGUGUUACAUUAUCCCACCUUUGGAACAUUCGUCCCUGAACGACACCUAACUCUUUUCAUAGGGUGAGACAAGACUCAAUACUACAAGCCCAACAAACAACAAGAAGAACAUAAUCGUAAUGAGUCACAUCUAAUAGGAAUACUUAGCAACUCUACUCAAAACAUAAAUAUGAAAUUACCAUAGCAACUCAAAUCACAAGUUAAAUAAGAGCUCAACAUUUCAUAACACAUUAUGAGUAACUACCUUAUCAAUAUCAACAUGAGCUCGAAAUGACACCAAUGAUUUACCAUUCUAUUCUUCUCAAGACAACAUAAAAACAACAAAAUCUCAAGAAGACAAAAGCAUAUAUUUAACAUUAGUGCAAGUUAACACAAAAAGCCUUUUUCAUGAAAACUCAUUUUGACAUAAACCUUUACCAUAAAAAUGCACAUACUUAUUACAUAAUUCAAAUUGAUAUUAAUUUAAUAUUUUCAUUAUAAGCAGGAACUACUAACCUUAAUUUGGAAAAAGAUGAGGAUAGCGGAACAUUAUGUCAGCCUCGACCUCCCAUGUUGCACCCUAAACUAUAUGUCUUCUCCACAGAACCUUUACGGAGGCCACCACUUUGUUCCUCAAUGUCUUAACAUGAUGAUCAAGUAUUUCCACCGGAACCUCUUUAUAAGAAAGGUCCUCAUUCCCCCCUAACCCUUAAAUAGGGAGAAUUGAAACCGGAUCACCUUAAAACUUCUUGAGCAUGGAGACAUGAAAUACCAAAUGAACUGAAGCUAGUUCACUAGGUAAUUUCAACUAACAAGCAACCUUUCGAACUCGUUACAAUCUUAUAGGGACCCACACACUAGGGUCUUAUAUUCCGUUUUUUACCAAACCUCAUCACCCCUUUCUUAGGUAAAUUUUCAAGUAUACCUUAUCACUCAGUUCAAAUUCAAGGUCUCUUCUCCUAUUGUCAGCCUAAGACAUUCCUGACUAUAUGUUGUUAUCAAUCUAUCCCUUUUUUCAUAUGAACUUUCUCCAAGGAUUCAUAGACUAUUUAAGGACCAAGGAGUGGAGACUCACAAAGCUCAAAUCACCAAUCCGGAGACCUACCUCUCCUACCAUACAGUGCUUCAAAAUGAGCCAUGGCAAUACUUGAUUGGUAGAGAUUCUUAUAAAAGAACUCAAUAAACAGCAAGUGAUUGUCCCAAUUCCAUUUGAAAUCUAUUACAUAAGCUCUUAACAUAUCUUCUAGGGUUCGAAUGGUACGCUCUGCUUGACCGUCCGUUUGAGGAUGAAAAGCGGUGCUUAGAUUAAUUGGUGUAACCAACCCUUUUUGAAAGGACCUUAAAAAACGAGAAGUGAAUUGUGCACCUCUAUACGAUAUGAUGAACAAAGGGAUUCCACGAAGGCUCACAACCAUUUUAUAGUAGAUUAUUGCAUAAUCCUAUGCCGAAUAAGUAGACUUGAUAGGGAUAAAGUGAGUGGUUUAUUUCAACCAAUCCACAAUAACAUAUAUUGAGUCAUUUUGUCUACGUGUUCUUGGAAAAUCCACUAGAAUGUCGAUAUUAAUAUCUUCCCUCUUCAAAGAGGGAACUUGCAUUUCUUGAUUUAGACCACCCGACUUUAACUUGUUUGCGAUUGGGACACCUAGCCAUAAAUUCCUCUAUGUACCUUUUCAAGCCUUCCCACCAAUGGACCUUUUGAAGAUCGCGUAACAUUUUGGUAGCACUCAGAUUAAUAGAAUAUUGGUAAACAUGAGUUUCUUCCAAAAUUUGUGUCCUCAAAUCAUCAAAAUACGACACACACAACCUACCUUGGUACCUAAGUACACCAUCCCUCCUUGGGAGAGUGAUUCAUACAUCUUACCAAGAACCGAUUCCUUCAACUCUAUCAAUAGUGGAUCAAGUUGUUGCUAAAAGUUCACCUCAACCACUAAAGACGAUUCGGAGUUAUGAUGGACCAUAAAGACACUAUUAGGAGAAUCUUCUAACCGAACACCCAAUCGAGCCAAUCUAUGAACAUCCUUCACUAGGUCUUUCAUGGCUUCUUUCACAUGAGAUACCCUACGCAUAGUCAUACGAGUUAGAGCAUCCGCAAUGAGGACUAUUGUGGUUGGUAAAUACAUCCUCAUGCACCCCAUAGAGAUAAUGUCUUUAUAAUAUCAAGGCAAACACCACUGCCGCUAAUUCAAGUUCAUGAGUUAGGUAGUUCUUCUCAUUCACCUUGAGUUCCCUAGAGGAGUAAGAUAUCAUUUUACCAUGUUGCAUGAGGACACAACCUAAACGUACUCGGGAAGCGUCACAAUAUACCACAAAGCCCUUGGUAACCUCCGAUAAGGUCAACAUCAGAGUGGGGGUAAGCCUAUCUUUCAACUCAUAAAAGCUUCUUUCAUAAGCCUCUGAGUACAUAGACUUAACCUUCUUUUGAGUUAAUGAUGUAAAAGAAGAUGGAAUAGACGAAAACCCAUCAACAAACCUUCCAUAGUAGACCCAAGAAACUUCUAAUAUAAGUUGGAGCCAAAGGUAUAGGCCAAUUCUUAACUGCUUGUCUUUCUUGGAUCAACCUCUAUACCUUCACUAGAUAUGAUAUGACCAAGAAAUGCAGCUGAACUCAACAAAAAUUAACAUAUGUUAUGCUAAGCAAAGAGUUGGUGUUUCUGCAGGACUCACAAUACCACCCUCAAUGGCCCAUAUGCUCAUCCUCACUCUUCGAAUAUACAAAGAUGUCAUCAACAAAAAUAAUUACAAAGGCAUCAAGGUAAUUUCAGAAAACUCUAUUCAUUAGGUCCAUCAAAACCACCGAGGUAUUCGUUAACCCAAAUGACGUAACUAGGAACUUAUAGUGACAAUACCUAGUUUGGAAAGCCGUUUUGGGGAUAUCUUUACCUCUCACACUUAGUUGGUGAUAUUCGGACCUUAAGUAAUUUUAAAAAAGUAGCUUUCCUUUUGGAGUUGAUAAAAUAAGACAUCAGUCCUAGGGAGAGAGCACAUGUUCUUUAUAGUGACCUUAUUGAGUUGACGAUAAUCAAUGCACAUCCUAGGGGACCCAUCCUUAUUCUUCCAAAACAACACCGGAGCACCCCAUGGAGAAAAACUAGGUCGAAUAAAACCUUUGUCUAUUAGGUCUUUUAGUUGAGACUUCAACUCUUUCAAUUCGGCCAGAGCCAUACGAUAAGGAGGAAUUGAAAUGGAGUUCUUAUCCAGUAAUAACUCAAUACAUAAAUCAAUUUCCAAUUUGGGAGGAAUUCCAGGAAAGUCAUCGGGAAGACAUCCGGAAAUUCCUUCACUAACGGGAUCGAAUCUAGGGAAGGAAUUUCAUAGUUUAGGUCUUUGACCAUUAAAAUAUGGUAUUAACACACUUUUGAGAUCAUUUUACAAGACUUAAAACAAGAAAUGAUAUGUCCUCUAGGUAUAUAAUUUCCCCUUUCUAUUCUAACACGAGUUCAUUUGGAAAAUUGAACUUAACCACCCUUGUUCUACAAUAUAUGGAAGAAAAAAAAGAACGCAACCAAUCAAUUCCAAAGAUUGCAUGAAAAUAAACCAUAUCAAGUUCUACCAAGUCAACAUAAGAAAAUUUUUUGGGAAACAUUAUAGAUAAUUCCUAUAGCCUCUUUUGGCAACACCAGAGUCACCCUCUAAGGUAGUAACCAAAAAUGGUUAAACUAAGAUAUUGAGAAAUAUAUACAACUUCAUGGAUACUAAGGGAGUCACAAAUGAUAAUGCAUUACCAGUAUAAAGUAAAAGAACAUAAAUUAAUAGUAAAUACUUGUAACAUAUCGGUGACAACAUUGGGAGAUUCUUUUUGGUCACUGAAUGGAGAGCAUAGAAACGCUUCCUCUUUGGAACAUCGAAGUUAGAACAACUUGCUUGAGAUUGAGAACUCCCCUUCUUUUAACCCCUUACAUUUGUUCAAUACCUCGCCUUGUGGCCAUUCUUACCACAACCAAAGCAAUUAGCUGUUCCCAUCAAGCAUUCACCCAAAUGCUUCUUUCCACACUUUGUACAAGUAGGUUAUUCACUUGGUAAGUUUUCACCAUUUCCAUUUUGGGACUUAGGGUUAACUCCCUAUCAACACGAGCCUUAGGAAGCUUAGAAGGAACAUGGUUGGAGAACCUCUUCUUGAACAUAGGCUUGUAUUGAAUAUCCAACCUACCCUUAGAAGAACCACCUUCAUAAGACUUGGCCUUUCUAGCAUCCUUAAUCUUCCAGUUAGUCAUGAAACAUUACUGAAUGGCACUCUUCAACCAAAUCAUUGGACACUCCCGUCACAAAGAGACUCAUAUCACCCCUUGGGUUAGACACCAUGGAAGGGGCAUACAAUAGACAAUUUAGUGAACUUCUAAGUGUAGUCUAGCACACUCAUACCUCCUUGACAAAGGUUGAUGAAUUCAUCAACUUUAGCUUUUAUUUUAUCCCUUGGGAAAAUCCUAUCAAGAAAAUACCUUAUAAACACCUCAUAACUAAUGGGACCUGCUCUCAUAGUCCUAUUAUCCCUCUAUUCAGUAUACCAAGUUUUAUCCAAAUUCUUGAGAUGAUAAGAGGCUAGCACGACCUUGUUAUUUGAACUCAACCCCACAUCAUACAAGAUAUUGUAGAUAUCAUCAAGGAAUUAUUGGGGUUCUUCAUCAUUUUUUGACCAAAAGAACAUUGGAGAGUUCAUCCUAGUGAAGUCCUUACGCGAAAAGCCAUGGUAUUAGCAUUUUUGUUCACACGAGGUCCAACUUCCUCAUUUUCUAAAGCCUUCAUGGAUUAAUCUUGAGUAGAAACGAAUUGUGCUUGAGUGGUCAUAACAUGAGCCGAAGUCACAAAAGCCGACCUUAUAUCUCUAACCGUCAUACCCGGAAGAAUGACCGGAGCUUGUCCACCCAAAGGAGCUUCUCUUUAGGAGGAGCUUUAUUUCCUGGUGGAGGACCUAUGUUAUCUUGGGGAGGAGCUCUCGCAUUAACAAUUUCUUCUUCGACUCUUUUUCGGCUUCCAUUCUAGUUGUCAUAGCCUAUAACCACAAUAAAAGUAUUAGAAGAAAAAGGACACAUAGAGUAAUCACUUUUGAAGAACAACUUUCAACAAUACAAAAAAGGUGAGAAUUCCUAAACAUCACGUAGCCUCUUGUUCAUACGUUUGGCGCACUUCACACACAUUGAUGAGAAUCUUUGUAGAUGUGGUUUUGUGAGACAUAAAUCCUUAAAAUUACUUCAACCGAAUACUCUGAUACAAAGUUUGUCACAGUCAAAGAUCACCCCUCAGACGUAACUGACAUCUUUGUCCUCGAAGAGGACGUAGACUAGUCUCCCUUAAUAUUCGUCAUUACAUGUCAUAGGUCAAAAAGGUGGAAAAUUUAAAAAUUUUACAUAGUGAGGUAUACAUAGACCUCUCACGUAUAUAUAUGAAGUUUACAUAAACUCCUCGCUUGUUGAAUCAUAGAUAGACUUCUUGUUUAGACAACAUAAAUGAUACAUAACAUAUAGUCUAGUAGCAUUGUCUCACAUAAAACCAUCUAAAAGGUGUAAAAAUUUGUACAUAGCCAUUAAAAAUACAAUACUCCAGUAUAGGCUUAGAUAAAUUGUGUCAAAUAAAAAAGGAAGGAACAAAUGUCAUUAGACAUAGCAAAUCCUACUAGCACAGAUAGAUGUCACCAUCCUCGAACAUUGACGACGCACCAAUCAACUUGGGAACGAUAUCCAAGUCUUGGUGCAAUUGGUCUCUUAGAUUCUACAGCCCGAACCUACAUAUUUGUAUAAUCAUAAAGAAUAUGGUUUAGACAACUAGUUGUACAAAGUAUGGAUAUAUGCAAGUAAUCCAUUUGAAGACAUGCACAAAAGGGACCAUUUCACUAGAAAUGAGAUAAGUCAUUUUUAAAGUCAUUAUGCACACACAAGAGCAUAUACAAGUCCAUAAGCAUUACAUCACUUAAGAGAAGUUCAUAACCAACACACGAAAAACAUUACCAUAAAGCCGUAUCAACCCGAAUAGCAUCAUUGUAAGGUUAUAUCAACAUCAAUAGAUUCAACAUAAAGUUGUAACCUAUACUAGAGUAAUAAAAUCAAUAUACAAGACCCUUACCAACAAUCCCAUUCCAAGACUACAAGUGCAAUGCUUAUGUGAAGCCCUAUAACGCCACAUAAUCAAGUAAACAAGAAAAAAGAUCAUAAGUAAUGUCUUUCUUCAUAAAUAUACCAUCAUGUGUAGUCAUCAUCACAUAUAGAAAUUAAGACCAAUAUCACAUUCAUCAGUGUAACCAACAUCAUAUAGGAGCAACAUCAUGUAGAGUUAACAUAUAUAUAGAUAUCAUGAUAUCGUAAGUACCUAACAACAUAAGAACAACCCCUUAGGACUUUCAUCAAGGCCAACUUUUGCAAUGUAAUGAUAGAGUCCCAUACCCCUAUCUACACUAAGUAGAACCCAUUAAGUCACCCUAGUUAGAGUUCAUCUUCAUUACUUCAUUCAUUUAACAUACUUUUGGGAACAAUCACCUUAACUUACAAUAGACCGUUUGAGCUAAACAGGGAAUUCGGUAUCAUGAAACCCUACACUAAAAAAAGGUGCUCUACCUGCCAAAGUAGAACUAAUGCUUGAACAUAGAUUUCUAUGGGGAUCCACUAGAGAGUCUUCACAUGGAGGAAACAUAUUUAAGGAACUAGGAUAUAUGUCUUGAACCCUCUACAUGCCCAUUAGCAUUGGAGUCCUUGGCUCAUGAAAAUGUUGGUGAAUCUCUAUUCCAUCGGGGAGUUAAACCCUCUCAUUGUCAAGUUCACUCGCUGCUGAGUUAAAGUCACUUUUUGAAAUGUCUAUAAGCCUUUCUUAAUGAUAAUAGCUUAGUAUAUACCAUAGAAUACUAACCCCUUGAUUAUCAUAAUCAUUAUCUCGUUAGGUAUUGCAUGAGAAUUUUAUUUUCAUAACAAUCCUCUAUUUUUGAGAUUAACACAUCAUAAUCAUAUCAUAGUAAGGCACACAAGUGAUUCAUAUUAAACCUUGUAUAAUCAUACCGUUAGUAUGAUCUCUCAUUUUAAAUAGUCAAGACAUUUCAUCACAAUGAUUACAUCAGCAUCAUGUUAAUCUAAUAACAUAUAAUACCUCAAUUGAACACCAUUAACAAGUAUAAGCCAUUGUAAUUAAAGUAAAGAAGUCAAGAUCACAAAGUCUUAUCUCAUAGCAUUCAUAAGUUUCCUGAAAUAUCUUACCAUAAAUCCAACGAUAUUCAUCCAUCAAUUUACUAAACAACAUCACAUAAUAGUAAUAUGUACAAGAAACAAGUCAAUUACAUCAUCACUAAUCAAAUAAACCUCAAUUCAUAACCUAGGGUUAGGGGAAAAGGUUCGAUCAUGAAUUACUCUUGAAAUAGAUCCAAUCAUAAUAGUACAUGAACAUAUCCGGUCCCUGAAUGAAUUACAGUAGUUAAAAGAAGUCUAUAAUAAUUACACUUCUCAAUUCCCAUCAAUUCAUGAGAAAGAUCCAAGAUUAGGGGGAAUCAGGGAAAGGACAUGAACCAAACAAAAUUAAAAUUAAUUAACAUAAAUUACUCAAAAAUCAUCACUUAAUUAUUUGUAGGUAAUCACAAUUCGUCAUAAUCACUCGACAAUUUCAAGUUUUUAAGAAAACCCAUUUGUAGAGAAAAACCCUUGGAAUUGGGUGAUUUAGAAAUCAACUUUGAAUGGAACUCUUGGGGAAAGGAAUCACAAGAGUAAAGAAUCCAUGUUAUGAUAAAUACUUAUUCCAAAAAAUUUUAGAAGAAAAGUUGAAAACCUGAUCUUCUUCUCGAAGCUCCCAAUACUCUUCAAUGAUUGUUGAGUAGAGAGAGAAUUUAGAAAAAAGUGUGAGUUAUUUGUGAAAUUAAUUUGGG